CUUCUUCUGCUGCCACUGGGCGAAGGAUGGGAAGCCAGUGGUGGAGUUGGCGAUGUCGUUGGCAGUGUUGGAGAAGCACAGGUUGAGACUGCGGAGGAGGUUCAGGACAAGCUGGGAGUCCUGAACGGGAUGGCCGACGUGUCAGAGGGCGUUGGCUAGGGUCUUCAUGCGGCUGCAGUACUCGGCUAUGGAGGAGUCGCCCUAUGUAAUGGAGUGGAAGUCGUGGCUGAGGAAGAUCGCCCGAGACUGCUUGUUAGCACAGAAGAGGCCCUCGAUGGCAAGUCAAAUAUCUUAGGCGGUCUGAUUGUCAUUGGUCAUGGCGAGGUCGAGGACGGAGUCAUCGACAGAGCUGAAGAACCAGGGGUGGACGCUGCAAUCCGCUUGAUCCCAGUCGGGGUCCUGCGCACCGUGCCGUCAAUGUGCGACUUGAGGCCAAACUUGCCGCACAUGGACUUGAAGAAAGACGUUGGUGUAGGUGGAGAACUGCAUCAUCAACAUUAUGGGAAUGUGAGACUUGACGGAGACAGUGGCGUACGGGUGGAUGACGAGUGGCGAAGCAUGAAUAAGAUGCGAACUGCCACCAGGGGGCGCACCACCGCAGGCGGCAGGAGGGGGGCUGGAGAUAGCACAGGGGCACCACCGCCGAUGCCAGGAGGAGGCGGACCAGGAGGCGGCGGCACAAGGGCACCACCGCUGGUGCCAACAGGCGCGCUGGACGGCGGCACAGAGCCAUCAGCAGGGGUGGUGGCAUCGCCGGACACAGAAGAGUCUGCGGAGGAGAGGGUGGCCAUGGCAUGCGGCAGGGAGGGGGCACACGUGAAAGGAGGUGCAGCGAAGGGGGUGGUGGCGGCACAGUAGGAGGGGCGCCACCCUAGGGUUACAUGCGGGACAGGAGGGAGGCGCUAGGUAGAGGAGAGGAGGUCCAUGAUCUAAUCUCGUGAUACCAUGUAGAGAGGUAGAUGGGAAACACCACGCACCCUAAUGAGGGGGGUGACUUCUAUAUAUAUGGCCAAUAUGGCUUGGAGUACAAGGAAUACAUCAACUAUGCAAGAAAAGGAUAAAUACAUCAUAAUAUACACAUAUACAUCAUAAUAGCCCCCGAGCUAGAGGUGGAAACCAAAGUAGCAAGAGGGUUGGAAGUCAUGGCAGCUAUCCCAUCUUCCAAGUGAGGCCCAUUUACAAGAUGUGCCAUGGCUCCACUCGACGUGGCAGAUUCUGAAGCGCAUGGGGAGCCACUGGCGGCUGGAAAGAUUAAUCUUGAAGUCAUUCAGUUAAUCGACGACCCACUGCUUGACAUGGAGAUGGUGGCCGGAAUGAUGGAGAUGUGCCACCGUGUUGGAGUAUAUGCAGAGGUAAGAUUCAUCCUGCUUCCUCCAUGACUUGAAAUCAGUACCCGUACUCUGACACGAGUACAUAUGUUUGUGGUGCAGGAUGUCAUCAGGCGCUCCUAGUGAAAAUCGCAGAUGCUAUAAGGCUAUGGGGACUCAGUACUCUGUGCUGAUGCCCUUGCCAAGGAGCUUGCCAAGGUGCCAAGGAGAGGGAGUACUCCCCCAGGCUGCUGAUGAAGUAUGAUGAACAAGCCGCCAAGUAGUGGAAUAGUGUCUAGCAAUUUGAGGAGGAAAAGGACCGUCUUAAGGGGUGCAAUAAGUCUCUAAAAUAGCAACUGACAAGUAAUUGAUCUUCUCCCUUGGUCUUCGAGUAUUGAUUUGACUUUGCAAUGAUGAUCCUCUUUGUGUUUUAUUCUUGCAGUGCUCAAGAAAACAAAAGAAGAUCUCUAGGGCCAAGUUGUUGAAUGGAAGAACUCCUACUAUCGGGUGAUGGACCAGCAUGACAAGCUAACUACACUAUAUGAGAACUUGGACCAUCACCUGAAGAAGGAGAAGAAGAUGCAUGAGGAUGGUGAGGUUGACCUGGUCAAUGCCAUGAAGACCCUCCAAGAGCGCGAGGUGGAGCUGGAAGCUAAGGAAUAAUCCAAAGCAGCCUAACCAAUUGCAAACAUGGUGGAGCCCCCAGUUGAGGGUGCAGAGCCCCACCCUCUGUCUGAGAUACUCAAGGAUAUGCCAGCAAAGUUCACUGGCUACGUCCAGAAGAUAGCAAAGUUUGUCUCCAAGCAGCUGCUGAGCUUCAUGAAGUCCUUCUACCCGUAGGCGAAGGGAAUAGCCGAGGACGGAUCAGAUGAGCUCUUCCAGCAGUACCUGCAAGAGAUGGACCCUAUCGUGGAGGAAGUAGCAAAUUACUUAGACCUUAGUAGUCUUGUAAAAAGCAAACAUUAGCUCAUGUAAUGUAAACAUGAUAUGAAUGCUCUGAAAUAUAAAUAAUUCUAAGUCUUGUUGCAAUUUUUAUUGCUUUUGACUUGUUGUUUUAGUGCAUCUUACAAACUACCCUGAUAAUGCUCGUACGGUAGAUGUUAGUGCCUGCGCACAAGACUUCUUUGAUGAGCCUUUACUCGUCCUGCUGACGCAGACUUGGUCGGACAAACAGAUUCCAUAAGGGAGGAGAAGCUCAAACGGCACCUCAAAGAGUGCGAACUCUCCAACAAGCGCCUCCAAUAGGAGCAUGACACGACGGUAAAUCAUGAGUAUGCAGUAUCCCAGAAGCUGGCCUAUGAAGCCAAUGCACGCAAGGAACUCGAGCACUACUUAGAAGAUGUUGUAAGUAACCUCUAGAAUGACCAACAUGUAAUUGUAGGGUUGGAGUUAGAGAUGGAGGAGCUGUGAAAGUUGGCUGGCUAUGUUAUGUACAUGAUCCAAGCAGAUGCCGACCCAUCCAAGCCAAUGCCGCUGCUCGACCAUCUCAGAGCUGCACCAGGUCAGCUGAAGAGGUUGCUGAAGGAUACAAUGGUGGAGUGUGUCAAGAACACUUUUGCGUUAUUGGUGUCGCACUUCCCAUCGAUUCCCUUGGAGCGUGCCGUGACAAGAAUCGCAACCGACUUCAAGGAAGACAAGAUUCUGGAGGUGGCCGAGCAGUAUCACGAUGCAGCAGAGACUAUUGUAAAUGACCUAGACCUGUAGAAAAUAUUUUAAGAUGUAUUAAAUUGUUUGAUGGAACGAUGAAUGCAAUGUUUUCAUUUAUAUGCGAUGAAGGAAAAAUUCAAUCCCUCCCUUGGUGUAUACGACAAGACAACGUGUGGCUGAGGCCUGUAGCCGCUAAGCACCUAGCCUCACCUUACCAGCAUCCUACUGAGAGCAGAUCUCGAGCUUGUAGGAGGAGAGAAAAGGCGUGACCUAGCAGUCGGCACCAGGGGGGAGCCCCCGAGCUUGUGAGCGAGCGGGCUGCUGAACAUGUCGGACAGCCCCCGAGCAUUAGGGACAGCUCGGGAAGGAGAAAAGUAAGGCAGUAGAUACGCAAAAAGAACCACAUGCAUUUUAUUUAUUCAAUAUAAAAGGGAAACAGAGUACAUAGCUUUAUAUUCUAAGGGUAGAAGCGUCGUAGAUGCUCAAUGUUCCAUGGAUUGGGGAUGCCAGAGCCGCCUGCCCAUUGUAAUCGGUAGGUGCCUGGUUGGAUGACUUCUUUGAUGAUGAAGGGGCCCUCCCAAGGGGCGGCCAAUUUGUGCAUGUCCUUCAUAGCCUGGACCUGGCGAAGCACUAAGUCACCAACAUUGAAGGAGCGUUCCUUGAUAUUCCAAUCGUUGUAGCACCGUAUCUGCUACUCAUGGCGUGCGUGCUGGCUGAGGGCCACCACGCAAUGUUCUUCAAGGCUGUCAAUAUCAACCUGCCAACUCUUUUCUGCCUCGCCCUCCUCGUAUUAUUGGAUACGCGGGGCACUAAAGGCCACAUCAGAUGGCAACAUGGCUUUUGAGCCAUAAACCAUAAAGAAAGGGGUGUAGCUGAUAGCCUGACUCUUCUAUGUUCUUAGGCCCCAGAUGACAUGGGGUAGCUCACGUAGCCACUUGGUAGCGUAUUUGGACACAUCAUAAAAGAUAUGUGACUUGAGGGACUGGAGGACCAUCCCAUUUGCACGCUCCACUUGGCCGUUGCAGCGCAGGUGCGCUACUGAGGAAUAGUACACAUCAAUGAGGUUGUCUUGGCAAAAAUCCCAGAACUCGGACCCUGUGAAUUACACGCCAAGGUCGGUUAUGAUUCUGUUAAGCACUCCAAAGUGAUGCAUAGUUUCUUCCACAAACUGAGCUGCUUUAGCCGACUCAAUGCUGAUUACGGCUUUGAUCUCAAUCCACUUUGUAAAUUUGUCAACUGCCAUGAAGAUAUGUGUAUAGCCGCUCAGAGCGGUUUUGAAGGGUCCAACCAUGUUCAGCCCCUAGCAUGCAAAGGGACAAGAUGGUGGGAUGGUACAUAGGGCCUGAGCUAGAAGAUGUUGUUUCUUGGAAAAGAAUUAACACCCUUUGCAUCGUUGGGCGAGAUUCUUUGCAUCGGCUACUGCUGUUGGCUAGUAAAAACCAGAGCGGAAAGCUUUGCUGACCAAAGUGCCUGAGGUGGCAUGGUUGCCACAUAUUCCUGAGUGAAUUUCAUGUAGUAGUUCAAUACCCUCACUGUGGAGAACACACUUCAUCAGUAUCCCUAUGGCUGCAGCUUUUCUGUAGAGCUCUUUGCCGAUGACGACAUAGUUUGUGCUUCGCCGAACUAAUUUUUCAUACUCUAUUUUAUCCUUGGGCGCCAUUUGGUCGGUGAUCAAGGCUAUGACUGGGGCGCGUCAAUCUUCUUCUGCCUCUAGUAUCAUGACUUCAGUGGGUUUUGGGUCGGCCAAUGCCUGAGCACUGGCAUCGUCGGCCUAGUUCAGGUCCAGGAUUUUGAUAGAAGGUUUCUGGAGAUCUUGAACAAAUACGCCGGCCGGAUACUGCGCGUGCUUAGAGCCAAGCUUGGAUAGUACAUCGGCAGCAAUGUUAUGGUCCCUGGAGACAUGAUGGAACUCAAGGUCAUCAAAGUAGGCCUCAAGCGUGCGGAUUUCUAUGCAGUAAGCAUCCAUGGAGUCCUUAGUGCAGUCCUAAUUCUUGUUGACUUGCUUAAUGAUGACCUUGGAGUCAUCGUAAGCGAGUAUACGCUUGAUUCCGAGGGAAACGAUGAUGCGGAGGUCGUGGAUGAGAGCUUCAUACUCGGCGCCAUUGUUGGUUGCCUUGUAUUGCAUCUGGAGCAUAUAUUUGAGAUGUUCACCCUUGGAGGAUAUGAAGAGGAGCCCCGCACUGGCUCCUUUGAGGUUGAGGGCGCCGUCAAAGUACAUGGUUCAGUGUUCUGGCCUUUCUAGUGAGGGCGGCUUCUGGAUUUCCAUCCACUCAGCCACAAAGUCGGUCAGGAUCUAUGACUUGAUUGCAUGGUGUGGGAAGAAUUCAAGGUCAAACUUGCCAAGGUCCACAAACCACUUGACAACUCGGCCAUUGACGUCCCUGUUGUGUAGUAUUUCACCAAUAGGGAACGAAGAUACCACACAAAUCUUGUGCGCCUGGAAGUAGUGACACAACUUUCUUGAUGAUAUCAGCACCGCAUAGAGUAGUUUCUGCACUUGGGUAUAGCGGGUCUUGGAGUCACUGAGGACUUCGUUAGCGUAGUAUAUCGGUCAUUGCACUGUGUAAGCAUGGCUGGGUUCCUGGCACUCCACAACUAGCACGGUGUUGACAACAUGUGUUGUCAUGGAGAUGUAGAGGUAUAGUGUUUCUUGGUCGGCCAGGGCUGUCAUGACAGGAGGAAUAGUGAGGAAAACUUUGAGCUCUUCGAGCGUCUUGCUGGUCUCGUCAUCCCACACAAAUUUGUUUACCUUUUUAAGGAGCUUGAAGAAGGGCGGACCUUUUCCUCCAAGUUUACUGAUGAAGCGGCUAAGGGCUGCUAUCAUGUCAAUGAGCUUCAUGACGUCCUUCUUGUUAGAUAGUUUUGUCAUGUUUCUGAUUGCAUCCACCUUGACGGGGUUGGCCUUGAUGCCGCGCUGGCUGACCAUGAAGCCCAAGAGCUUGCCAGAUGGAACACCAAAGAUACAUUUGCUGGGGUUAAGUUUUUAGCGGUAGGCCCAGAGGUUGUUGAAGGUCUCCUCGAGGUUUUCUAUGAAGCUAUCCUUGUCCUUUGUCUUUAUAACCAUAUCGUCGAUGUAAGCUUCGACGUUCCUUUGCAGCUGUGUUGCGAGGCAACCCUGGUGUGGCAGAACUGCCCUAAUUAACUUAGCUAAAGCACAAUUAAGUCGCCUGAUACGUGAUCCUAUGCUUUAAUCAAGUUAACUCAGCAGUCCGUCAGAUUUCAUCCGAUAAACCACUACACAGGACCAAGAAAGCAAAGCUCACACGAAGGUGAGUGGUUCCAGAGAAUACAAUAGAUCAUCCAAAAUUAAACAAGUACAUUAAUUUCUUACAAUCUCAGGUUCGAAAUUCAACAAGUUUGUAGAGUUCUUAAGCAGCGAAAAAAUAAAUGAACAGAAGCUAGCACCGAAGUCGGAUGUCAUGAUGAGACCGACCGUGACAUCAAUGAUCCCUGUCCUCGCCGUCCGAGGAGGGAUCCCACUCGACCGUCCACCCAGGAGGAAGCUGGGGAGGCCAAGUGCCACAAGCAGCAAAACCAGGAGCUUCAACUUCACCUGAAAAGAUUUGCCACAACAAGGCUGAGCGACUACGCUCAAAAAGACUUAACUGACCGGUGGGAACUACUCCACCAACUUCUAGACAUGCAAGGCUUUUCGGCCGAGGGGUUUGUUUUACCAAAAAGCGACUACAGUAGGUCCUUACUUUCAAUAUUUUAGCUCCAGUUCUAAGUUCAUUCACCAAGCUAAAUUAGCAGCUACAAAAAAACAAGCAAAAGUUCCCAAGCAAUUUAUGACAAUCAUUCAGAUUAACACCACCAUGAAGUUCCAUUCUUGCUUAGUGUAGUAUAGUGAUCAAGCAGUCCCAAUCUGUGAGAGGCAGACUAAUCGAUUCAAAUUUAUUAACCAUGCAUGGUGGACCUAAUCUCACGACAUCCGCGCACCACCAAGGGCCGCUUCCUUUGUCGGUCGUCCCCAUCAAUCCCCAGACCCGUGUCGGGCCCACUUCCCUUGGUACAAGGCUCCACAAACCCGGCCUCUGCUGUUCUAUGACCGCACUUGUCACCACAUGCGGCCGCAAGGGAAACUCAGUUCCAGAGACAGUGGAUCGAACCGCUCACGUCCUGGUUCAAUCAGGUACUAGGCUUCCCCAUCCCAUACUAGGUAUGAGAUUAGUACUUUCAAACACUUAAUCAUGAACACCAUCACCUUUCGACCUUAAACCAUUUUCUAGUAGACAGACGGGGCAAUCCACCGAUCACUAAAAUAGUUCACAGAGCCCUACCCCGUCCAUCGUCCUUAUAGUUGUAACAAAGAGGAGAACAAGCAACUCCUAUACCUCGCGAGUGACAGGAAAUCACUCGACUUUUACCGAGUCCUAUUUAAGCAUUGCAACUACUCGGCCUAUCACACUAGUGUUCAGAUCAAAGGGGACUAAGUCAUGCAUCUGUGGUUUUAAACAACUCCUGAAACGUAAAUGCACACAAAUACAACAGAAGGCAUGCGCAAGUUUAAAAAGACUGGGUGAUGCUCUGGGCUUGCCUUCGAGCAGGGCAGAAGCAAACUAAUCCUCAGUGAGCUCAGCUACGACUUCGUCUUCCGGCGCUGGGUGAAGCUCGUAUGUGCCGUCGGUGAGGUUCAGCUCUACACGAAUGCAAAGCAAGGGUGAGACACUUAGACGGUUAUUUCAAAAGCACUUGCAAUGAUUAAUCCCAAAACUGUAGCAAAACUAUAGGAAAAGGUGCAAAACCCACUUUAUUGGAUUCUACGCAAAGCGAAGAUUCCAACCAAGGUGAUUUCACAUUUUUCUGAUUUUUCCUUGAUUUAAGAUGAAAUUUCCAAGCUUCUGUCGAUUUAGAGCAAGUCAGAAGAGUCGGAUCGGGGAAAACUUACGAUCUGACCCUUAGACUCAAGGAAUAACUGCACCGGGGUCCUUAGAUUUAACUCAGAGAAGUCCUCGUUACACAGAUAGCCUCGACCAAAAGAAAACGACACACCCGAGCCCUCGGGCGAAGCGGACAAGGUCGGGCGAAACAGAUGGGAUCGGGCGGAACAGAGAGGGUUGGUGUGGCGGAACCGCCCAAAUUAACCUGACUAAAAUGCAUUGAAGGCGCCUGACACGCGAUUAUGCACUUUAAGCAAGUCAACUUGGUCGACCGUCGGAUUUCCUCCGAUAAACCACAUAAACAGGAUCGAGAAGCAUCGCUUACGCGAAGGUGAGUAGCAUAGAGAUUACAACAUUCCAUCAUGACAACAAGUUCCACAUUUUAUUACAUCAGAGUUUUCGAAAUUUAGACCGAAAUUUGCAAGGUUUGAAGUCAAAUAAAACUAGCGGAAGCUAAACGUCGAUACAUGACAUCAUGACGGAGCCGAUCAUGACAUCAAAAACUCCUUCCUUCGCCGUCCGAGGAAGGAUCCCACUCGACGGUCCAGCCUGGGGGAAGCUGGGUCGGCCAAGUGGUACCCACAACCAAACUAUUGACAUUACCUGAAAAAGAUUAGCCACAACAAGGCUGAGCAACUAGUACUCAGCAAGACUGACCCGUCGGAAAGACACGACCGAGACCUAGACAUGCAAGGCUUUCUGGCUCUAGGGUUUUCUUUGCCAAAAGCGUCUCAAGUCAGUCCUUACUUUCAACAUUUUAGCUCAUGUUCUAUGUUCUUUAUCCAUUCUAGAUUAGCAACUUAUACUAAACAAACAUGGUUUCCAAGCAAUUACUGAACAAGCAUCAAGAUUUAAAAUCGUCAUCAUGUUCCAUCUUUACUCAGUGCAGAAUAUCGAUCAAGUAGUCCCAAUCUGUGAGAGGUAGACGAAUCGAUUCGAAUUUAUUAACCAUGCAUGGCAAACCUAAUCUCACGACAUCCGCGCACCACGAAGGGUCGCUUCAUUUGUCAGCCAUCCCCAUCGAUCCCUUAGGCACGUGUCAGGGCCAACUUCCUUUGGCAUGCAAUGCUCCACAGUCCCGGCCUAUUGCUGCACUAUGACCGCACUUGCACCCACAUGAUGCACCAUGGGAACGACGUUCCAAGGACAGCCGGAGGGUAUGCCACGCCCCAGUUCAAUCAGGUACUAGGCUUCCCCAUCCCAUACUAGGUAUGAGAUUAGUACUUUCAAACACUUGAUCACGAACGCCGACACGUUUAGACCUUAGUUCAUUUUCAUUUAGACAGAUGGGGCAAUCCACCAAGUAUCGAACACAAGCCUGACCCCGUCCGUCGUCCUUAUAGUUGCGACAAAACUGAAACAUUCAACUCCUAUAACUCGCGAGUGACAGGAAAUCACUCGACGUUUACCGAAACCUAUUAAGCAUUGCACUACUCGACCUUAGCAACUAGUAUUCAGACAAGGUACUAAGUUUAUGCAUCUAAGGUUUCAUUACAACUCGUCGAAAUGUAAAUGCGCAAUCAAGUAAUCAAUAAUAUUGCAUGAACUCGAGAUAGGAAUUUAUGCUCCGGGGCUUGCCUUCAGGAAAAGCUUGCGGGUCCUCAGGGUCUUGCUCCGGUUCGGGCUCUCCUUCGCAGGGAUGCAGUUCCUCGGCGGGGUCUUCUUCCGGUGCUGGAUGAAGCUCGUACGUUCCGUCGGCGAGAUUCAACUCUACACGGAAAUGCAAUGCAGGGGUUAAACAUUUUAGAUGGUUAUUUCAACACACUCAUGUUUUAACACGGACACUUGUAGCAAAGCUAUAGGAAAGGUGGGGAAGUUCAACUUCUGUUGGUGGAGAGCAGGAUGAGAGGGUCGGAUUGGGGGAAACUUAGGGUCUGACCCUCAGGUUUAAGGAAAACCGUACCGAGGUCCUCAGACUCAACACAGAGGAAUCCCCGAAAAUAUUUCACCGAUACCCUCGGGUCAAAGGAAAAGUUACAGCCGAGCCCUCGGGCGAGGCGGAGAAAGGGUCGGCGAAACUUGGCAGGGUCGGGCGAGGCGAACAGGAAAAGGUCGGGCGAGACGAAAAGAAAAGGGGUCGGGCAAACCGAAACAAAAGGGUCGGGCGAAACGAAAAAGGACAAGGGUCGGGCGAAACGAAAAGGAAAAGGGGUCGGGCGAGACGGAAAGGACAGGGAGGUUAAGUAGCUUACCUCCAGGUCUACCGGUGAAGCCUUGGGGCCGAACAGGAGUAGGCUAGGGUGGGGAGUCAUACGCGCUAAUGCUUGGGCAGCGGCGAGACUUCGACAGUGGUCCGGCGGUGGCGGUGCUUCUUGCGGACACCAGCAAGCUCGAGUACCGCGCGGAGGAGCGGGCGGCUGGUGUGUUGGAAGAAGCGGCUGGAAGGUGGCGGCGAAGUCGCCGGAGUGUGGGGGUGGCGCAAGGGGGUGAGCUCCACGGAAGCUCAGCGGCGGCACGGGGAGAAAGCGGUGGCUCAAAGGAGAAAGCAGGGCGCAGAGGAGAAAGCGGUGGUGGCAAAGGGGUGGCAUUGCCGGUGAGGGGGUUCCCUUUUAUAGGGCCGGGGUGGCGCGGAGGGUCGAGGCGGGGCUCCGGUGGGGAAAGGAUAAGGCCGGGAGCGGCGAGUGCUCGGGCGAGGCGGCCAUUGGCCGACUACGCCAUUGGGCUGAGGAGGCGGAGCUUCGGGUGGUCUUCGGCGGUGUUUGGACUUGGGCGGCGCGCGUCUGGGGCUUCCGGUCUAUCAGGCGGGCGAGGCGGAAAGGCUACCGUGGGGGUUGGGCGAGCGGGCGGAGGCGCGGGACGUCGGGGGCGUCUCAGCUUUCUCGGCGAACGGGCGGAACAGGGUUGGCGGAGCAGAGCCGUGGUAGGUGGAAGGCGACCUGCGCGCGGCCGGCGAUUGGCUAGCCCUGCGCUCGCUCCGUCCUGUCGCGGGCGCGGGUUGGGCGCCGCGGCUCUCGUCCUGUCGUUGUCGCGCUGGUGAUAGGGCACCGGCGAGCUGCCGGUGGCCGGCAGCCAUGCGGCGCGCGAGCGAACAUGCUCGGGCGCGCGGGCGUCGAGGCUCCCUUCGGGCAGAAAUCCUGACCAGCUUUGGAGUGAUCCUUCUCCGAAUCUUUCAACACAACUCCCGAAACUCCCUUAAACAAACUUGUUCAACUCUGAUCGUUCUUCAAACUUUGUUUAAGGUGUCGGUUUUGAUUGUGAGAGGAUUCGAAGAUAUUUUACGCCAAAGUUAGCCAAAAAUCUGGAAUUCCAGACUUAGGAUUUAAGGCAUCCGGGGUGAGUUGACUGGUUUACCUCACUUUGACCGGGAUUUUGAACAACUUCGGGUCCGAUUUAGAUCUGGGUCAGUGUAACGAAGUUGGAACACUCUCGAGGUACUACAACUUCUAUUAAGGCUCUGACUCGAGUUUAGAUAGGAAAACGGGAGAUGAAAGCUUGCAAAGAUGGAGGAAAACUCGAAUUCCAGGACUUAAGAGAUUUUCAGGGUCCUUUAGAAAAGCCGGUUUUGGUUGCUGUUUUUGACUCCCUUCCACUCCGAAAAGUUCAAAGUGCCUUUAACAAAAGUUGUUGGAAUUAAAAAGUUUUACAACUCUUAUUUGGGCAGAAACUUAAGUUUGUAUAUAGAAUUUCAAGCUUUAAAUCAAACUCCAAAAGGAGCUUCUUAGGUUUAUAAAGGUCAUUUCACUUCUUAAUUUAAGGAUUUAUCACUGGUUUAGAGUUAAAAGCACUUAAUUUAGGUAGAGUUGUUACAGCCUACCCCCCUUAAAGGAAUCUCGCCCCGGUGCAGAAAGAACUAGUGUGGCUGGUGCAACGUACCUCCUUGACCGAAAACAAAACCGCAGAAGUUAGCAUUGAUAUAUUCUUCCGUCUCCCAUGUCACUUCGUCUUCCGUAUGGUGACUCCACUGAAUUUUGUACAUCUUGACCAUUUGCCGACGAGUGUGUCUUUCCUUCCGGUCGAGGAUCUUAACUGGAUACUCCUAAUACGAUAAAUCGGGUUCAAUCUCCAAUUCUUCCGGGGUAAUGAUCUCAGUUGGAAUCCUGAUGCACUUCUUGAGUUGCGAGACAUGGAAAACAUCGUGUAUCGCUGCAAUCUUCUCUGGAAGUUUAACUUGGUACGCUACGGGUCCACACGCCUCUACGAUCUCGUAGGGACCAAUAUAGCGCGGAGCUAACUUUCCUUUUACUCCAAAACAUUGUACACCUUUGGUCGGUGAAACCCGUAGGUAUACAAAAUCUCCAACCUUAAAUUGGAUGGGUCUUCUUCUUUGAUCGGAAUAGCUCUUCUGUCGAGAUUGGGCGGGCAGCCUUGAGAUUUUCACGGAUGACUCUCACUUUUUCUUCGGCCUCUAUGACCAGGUCAGGUCCAUACACCGUUCUCUCUCCGGGUUGCGACCAGCUCAGUGGGGUUCGGCAUCUACGUCCAUACAAGGCCUCGAAAGGUGCCAUUUUCAGGCUAGCUUGGUAACUAUUAUUGUAGGAGAAUUCCGCUAAUGGCAAACACUUAUCCCAGUUCUUGUCAUAAUGAAUAGCACAGGCGCGCAACAUAUCUUCCAAAAUCUGAUUAACCCUUUCAGUUUGCCCAUCGGUCUGAGGGUGAUAUGUGGAACUGUGGAUCAAUUUAGUGCCAAGUGAAAACUGCAACUGCUCCCAAAAGCGUGCUACAAACUGACUACCUCGAUCAGAGAUGAUCGUUUUAGGUACACCAUGCAAGGAAACAAUCCGAUCAAAGUACAGUUCUGCAUAUUUCUGUAUGGUGUGGGUGGUGUGUACUGGAAGGAAAUGUGCCGUUUUGGUUAGUCGGUCUACUAUAACCCAUAUGGAGUCAUGCUUGCGGGAGGUAUUGGGUAGUCCGACUAUAAAGUCCAUGCUUAUGUCUUCCCAUUUCCACGAGGGAAUAGGCAGCGGCUGCAAGGGGCCAGCUACCCUCAAGUGGCUUGCCUUAACUCGCUGACAGGUAUCGCACUCUGAAACAUAUCGAGCAAUGUCGGGUUUCAUCCCACUCCACCAGAAAUUUUGUCGGAGGUCGUGAUACAUCUUGGUACUGCCGGGGUGAAUCGAGAACUUGGACAGGUGUGCUUCGUCCAGAAUUUGUUUCUUAAGCUCGGGAUCAUUUGGAACUACAAGUCGAGUUUCAUAAAGUACCACUCCUUUCCAAUCCCGUCGGAAACAUUUAUAUCCUUUGUCCUCCUGUGCAAGUUUCGCUUUGAUCAAGUUUAUCUCUUUGUCCUCUAGCUGUGCUAGAAUUAUUUGGUCAAGCAGGGUGGGCUCUAGAGAAAUAUGACUUAAGGUGCCGUGUGGAACAAUUUCCAAGUUGAGUUUAGCCAUUUCGUGACACAGGGUCUCGGCAUAAUUAACCGCCGAUAAGAAGUUACAAUGGAUCUUGCGGCUGAGUGCAUCUGCAACUACGUUGGCUUUUCCUGGGUGAUAAUGCACUUCUAGGUCAUAAUCCUUGAUUAAUUCUAACCAUCUCCGCUGACGCAUAUUGAGGUCUGCUUGAGUGAAUAUAUACUUAAGACUCUUGUGAUCUGUAUAGAUGUUGCAUCGGGUUCCCAUGAGAUAAUGCCUCCACAUUUUCAGAGCAUGAACGACUGCCGCUAACUCAAGAUCAUGAGUAGGGUAGUUCAACUCAUGUGGCCGUAACGCUUGCGAGGCAUAGGCAAUGACUUGGCUGUCUUGCAUAAGAACACAACCAAGUCCAGUGCCAGAGGCAUCGCAAUACACAUCAAAUGGCCUAGUGGUGUCGGGCUGAGCUAAAACUAGCGCAGAAGUCAAUAAUUGCCUCAAGGUGUGGAAAGCUUCUUCACAUUCGUCACUCCACACAAACUUACUCCCUUUCUUCAGCAGUUCCGUCAUUGGCUUAGCUAUUUUUGAGAAGUCAGGGAUGAAGCGACGGUAGUAACCGACUAAACCAAGAAAACUUCGAAUCUGAUGAACUGAAGUGGGCGGCUUCCAGUCCAUUACUUCUCGCACCUUGCUUGGGUCUACUACUAUACCGUCUCUGGAUAUGGUGUGUCCCAAGAAUUUAACACUGUCCAGCCAAAAGUCACACUUAGAGAACUUGGCAUAGAGUUGGUGGUCUCUUAAGCGUUGGAGUACAGUAUGUAGGUGCCCUGCAUGUUCUUCUUCAUUCUUCGAGUACACCAAGAUGUUGUAAAUGAAUACCACGACGAAUUUGUCGAGUUCGGGCAUAAACACCGAAUUCAUGAGGUACAUGAAGUAAGCCGGUGCAUUAGUAAGCCCGAAUGACAUGACUAAGUACUCGUAGAGUCCAUAUCGUGUAGAAAAGGCAGUCUUUCGAAUGUCGCACGGGCGGAUCUUGAUUUGAUGGUAGCCAGAACGGAGGUCAAUUUUGGAAAACACUCUAGCUCCAGCUAAUUGGUCAAACAGAACAUCAAUGCGGGGUAGGGGGUACUUGUUCUUUAUCGUCACCGCAUUGAGAGGUCGGUAGUCCACACACAUUCGCAGACUAUCGUCCUUCUUUUUUACAAACAAGGCAGGGCAACCCCAAGGUGAUGUACUUGGGCGAAUAAAACCCUUUUCCAAAAAAUCAUGCAACUGAGUUUUCAUUUCUGCCAGUUCGGCUGGUGGCAUCCGAUAUGGUCUCUUUGAAAUUGGGGCGGUACCUGGUUGCAACUCAAUGGCAAACUCGAUGUCUCUCUCAGGCGGCAUACCCGGCAAAUCGUCUGGAAACACAUCCGUGUACUCGCACACUACUGGGAUAUCUUCCAAACGGGCUUCAGACACGGGAUAGGCACAAGAAGUUUGGCACUCUCGGGGAGGUAAGUGUAUAGUGGAGCUACCAUACUUGGGUGAAUUUAUAUGGAUUGCCCUGGCAGGGAUAUCUAGGGUCACUCGGUGUCGGGUCAUCCAAUCCAUGCCCAAGAUAACAUCUAUUCCUUCCAUCCUAAGGGUAAGCAGGUCUUCCUUAAGAAGGGUUCUCCCUAACUGGAUAGGUACUUUGCAGCUCACUUGGUGUGAAGUUACCUUUCCACCCGGGGUAGAGAUUAUGUAGGUACCUUUGGUGUGACAGAAAUCUAACCCACACUUAGCACUGAUUCUAGUCCCAAUGAAACUAUGAGAUGCUCCCGAAUCAAACAGAAUAAGGACGGGGUGAUCACAGAUAGAAAAGGUACCCGUCAUCACUGGUGCGCCCUCUGGAAGUUCAGCAAGGGUGGUGAAGUUCAGCCUGCCUUGUCGGACCUGCACCUUUGGCUUCUUCCCCCUGUUGCCCAGUGUAUUGCUCUGACCGGGUCGUUGAUUCUGGUUGCGGGGGCAGUCCUUGGCGAAGUGUCCUGGGUUCCCGCAAGUGAAACAGUGGUUUCCAGUGACCGGGCGCAGCGGAAUCGGGAGAGCAGGGCGGGGUCCUUGCGGCUGGAAUCCGGGGAAUCGAGGUGCUGCCUGCGAUGGAGGUCGAGCAACCCAUCUCCCAGGCUGUGCGGGCCUGCGAGGCGCUUGUGGGGGAACCAUUCUGUACUUCUGGGCAGGCGGGCUGGGUGCCGGCAUUGGGGCCUUUCUCUUCAUGUCGGCCUUGAGAGCCUUCAUGCAAUCUUCCUGGGAAAUUGUCAGGUUCACCAGUUCAUUGUAGGAACCCACUUUGAUGGGGUUCAGCCUUUCCUUGAGCUCCAAACUCAAGCCUCUGUGGAAGCGGUCCCUCUUCUUUUCAUCGGAGUCCGCAUGAUAGCAUGCAUAGCGACACAGGUCGUUGAAAGCCUGCGCAUAGUGCAGGACAUCGCGGCCUCCCUGGGUGAGAGCCAGGAACUCGUUGAGCUUGCGCUCCAGAAGACCCUCAGGGAUGUGAUGGCCCCUGAACGCCGUCUUGAAUUCCUCCCAGCCGAUGACGUGGUCAGCCGGCUGCAUGGCGUGGUAGUGUUCCCACCACAGGAGAGCAGAACCACGCAACUGCUGCGCGGCGAACCGAACCUUGUUCUCAUCCGGGCAAUAUGCGGUGAGAAGGGAGAACUUGGACUCGAUAGCGCGAAUCCAGGCAUCGGCGUCAAGUAGGUCCUCCGUCUUGUGAAACAGAGGAGGCUGGGUCCCCAGAAAAUCUUCAUAGCGAACAACAUGUGGCUGAUGAUGGGCCCUUCCUCCUUGGGGCUGCUGCUGCUGCCCCUGAGCGAUGUGCCUCAACAGCUCGGUCUGGGCUGCCAAUAUCGACUCGAGGGUGGUCGGAGGCGGAGGUGGGGGAGGCACCUCGCUGCCACUGGGAAUGGAGCCGGAGCGUGUGCGAUGCGCCAUCUCCAAGAUUCACCUUUCCAUCAGUUCCAUAACCCCAGAAGUAUUCCAAAAAAAAUGUGGGAAUGUAUGUGUUAAAUCCGCAAAUGCAACUCUUGCAACACAACACAUAUCCUUAUUAAGGAGGUGCACAAAUCUUAGCUAGCAACUGGCCCGUUUCUGCAGCGUCAUUUUAUCCUUGUUACCGAUCGGAAAGGUAUUUUGAUCCACGUUUUGUAGGGUCCACAAGAUCCGGUUUCUCCUCGGUUGGUCUGCACACACCCUUGGGCGAGCCAAAACCUUAUCCUCGGGGUCCCACUAAUUCCGACCUUUGUUGCCGGGGUCGGGCGAUACGGAGCUUCUCAACACGGGGUCGGGCGAGGCGGAGACCUGCCGCGAGGGGUCGGGCGGGGCGGAGACUGUCUGCGAGGGGUCGGGCGCGUCCGACCUCGCGACUCGGGGUCGGUUAGCUUUGGAUAGGCCCACAGGAGACGGGUGUGUGGUCACAGCACUAAAACCCACACAACUUGGCAUCCACGGCGUGUCGCAAGGGUCAGAAGUAUUGUCAGGAACUGCUUUCACCAAGAUCAUUUCAUUGCUGGUCUUAAAAUACAGGAGGAGUACUCAACUCAAGGCUAACCUAUUACAUCAUUGGCCAAAAAUAUAGGUCGCCGAGGAGUACAAUCAAAAACAAAUAGAAUCUCUCAACCUAGUUUGCCAUAACUAGAAGUCGUCGAGGUUGCCCACGGAGGCAAAGCUAAGGACCGGAGAGUGAGCAUCACCAACUGGAGGCUGCGGUGAGGCAUUCUCAUAGUCCAUGCUCGAAAAGCCUUCGAUCUCCUCAGGCUCCUCCUCCUGGGCCAUUGGCUCAUCCAGCUGCACCUCUAAGGCGUGGAUGGCAUUAAGCUCAUCGUGAUGCUCCUGCAAGUGCUCAUUGGUGUUCGCCAGCUCCAUGUUCACAUCAUAGAACUGGUCAGCCAAGAUCUCCAUAUCGUGCUCCAUAUCCACAAUCUCUUCCUCCAAACGAGUAAUCUUGUCCUGCAUCUCAGCAAUCUGAACAUCCUUCUGUACCAGCUCGAGCGACUGGUCCACCAUGCCACUCUGCAUAGUAGACAAGGCAACUCUUCAGACCGAGUCAAGAUAAACUAAAUACAUCUUCCAAACCAGAGACUUAACAAAACCAAAACUCUACCAGCAAGUCCUUCACUAAGUUCUGAAAAACUCUGCUUAAAGGACUCCUCGCAGAAAAGGUCCUUAAGGUGGUCGAAACAGCAGAAACUCCGCUGGUGUGCACUUUGGGCUAACAGCCAACAGGGGGUCACCAAACUGAUCACAACUCUCAACCCAAAUGGUAGUACCUUGUGGCAGUUUUACUUGGGAGUUUUAACACAACUUUCUUAUACAAACCUUCUGGAGUUAGCAUGGCGGAAAAAGGACAGCUAGACAAUCCUUAACGCGGUGCAUUACUUUUUACGACGUACUCGAGUUUGGUUUUAUUUCUGAAUGCAUGCACGUCCUAGUCGUCCUCUCAACCAAAAAUAAUUGCCAAAAAUCUUUGGACUUACAUGGUUAGUGCCGGUGGCAAGGCAACAAUACGGCUCUCACUAUAAUAACUAGUCGAGUUACUAGGCAUCGUUUCGAACGCAACGUUUGUUAGUGUACCUGCAGAAAAACACAACACAGCUUGAACCUUCCGUGCCAGCACUCACGAAAGCGUCCACAAUCAUUACCGUUCACUAUAGAAAUGGCACCCAUGCGUUUAACGCUGCAUGGAUAGCGCAACAACCGUGGAAAUAGGUUCCUUUGAAUAGAAUCCUAUAACCCUUCGCAUUCUCGUGAUGCGGAAUCAUGCACACGUGUAACAAACGUGGGCGAACAACCGUGACGAUAGGCUCGUUGGAACGAACCAUACCAUCCUUCGCAUGUAUUAACAUACAAAACCUGCGCACGUAUAAUAGACGUGGGCGAAACAACCGUGAUGAUAGGCUCGUUGGAAUCGAAUUCCCAUCACCCUUCGCAUACUCGCGAUGCGGAUUUCGGCACACGUAUGAUAGACGUGUCAAAAAGUGCUGGAAGUUAGAAGAUAACCAAUAACUAUUAGCCACCUUAAAAACAACCCCAAAAUCCCCUAGGGCUCCUCGAACUAAACUCAUCCUUAGCGAACUUACGAACUUCUCGAUUUUACUUCUUGCAAAUUUUAGUUAGAAAAAGAGUUUUAAGGUUUGUUGUUCUCCGUACUGUGCUUCGAGCUCUGAUGCCAGCUGUGGCGGAACCGCCCAAAUUAACCUGACUAAAAUGCAUUGAAGUCGCCUGACACGCGAUUAUGCACUUUAAGCAAGUCAACUUGGUCGACCGUCGGAUUUCCUCCGAUAAACCACAUAAACAGGAUCGAGAAGCAUCGCUCACGCGAAGGUGAGUAGCACAGAGAUUACAACAUUCCAUCACGACAACAAGUUCCACAUUUUAUUACAUCAGAGUUUUCGAAAUUUAGACCAAAAUUUGCAAGGUUCGAAGUCAAAUAAAACUAGCGGAAGCUAAACGUCGAUACAUGACAUCAUGACGGAGCUGAUCAUGACAUCAAAAACUCCUUCCUUCGCCGUCCGAGGAAGGAUCCCACUCGACGGUCCAGCCUGGGGGAAGCUGGGUCGGCCAAGUGGUACCCGCAACCAAACUAUUGACAUUACCUGAAAAAGAUUAGCCACAACAAGGCUGAGCAACUAGUACUCAGCAGGACUGACCCGUCGGAAAGACACGACCGAGACCUAGACAUGCAAGGCUUUCUGGCUCUAGGGUUUUCUUUGCCAAAAGCGUCUCAAGUCAGUCCUUACUUUCAACAUUUUAGCUCAUGUUCUAUGUUCUUUAUCCAUUCUAGAUUAGCAACUUAUACUAAACAAACAUGGUUUCCAAGCAAUUACUGAACAAGCAUCAAGAUUUAAAAUCGUCAUCAUGUUCCAUCUUUACUCAGUGCAGAAUAUCGAUCAAGUAGUCCCAAUCUGUGAGAGGUAGACGAAUCGAUUCGAAUUUAUUAACCAUGCAUGGCAAACCUAAUCUCACAACAUCCGCGCACCACGAAGGGUCGCUUCAUUUGUCAGCCGUCCCCAUCGAUCCCUUAGGCACGUGUCAGGGCCAACUUCCUUUGGCAUGCAAUGCUCCACAGUCCCGGCCUAUUGCUGCACUGUGACCGCACUUGCACCCACAUGAUGCACCAUGGGAACGACGUUCCAAGGACAGCCGGAGGGUAUGCCACGCCCCAGUUCAAUCAGGUACUAGGCUUCCCCAUCCCAUACUAGGUAUGAGAUUAGUACUUUCAAACACUUGAUCACGAACGCCGACACGUUUCGACCUUAGUUCAUUUUCAUUUAGACAGACGGGGCAAUCCACCAAGUAUUGAACACAAGCCUGACCCCGUCCGUCGUCCUUAUAGUUGCGACAAAACUGAAACAUUCAACUCCUAUAACUUGCGAGUGACAGGAAAUCACUCAACGUUUACCGAAACCUAUUAAACAUUGCACUACUCGACCUUAGCAGCUAGUAUUCAGACAAGGUACUAAGUUUAUGCAUCUAAGGUUUCAUUACAACUCCUCAAAACGUAAAUGCGCAAUCAAUUAAUCAAUAAUAUUGCAUGAACUUGAGAUAGGAAUUUAUGCUCCGGGGCUUGCCUUCAGGAAAAGCUUGCGGGUCCUCGGGGUCUUGCUCCGGUUCGGGCUCUCCUUCGCAGGGAUGCAGUUCCUCGGCGGGGUCUUCUUCCGGUGCUGGAUGAAGCUCGUACGUUCCGUCGGCGAGAUUCAACUCUACACGGAAAUGCAAUGCAGGGGUUAAACAUUUUAGAUGAUUAUUUCAACACACUCAUGUUUUAACACGGACACUUGUAGCAAAGCUACAGGAAAGGUGGGGAAGUUCAACUUCUGUUGGUGGAGAGCAGGAUGAGAGGGUCGGAUUAGGGGAAACUUAGGGUCUGACCCUCAGGUUUAAGGAAAACCGUACCGAGGUCCUCAGACUCAACACAGAGGAAUCCCCGAAAAUAUUUCACCGAUACCCUCGGGUCAAAGGAAAAGUUACAGCCGAGCCCUCGGGCGAGGUGGAGAAAGGGUCGGCGAAACUUGGCAGGGUCGGGCGAGGCGAACAGGAAAAGAUCGGGCGAGACGAAAAGAAAAGGGGUCGGGCAAACCGAAACAAAAGGGUCGGGCGAAACGAAAAAGGAUAGGGGUCGGGCGAAACGAAAAGGAAAAGGGGUCGGGCGAGACGGAAAGGACAGGGAGGUUAAGUAGCUUACACCAGGUCUACCGGUGAAGCCUUGGGGCCGAACAGGAGUAGGCUGGGGCGGGGAGUCGUACGCGCUAAUGCUUGGGCAGCGGCGAGACUUCGACGGUGGUCCGGCAGCGGCGGUGCUUCUAGCGGACACCAGCAAGCUCGAGUACCGCGCGGAGGAGCGGGCGGCUGGUGUGUUGGAAGAAGCGGCUGGAGGGUGGCGGCGAAGUCGCUGGAGUGUGGGGGUGGCGCAAGGGGGUGAGCUCCACGGAAGCUCAGCGGCGGCACGGGGAGAAAGCGGUGGCUCAGAGGAGAAAGCAGGGCGCAGAGGAGAAAGCGGUGGUGGCAAAGGGGUGGCAUUGCCGGUGAGGGGGUUCCCUUUUAUAGGGCCGGGGUCGCGCUGGUGAUAGGGCACCAGCGAGCUGCCGGUGGCCGGCGGCCACGCGGCGCGCGGCGCGCGAGCGAACAUGCUCGGGCGCGCGGGCGUCGAGGCUCCAUUCGGGCAGCAAGCCCGACCAGCUUUGGAGCGAUCCUUCUCCAAAUCUUUCAACACAACUCCCGAAACUCCCUUAAACAAACUUGUUCAACUCUGAUCGUUCUUCAAACUUUGUUUAAGGUGUCGGUUUUGAUUGUGAGAGGAUUCGAAGAUAUUUUACGCCAAAGUUAGCCAAAAAUCUGGAAUUCCAGACAUAGGAUUUAAGGCAUCCGGGGUGAGUUAUUCUUCCGUCUCCCACGUCGCUUCGUCUUCCGUAUGGUUACUCCACUGAAUUUUGUACAUCUUGACCAUUUGCCGACGAGUGUGUCUUUCCUUCCGGUCGAGGAUCUUAACUGGAUACUCCUAAUACGAUAAAUCGGAUUCAAUCUCCAAUUCUUUCGGGGUAAUGAUCUCAGUUGGAAUCCUGAUGCACUUCUUGAGUUGCGAGACAUGGAAAACAUCGUGUAUCGCUGCAAUCUUCUCUGGAAGUUUAACUUGGUACGCUACGGGUCCACACGCCUCUACAAUCUCGUAGGGACCAAUAUAGCGCGGAGCUAACUUUCCUUUUACUCCAAAACGUUGUACACCUUUGGUCGGUGAAACCCGUAGGUAUACAAAAUCUCCAACCUUAAAUUGGAUGGGUCUUCUUCUUUGAUUGGAAUAGCUCUUCUAUCGAGAUUGGGCGGCCUUGAGAUUUUCGCGGAUGACUCUCACUUUUUCUUCGGCCUCUAUGACCAGGUCAGGUCCAUACACUGUUCUCUCUCCGGGUUGCGACCAGCUCAGUGGGGUUCGGCAUCUACGUCCAUACAAGGCCUCGAAAGGUGCCAUUUUCAGGCUAGCUUGGUAACUAUUGUUGUAGGAGAAUUCCGCUAAUGGCAAACACUUAUCCCAGUUCUUGUCAUAAUGAAUAGCACAGGCGCGCAACAUAUCUUCCAAAAUCUGAUUAACCCUUUCAGUUUGCCCAUCGGUCUGAGGGUGAUAUGUGGAACUGCGGAUUAAUUUACUGCCAAGUGAAAACUGCAACUGCUCCCAAAAGCGUGCUACAAACUGACUACCUCGAUCAGAGAUGAUCAUUUUAGGUACACCAUGCAAGGAAACAAUCCGAUCAAAGUAUAGUUCUGCAUAUUUCUGUAUGGUGUGGGUGGUGUGUACUGGAAGGAAAUGUGCCGUUUUGGUUAGUCGGUCUACUAUAACCCAUAUGGAGUCAUGCUUGCGGGAGGUAUUGGGUAGUCCGACUAUAAAGUCCAUGCUUAUGUCUUCCCAUUUCCACGAGGGAAUAGGCAGCGGCUGCAAGGGGCCAGCUACCCUCAAGUGGCUUGCCUUAACUCGCUGACAGGUAUCGCACUCUGAAACAUAUCGAGCAAUGUCGGGUUUCAUCCCACUCCACCAGAAAUUUUGUCGGAGGUCGUGAUACAUCUUGGUACUGCCGGGGUGAAUCGAGAACUUGGACAGGUGUGCUUCGUCCAAAAUUUGUUUCUUAAGCUCGGGAUCAUUUGUAACUACAAGUCGAGUUUCAUAAAGUACCACUCCUUUCCAAUCCCGUCGGAAACGUUUAUAUCCUUUGUCCUCCUGUGCAAGUUUCGCUUUGAUCAAGUUUAUCUCUUUGUCCUCUAGCUGUGCUAGAAUUAUUUGGUCAAGCAGGGUGGGCUCUAGAGAAAUAUGACUUAAGGUGCCGUGUGGAACAAUUUCCAAGUUGAGUUUAGCCAUUUCGUGACACAGGGUCUCGGCAUAAUUAACCGCCGAUAAGAAGUUACAAUGGAUCUUGCGGCUGAGUGCAUCUGCAACUACGUUGGCUUUUCCUGGGUGAUAAUGCACUUCUAGGUCAUAAUCCUUGAUUAAUUCUAACCAUCUCCGCUGACGCAUAUUGAGGUCUGCUUGAGUGAAUAUAUACUUAAGACUCUUGUGAUCUGUAUAGAUGUUGCAUCGGGUUCCCAUGAGAUAAUGCCUCCACAUUUUCAGAGCAUGAACGACUACCGCUAACUCAAGAUCAUGAGUAGGGUAGUUCAACUCAUGUGGCCGUAACGCUUGCGAGGCAUAGGCAAUGACUUGGCUGUCUUGCAUAAGAACACAACCAAGUCCAGUGCCAGAGGCAUCGCAAUACACAUCAAAUGGCCUAGUGGUGUCGGGUUGAGCUAAAACUGGCGCAGAAGUCAAUAAUUGCCUCAAGGUGUGGAAAGCUUCUUCACAUUCGUCACUCCACACAAACUUACUCCCUUUCUUCAGCAGUUCCGUCAUUGGCUUAGCUAUUUUUGAGAAGUCAGGGAUGAAGCGACGGUAGUAACCGGCUAAACCAAGAAAACUUCGAAUCUGAUGAACUGAAGUGGGCGGCUUCCAGUCCAUUACUUCUCGCACCUUGCUUGGGUCUACUACUAUACCGUCUCUGGAUAUGGUGUGUCCCAAGAAUUUAACACUGUCCAGCCAAAAGUCACACUUAGAGAACUUGGCAUAGAGUUGGUGGUCUCUUAAGCGUUGGAGUACAGUAUGUAGGUGCCCUGCAUGUUCUUCUUCAUUCUUCGAGUACACCAAGAUGUUGUCAAUGAAUACCACGACGAAUUUGUCGAGUUCGGGCAUAAACACCGAAUUCAUGAGGUACAUGAAGUAAGCCGGUGCAUUAGUAAGCCCGAAUGACAUGACUAAGUACUCGUAGAGUCCAUAUCGUGUAGAAAAGGCAGUCUUUGGAAUGUCGCACGGGCGGAUCUUGAUUUGAUGGUAGCCAGAACGGAGGUCAAUUUUGGAAAACACUCUAGCUCCAGCUAAUUGGUCGAACAGAAUAUCAAUGCGGGGUAGGGGGUACUUGUUCUUUAUCGUCACGCAUGAGAGGUCGGUAGUCCACACACAUUCGCAGACUAUCAUCCNNNNNNNNNNNNNNNNNNNNNNNNNNNNNNNNNNNNNNNNNNNNNNNNNNNNNNNNNNNNNNNNNNNNNNNNNNNNNNNNNNNNNNNNNNNNNNNNNNNNCCCCAAGGUGAUGUACUUGGCGAAUAAAACCCUUUUCCAACAAAUCAUGCAACUGAGUUUUCAUUUCUGCCAGUUCGGCUGGUGGCAUCCGAUAUGGUCUCUUUGAAAUUGGGGCGGUACCUAGUUGCAACUCAAUGGCAAACUCGAUGUCUCUCUCAGGCGGCAUACCCGGCAAAUCGUCUGGAAACACAUCCGUGUACUCGCACACUACUGGGAUAUCUUCCAAACGGGCUUCAGACACGGGAUAGGCACAAGAAGUUUGGCACUCUCGGGGAGGUAAGUGUAUAGUGGAGCUACCAUACUUGGGUGAAUUUAUAUGGAUUGCCCUGGCAGGGAUAUCUAGGGUCACUCGGUGUCGGGUCAUCCAAUCCAUGCCCAAGAUAACAUCUAUUCCUUCCAUCCUAAGGGUAAGCAGGUCUUCCUUAAGAAGGGUUCUCCCUAACUGGAUAGGUACUUUGCGGCUCACUUGGUGUGAAGUUACCUUUCCACCCGGGGUAGAGAUUAUGUAGGUACCUUUGGUGUGACAGAAAUCUAACCCACACUUAGCACUGAUUCUAGUCCCAAUGAAACUAUGAGAUGCUCCCGAAUCAAACAGAAUAAGGACGGGGUGAUCACAGAUAGAAAAGGUACCCGUCAUCACUGGUGCGCCCUCUGGAAGUUCAGCAAGGGUGGUGAAGUUCAGCCUGCCUUGUCGGACCUGCACCUUUGGCUUCUUCCCCCUGUUGCCCAGUGUAUUGCUCUGACCGGGUCGUUGAUUCUGGUUGCGGGGGCAGUCCUUGGGGAAGUGUCCUGGGUUCCCGCAAGUGAAACAGUGGUUUCCAGUGACCGGGCGCAGCGGCAUCGGGAGAGCAGGGUGGGGUCCUUGCGGCUGGAAUCCGGGGAAACGAGGUGCUGCCUGCGAUGGAGGUCGAGCAACCCAUCUCCCAGGCUGUGCGCGCCUGCGAGGCGCUUGUGGGGGAACCAUUCUGUACUUCUGGGCAGGCGGGCUGGGUGCCGGCAUUGGGGCCUUCCUCUUCAUGUCGGCCUUGAGAGCCUUCAUGCAAUCUUCCUGGGAAAUUGCCAGGUUCACCAGUUCAUUGUAGGAACCCACUUUGAUGGGGUUCAGCCUUUCCUUGAGCUCCAAACUCAAGCCUCUGCGGAAGCGGUCCCUCUUCUUUUCAUCGGAGUCCGCAUGAUUGCCUGCAUAGCGACACAGGUCGUUGAAAGCCUGCGCAUAGUGCAGGACAUCGCGGCCUCCCUGGGUGAGAGCCAGGAACUCAUUGAGCUUGCGCUCCAGAAGACCCUCAGGGAUGUGAUGGCCCCUGAACACCGUCUUGAAUUCCUCCCAGCCGACGACGUGGUCGGCCGGCUGCAUGGCGUGGUAGUCUUCCCACCACAGGAGAGCAGAACCACGCAACUGCUGCGCGGCGAACCAAACCUUGUUCUCAUCCGGGCAAUAUGCGGUGAGAAGGGAGAACUUGGACUCGAUAGCGCAAAUCUAGGCAUCGGCGUCCAGUGGGUCCUCCGUCUUGUGAAACAGAGGAGGCUGGGUCCCCAGAAAAUCCUCAGAGCGAGCAACAUGUGGCUGAUGAUGGGCCCUUCCUCCUUGGGGCUGCUGCUGCUGCCCCUGAGUGAUGUGCCUCAACAGCUCGGUCUGGGCUACCAAGAUCGACUCAAGGGUGGUCGGAGGCGGAGGUGGGGGAGGCACCUCGCUGCCACCGGGAACGGAGCCGGAGCGUGUGCGAUGCGCCAUCUGCAAGAUUCACCUUUCCAUCAGUUCCAUAACCCCAGAAGUAUUCCAAAAAAAUGUGGGAAUGUAUGUGUUAAAUCUGCAAAUGCAACUCUUGCAACACAACACAUAUCCUUAUUAAGGAGGUGUGCAAAUCUCAGCUAGCAACUGGCCCGUUUCUGCAGCGUCAUUCUAUCCUUGCUGCCGAUCGGAAAGGUAUUUUUAUCCACGUUUUGUAGGGUCCACAAGAUCCGGUUUUUCCUUGGUUGGUCUGCAUAUACCCUUGGGCGAGCCAAAACCUUAUCCCCGGGGUCUCACUAAUUCCGACCUUUGGUGCCGGGUCGGGCGAAACGGAGCUUCUCAACACGGGGUCGGACGAGGCGGAUACCUUUCAACAUGGGGUCGGACAAAACGGAGCCUUUCAUCCCAGGGUCGGGCGAGGCGGAGACCUGCCGCGAGGGGUCGGGCGGGGCGGAGACCGUCCGCGAGGGGUUGGGCGCGUCCGACCUCGCGACUCGGGGUCGGUCAGCUUUGGACAGGCCCACAGGAGACGGGUGUGUGGUCACAGCACUAAAACCCACACAACUUGGCAUCCACGGCGUGUCGCAAGGGUCAGAAGUCGAGUCAAAAGGGAACUGCUUUCACCAAGAUCAUUUCAUUGCUGGUCUUAAAAUACAGGAGGAGUACUCAACUCAAGGCUAACCUAUUACAUCAUUGGCCAAAAAUAUAGGUCACCGAGGAGUACAAUCAAAAACAAAAGAGAACCGCUCAGCCUAGUUUGUUAUAACUAGAAGUCGUCGAGGUUGCCCACGGAGGCAAAGGUAAGGACCGGAGAGUGAGCAUCACCAACUGGAGGCUGCGGUGAGGCAUUCUCAUAGUCCAUGCUCAAAAAGCCUUCGAUCUCCUUAGGCUCCUCCUCCUGGGCCAUCGGCUCAUCCAGCUGCACCUCUAAGGCGUGGAUGGCAUUAAGCUCAUCGUGAUGCUCCUGCACCUCUAAGGCAGUUUUACUUGGGAGUUUUAACACAACUUUCUUAUACAAACCUUUUGGAGUUAGCAUGGCGGAAAAAGGACAGCUAGACAAUCCUUAACGCGGUGCAUUACUUUUUACGACGUACUCGAGUUUGGUUUUAUUUCUGAAUGCAUGCACGUCCUAGUCGUCCUCUCAACCAAAAAUAAUUGCCAAAAAUCUUUGGACUUACGUGGUUAGUGCCGGUGGCAAGGCAACAAUACGGCUCUCACUAUAAUAACUAGUCGAGUUACUAGGCAUCGUUUCGAACGCAACGUUUGUUAGUGUACCUGCAGAAAAACACAACACAGCUUGAACCUUCCGUGCCAGCACUCACGAAAGCGUCCACAAUCAUUACCGUUCACUAUAGAAACGGCACCCAUGCGUUUAACGCUGCAUGCACAGCGCAACAACCGUGGAAAUAAGUUCCUUUGAAUAGAAUCCUAUAACCCUUCGCAUUCUCGUGAUGCGGAAUCAUGCACACGUGUAACAAACGUGGGCGAACAACCGUGACGAUAGGCUCGUUGGAAUCGAACCAUACCAUCCUUCGCAUGUAUUAACAUACGGAACCUGCGCACGUAUAAUAGACGUGGGCAAAACAACCGUGAUGAUAGGCUCGUUGGAAUCGAAUUCCCAUCACCCUUCACAUACUCGCGAUGCGGAUUUCAGCACACGUAUGAUAGGCGUGUCAAAAAGUGCUGGAAGUUAGAAGAUAACCAAUAACUAUUAGCCACCUUAAAAACAACCCCAAAAUUCCCUAGGGCUCCUCGAACUAAACUCGUCCUUAGCGAACUUACGAACUUCUCGAUUUUACUUCUUGCAAAUUUUAGUUAGAAAAAGAGUUUUAAGGUUUGUUGUUCUCCGUACUGUGCUUCGAGCUCUGAUGCCAGCUGUGGCAGAACCGCCCAAAUUAACCUGACUAAAAUGCACUUAAGUCGCCGGACACGCGAUCAUGCACUUUAAGCAAGUCAACUUGGUCGACCGUCGGAUUUCACCCGAUAAACCACAUAAACAGGAUCGAGAAGCAUCGCUCACGCGAAGGUGAGUAGCACAGAGAUUACAACAUUCCAUCACGACAACAAGUUCCACAUUUUAUUACAUCAGAGUUUUCGAAAUUUAGACCGAAAUUUGCAAGGUUCGAAGUCAAAUAAAACUAGCGGAAGCUAAACGUCGAUACAUGACAUCAUGACGGAGUCGAUCAUGACAUCAAAAACUCCUUCCUUCGCCGUUCGAGGAAGGAUCCCACUCGACGGUCCAGCCUGGGGGAAGCUGGGUCGGCCAAGUGGUACCCGCAACCAAACUAUUGACAUUACCUGAAAAAGAUUAGCCACAACAAGGCUGAGCAACUAGUACUCAGCAAGACUGACCCAUCGGAAAGACACGACCAAGACCUAGACAUGCAAGGCUUUCUGGCUCUGGGGUUUUCUUUGCCAAAAGCGUCUAAAGUCAGUCCUUACUUUCAACAUUUUAGCUCAUGUUCUAUGUUCUUUAUCCAUUCUAGAUUAGCAACUUAUACUAAACAACCAUGGUUUCCAAGCAAUUACUGAACAAGCAUCAAGAUUAAAAUCAUCAUCAUGUUCCAUCUUUACUCAGUGCAGAAUAGUGAUCAAGUAGUCCCAAUCUAUGAGAGGCAGACGAAUCGAUUCAAAUUUAUUAACCAUGCAUGGCAAACCUAAUCUCACGACAUCCGCGCACCAUGAAGGGUCGCUUCAUUUGUCAGUUGUCCCCAUCGAUCCCUCAGGCACGUGUCAGGGCCAACUUCCUUUGGCAUGCAAUGUUCCACAGUCCCGGCCUAUUGCUGCACUGUGACCGCACUUGCACCCACAUGAUGCACCAUGGGAACGACGUUCCAAGGACAGCCAGAGGGUAUGCCACGCCCCAGUUCAAUCAGGUACUAGGCUUCCCCAUCCCAUACUAGGUAUGAGAUUAGUACUUUCAAACACUUGAUCACGAACGCCGACACGUUUCGACCUUAGUUCAUUUUCAUUUAGACAGACGGGGCAAUCCACCAAGUAUCGAACAUAAGCCUGACCACGUCCUUCGUCCUUAUAGUUGCGACAAAUUUGAAACAUUCAACUCCUAUAACUCGCGAGUGACAGGAGAUCACUCGAGUUUUACUGAAACCUAUUAAGCAAUGCAACUACUCGGCCUUAGCAACUAGUAUUCAAAAACAAGGUACUAAGUUAUGCAUCUAAGGUUCCAUUACAACUCCUCGAAACGUAAAUGCGCAAUCAAGUAAUCAAUAAUAUUGCAUCAACUCAAGAUAGGAAUUUAUGCUCCGGGGCUUGCCUUCAGAAAAAGCUUGCGGGUCCUCGGGGUCUUGCUCCGGUUCGGGCUCUCCUACGCAGGGAUGCAGUUCCUCGGCGGGGUCUUCUUCCGGUGCUGGAUGAAGCUCGUACGUUCCGUCGGCGAGAUUCAACUCUACACGGAAAUGCAAUGCAGGGGUUAAACAUUUUAGAUGGUUAUUUCAACACACUCAUGUUUUAACACGGACACUUGUAGCAAAGCUACAGGAAAGGUGGAGGAGUUCAACUUCUGUUGGUGGAGAGCAGGAUGAGAGGGUCGGAUUGGGGGAAACUUAGGGUCUGACCCUCAGGUUUAAGGAAAAUCAUACCAAGGUCCUCAGACUCAACACAGAGGAAUCCCCGAAAAUAUUUCACCGAUACCUUCGGGUCAAAGAAAAAGUUACAGCCGAGCCCUCGGGCGAGGCGGAGAAAGGGUCGGCGAAACUUGGCAGGGUCGGGCGAGGCGAACGGGAAAAGGUCGGGCGAGACGAAAAGAAAAGGGGUCGGGCGAACCGAAACAAAGGGGUCGGGCGAAAUGAAAAAGGACAGGGGUUGGGCGAAACGAAAAGGACAUGGGUCGGGCGAGACGGAAAGAAAAAGGGGUCGGGCGAGACGGAAAGGACAGGGAGGUUAAGUAGCUUACCUCCAGGUCUACCGGUGAAGCCUUGGGGCCAAACAGGAGUAGGCUGGGGCGGGAAGUCGUACGCGCUAAGGCUUGGGCAGCGGCGAGACUUCGACGGUGGUCCGGCGGCGGCGGUGCUUCUUGCGGACACUAGCAAGCUCGAGUACCGCGCGGAGGAGCGGGCGGCUGGUGUGUUGGGGGAAACGGCUUGAGGGUGGCGGCGAAAUCGCCGGAGUGUGGGUGUGGCGCAAGGGGGUGAGCUCCACGAAAGCUCAGCGGCGGCGCGGGGAGAAAGCGGCGGCUCAGAUGCGGCGGUGGCAAAGGGGUGGCAUUGCCGGUGAGGGGGUUCCCUUUUAUAGGGCCGGGAUGGCGCGGAGGGUCGAGGCGGGGCUCCGGUGGGGAAAGGAUAAGGCAGGGAGCGGCGAGUGCUCGGGCGAGGCAGCCAUUAGCCGACGACGCCAUUGGGCAGAGGAGGCGGAGCUCCGGGUGGUCUUCGGCGGCGAUUGGCCUUGGGUGGCACGGUCUGGGGCUUCCGGUCUGUCGGGCGGGCGAGGCGGAAGGGCUACCGUGGGGGUUGGGCGAGCGGGCGGAGGCGCGGGACGUCGGGGGCGUCUCAGCUUUCUCGGCGAAUGGGCGGAACUGGGUUGGCGGAGCAGAGCCGUGGCAGGCGGAAGGCGGCACGCGCGCGGCUGGCGGUUGGCUGGCCAGGCGUUCGCUCCGUCCUAUCGCGGGCGCGGGUUGGGCGCCGUGGCUCUCGUCCUGUCGCUGUCGCGCUGGUGAUAGGGCGCCGGCGAGCUGCCGGUGGCCGGCGGCCACGUGGCACGCGGCGCGCGAGCGAACAUGCUCGGGCGCGCGGGCGUCGAGGCUCCCUUCGGGCAGCAAGCCCGACCAGCUUUGGAGCGAUCCUUCUCCGAAUCUUUCAACACAACUCCCGAAACUCCCUUAAACAAACUUGUUCAACUCUGAUCGUUCUUCAAACUUUGUUUAAGGUGUCGGUUUUGAUUGUGAGAGGAUUCGAAGAUAUUUUACGCCAAAGUUAGCCAAAAAUCUGGAAUUCCAGACUUAGGAUUUAAGGCAUCCGGGGUGAGUUGACUAGUUUACCUCACUUGACCGGGAUUUUGAACAACUUCGGGUCCGAUUUGGAUCUGGGUCAGUGUAACAAAGUUGGAACACUCUCGAGGUACUACAACUUCUAUUAAGGCUCUAACUCGAGUUUAGAUAGGAAAACGGGAGAUGAAAGCUUGCAAAGAUGGAGGAAAACUCAAAUUCCAGGACUUAAGAGAUUUUCAGGGUCCUUUAGGAAAGCCGGCUUUGGUUGUUGUUUUUGACUUCCUUCCACUCCGAAAUGGUCAAAGUACGUUUAACAAAAGUUGUUGGAAUUUAAAAGUUUUACAACUCUUAUUUGGGCAGAAACUUAAGUUUGUAUAUAGAAUUUCAAGCUUGAAAUCAAACUCCAAAAGGAGCUUCUUAGGUUUAUAAAGGUCAUUUCACUUCUUAAAUUAAGGAUUUAUCACUGGUUUAGAGUUAAAAGCACUUAAUUUAGGUAGAGUUGUUACAACGACCUGAAGGAGGUUUUCAUAGGAAACUUCCAGGGCACGUACACGCGCCCCGGCAACUCCUGGGAUCUUCGGAGCUGUCGCCAGGGAGCGGACGAGUCCCUCCGGGAUUACAUCCGGCGCUUCUCCAGGAAGCGUACUGAGCUCUCCAACGUUGCGGACGCCGACGUCAUCGGAGCUUUCCUAGCAGAAACCUCCUGCCGGCCCCUCGUCCACGAGCUAGGGCGCCGAGGCCCACGAACCAUGGAGGAGCUCCUCAACAUUGCCACUAGCUACGCCUCGGGUGAAGAGGCUGUUGGAGCGAUCUUCGACCGCUCCAAGGGAAAGGCAAAGCGGGAGGAGGAUGUUGACGAAGGCACCUCCAACCGCCAGCAGAAGAAGAAGGGCAAACAGCGGCGUGAGGCUCCCCUCGUAGCCGCUGUCGAGCGUAAGCGAGGGCAGCCGCCCCCCGAGGGCACUCCUGGCUUCUUCGACAAGCUGCUUGAGGGACCGUGCCCGAACCACGAGUUCCCCACGAAGCACACCUACAAAGACUGCAACCUCAUGAAGAGGUACUUUGUAGGCAAUCCAGUAAAGGGCGACCGGAAGCGGAAGCCCAACGAAGAGAAGGAAGAUGGCUUUCCCAAGGUGGACGGCUGCUUCAUGAUCUUCGGCGUACGACUCCAAGUGCCAGCAGAAGUUGGAACGCCGAGAGGUCUACGCGGUCGAGCCGGCGACUCCGGCCUUCCUCGACUGGUCGGGACCGGCCAUUACCUUCGAUCGGUCCGACCACCCGGGACGCGUCCGGCAUCCAGGACGCUACCCCCUCGUCGUCGACCCCAUCGUCGACACGACGUGCCUCACCAAGGUGCUCAUGGAUGGAGGCAGCGGCCUCAACAUCCUCUACGCCGAGACCCUCGACGCUAUGGGGAUUGACCGUUCCCGCCUCCGUCCCAGCAAGGCACCGUUCCACGGCGUCGUGCUAGGAAAACAGGCAAUGCCUCUCGGGCAAAUCGACUUGCCCGUCACUUUUGGGACCCCCUCCAACUACAGGAAGGAGGUCCUCACCUUCGAGGUGGUGGGGUUUCGCGGAACCUACCACGCCAUCUUGGGGCGCCCAUGCUACGCGAAGUUCAUGGCCAUCCCCAACUACACCUACCUCAAGCUCAAGCUGCUGGGGCCCAACGGGGUCAUCACCGUCGGCACGUCUUUCCAGAAGGCGUAUGAGUGCGACGUGGAAUGCUGCGAGUACGCCGCCGCCAUGACCAUCACGGGCGAUCUGGCGGUCCAGCUCGCAGAGGACGUUGAGGACCAGCCCGACUUCAAGCAGUCGGACACCUCCUUUGAAGCCACCGAAGGCAUCAAGGAGGUCCUCCUCGACCCCAGCAGCUUCGACGGCAAGGCCGUGCGGAUCGGCGCUACCCUAUCCCCCAAAUAGGAAAGCACGCUCGUCAACUUCCUCCGCGCGAACAGCGACGUCUUCGCGUGGAAGCCCUCGGACAUGCCCGGCAUUUCGAAAGAAGUCGCCGAGCACUCCUUGAACAUCAAGGCCGGCUCCAAGCCAGGGAAACAAGGACUGUGCCGCUUCGAUGAAGAGAGGCGCAAGGCCAUUGGCGAGGAGCUCCAGAAGCUUUUGACGGCCGGGUUCAUCAAGGAAGUGUACCACCCCGAGUGGCUAGCUAAUCCUGUUCUUGUACAAAAAAAGAAUGGGAAAUGGAGGAUGUGUGUUGAUUACACCGGUCUCAACAAGGUGUGCCCAAAUGAUCCGUUUCCUUUGCCACGUAUAGAUCAGAUAGUCGACUCAACCGCUGGGUGCGAAGCCCUCAGCUUCCUUGACGCGUAUUCCGGCUACCAUCAGAUCGCGAUGAAAGAAUCCGACCAGCUCGCUACAUCUUUCAUCACCCCUUUCGGCCCCUACUGCUACGUCAAGAUGUCGUUCGGCCUCAAGAACGCGGGGGCUACAUUCCAGCGAUGCAUGCUGAAGUGCUUCGGGGACCUCAUCGGGCGGACCGUUGAGGCUUACGUUGAUGACAUUGUAGUCAAAUCCAAGAGGGGCGAUCAGCUCAUCCCCGACCUCAAACUAGCCUUCGAAAGGCUAACGGAUAAGCGUAUUAAGCUCAAUCCCGAAAAAUGUGUUUUCGGAGUUCCCAGGGGCAUGCUGUUGGGCUUCAUCGUCUCCGUGCGCGGCAUCGAAGCCAAUCCGGAGAAGAUAGCGGCCAUCAGCGACAUGGGGCCAAUCCGGAACAUAAAGGGAGUCCAACGCGUCACGGGAUGCUUAGCGGCCCUGAGCUGCUUCAUCUCGCGCCUUGGCGAGCGGGGGCUUCCUCUCUAUCGACUCCUGAAGAAGACUGACCCCUUUGAAUGGACCGGCGAGGCCCAGGAGGUGCUUGACCGGCUCAAGGACCUCCUGACGAAGGCCCCGAUCCUGGUCCCGCUGGCCGACGACGAGCCCCUCCUGCUCUACAUCGCGGCGACCACCCAGGUGGUUAGCGCGGCUCUGGUGAUGGAACGAGAAGAGGAGGGACACGCUCUCAAGGUGCAACACCCAGUGUAUUUCAUCAGCGAGGUCUUGUCCGAGUCCAAAACGCGUUACCCGCAGAUCCAGAAGCUCAUCUACGCCGUCCUCAUCACAAAGAGGAAGCUGUGCCACUACUUCACCUCCCACCCGGUGACGGUUGUCUCGUCGUUCCCGCUAGGCGAGGUAAUUCGAAACCAGGACGCCACGGGACGAAUCGCAAAGUGGGCGCUCGAGCUCAUGGACCAAGGCAUCACCUACCGCCCCCCGAACCGCCAUCAAGUCCCAGGUACUCGCCGAUUUUGUAGCAGAGUAAACGGAGAUCCAGACGCCAUCAGCGUCGGACAAGCAGGAGUAUUGGACGGUGUACUUCGAUCGAUCGUUGAUGAGGGCCCGUGCCGGAGCAGGUCUCGUCUUCGUCUCUCCUCUAGGCGUGCACAUCAGGUACAUGAUCCGCCUCCACUUUCCUGCAUCCAACAACGUCGCCAAAUACGAGGCCCUCCUCAACGGGCUACGCAUCGCCAUCGAGCUGGGCAUCCGCCGGCUAGACAUCCGGGGGGACUCCCAGCUAGUCGUCGAACAAGUCAUAAAGGAAUGGAGCUGCCACGACCCCAAGAUGGUAGCCUACUGCAACAAGGUUCAUAAGCUUAAAGACAAGUUCGACGGGCUGGAGCUCAACCACGUCGCAAGGUGCUUCAACAAAGCCGCCGACGAGCUAGCGAAGGCUGCAUCCGGCCGAAUGCCCGCCCCCAACGGCGUUUUCGUCAGCGAUCAGUUCAAGCCUUCAAUCCGUCACCUAGAGCCGGCAAGGGUCGGCGAAGCACCCCCGGCCCCGGGGUCGGACCUCGACCCGGGGGAGGUCGGCAGCGCGCCACCCGUCCCAGGCCUUGACGCCAGCACCAACGGGGUCGGCACCGCUUCCCCCGAUUCGGCCUCGGAAGCCGACCCCUCCGGCCCCAUGGUCAUGAAAAUCGCGGCAGACCCCGCAGCGGGGCCCGACCCCCAGCCGACUGGAGAGCCCCGUACCUCGAUUAGCUCAUCCGUGACGCGCUCCCGGCGAACAAGACAGAAGCCCGUAGGAUCGCAUGCCGCGCCAAAUCCUUCGCCAUCAUCGAUCAGGAGCUCUACAAGAGAGGCCACACCGGCAUCCUCCAGCGCUGCAUCCCGAUCGAGCAGGGAAAGGCACUGAUCCAGGACAUCCACGCCGGAGCCUGCGGCCACCACGCUGCGCCGAGGACCCUCGUCGGCAACGCCUUCCGGCAAGGUUUUUACUAGCCGAUGGCGGUCGCCGACGCUACCCAAGUAGUCCGUACCUGUGAGGGGUGCCAGUUCUUUGCACGCCAAACUCACCUGCCCGCGCAGGCCCUCCAGACCAUCCCCGUCACGUGGCCGUUCGCGGUCUGGGGGCUAGAUCUCGUCGGGCCCUUCAAGAGAGCGCUCGGGGGCUUCACCCACCUACUUGUCGCCGUCGACAAGUUCUCUAAGUGGAUCGAGGCAAGACCGGUGGCGCAAAUCAGGUUCGAGCAGGCGGUACAGUUCUUCACUGACAUCAUCCACCGCUUCAGAAUCCCCAAUUCCAUCAUCACUAACAACGGCACGCAGUUCACCGGGAAGAAAUUCCUCCAGUUCUGCGACGACCACCACAUCCGAGUGGACUGGUCGGCCGUGGCACACCCCCGCACGAACGGGCAGGUCAAGCGAGCCAACGGCAUGAUACUCCAGGGUCUCAAGCCGCGAAUCUUCGACCGCCUCAAAAAGUUUGGCGGACGAUGGGUCGCCGAGCUUCCCGCAGUCCUUUGGAGCCCAAGGACGACCCCUAGCCGAGCGACUGGCUUCACCCCGUUUUUCAUGAUUUACGGGUCCGAGGCCAUCCUGCCCACCGAUCUGGGAUACGGAUCGCCAAGGGUCAAGGCAUACGACGAACAGGGGAACCAGGCAUCGCUCGAAGACGCACAAGAUCAACUCGACGAGGCACGAGACGUAGCCUUGCUGCACUCGGCUAAGUAUCAGCAAGCCCUACGGCGCUACCACAGCCGCAAGGUACAAGGCCGAGCCUUCAACGUCGGCGACCUGGUGCUCCGCCUCGUCCAGGACAACAGGGGUCGGCACAAGCUAACCCCCCCCUGGGAAGGUCCUUUCAUCGUCACGCAAGUACUACGGCCAGGCACCUACAAGCUAGCGACUCCCGACGGGCAGAUCUUCAGCAACGCCUGGAACAUAGAACAGCUAAGGCGUUUUUACCCCUAGUUUUCAUUUCCAAGUUCUGUACAGACUCGUCUGCAAAUUCAAAGUUUUCUUUUUUCGAAAAAAAGAAAUUCCAAGCCGUCUCUAUUCAGGCUUUUCCCAUCAAGCUCAGGGAUAUCCGACCCUGGCUUUGCUCCAGGGCCGCAUACCCCUCGGGGGCUAUCAGGGGCUCCGGCCCAAGCCACUUGGCACCAUCUGAAAAAACGUUUUUUCUUUCGAACCGAGCCCCCCUUUCCAAACUUUUGGGCACAAAAAGGAGAGAGUGCGCGAACGGUGUUCAGGCAAGAUUGAUCGGACUGCGAAAAAACCUACGCCCCAGCGGCUACGGUGCCUUCGCUCAUCAAAGCUCACUGACACGCCCGACAAUGCACUCUAAACUUUCAAGUCCAAGAGGACAAGAAAUGGGGUCGGAAACUUUCCCACGGCAAAGUUAUAGAAAAGGCCUCUAUGGCCAUCACAAAAUAAGUCCGAAACUGAUGUAUUUACAAUUUGGGCGCCAACCCGGUACAGUUAGCUCGACGGGGAAUCUUCGGGAGGGACGGCCUCAUCCUCCAGUAGCUUCGCAAGGGCCUCCGCCAGGGUGAACACCGCCGCAUCAAUCUCGUCCAGCUCGGCCUCAGAGUAACCGGCGGCGUAUCCUCUGCUCAUCCCGACGAAGUUGAUGCCGGAAUAAUGGGAGCCGAAGACCCCGAAGGCUUGCCGCACGCUGGUGUGAAGCGCAUCCACGGCGAUCUCGCGGCUCCGGCGACGCAUCCCGAGGACACAAGCCAGCAAAGAGCUCAACCCCUCCUCCGGAACCACGCCGAGGCCGUCGCAGACGACGCGGACCGCAUCCCGCAGGACGCCGUGCUCGCCACGCUCCGUGUCGAGCAGGUCCCUCAGCUUGGCGAUUUCGUCUGCAAGAACCACCCGGAAGACCCGCUAAAUCGAAAAUCACCACAACAUCACAAAGACAAAAGAAAUGAGCAGAGUCUUACCCUCGGACUGGGCCCUCAGCUGGCGCUCCCGGGCCACAGAAGCCUGAAGCUCCCGCACUUGCGCUUGAAGCUGGCCGACCUCCACUCCAAGGUCAGCCGCCGCCUUCUCGGCCUCCUCCUUCCGGACCUUCUCGGCGUCCCGGUCCUGCCAAGCCUUUUGCCGCUCGCGUCGGAUGCGCUCGACGGUCUUCUGGAGGGCUUCAUGCUCCCCCUUCAGCCGUGCGAGCUCCUCGGCGUCAUGGCGGGCCUUUUCGGCGGCAGCCUGGAACUCCUCGCGGUCAAGGCGGGCCUUAUCGACGACGGCUUGGAGCUUGGCUUCCGACCGCCACGCCUCCUCCUGCACCGCUUGCUCGCGCAGGUCGCUGAUGACCCCUGGGCGGCUGGGCGGCAGCAACCUACAUGGAUAGCUCCCUGGUUCGCUCCCUCUCCACGUUGAAGUGCUCCCAGANNNNNNNNNNNNNNNNNNNNNNNNNNNNNNNNNNNNNNNNNNNNNNNNNNNNNNNNNNNNNNNNNNNNNNNNNNNNNNNNNNNNNNNNNNNNNNNNNNNNUCCCCCGACUGCACUCUUGGAGAGCCUGCAAAGCAAUACGCCAUCAGGGGCAAGGCAACGGGAAAAGAACAAUCACCAACAGGAGGGGCGACGUACCUGGCUACCAGGGAGGACGACGUUGUCCAAAGCCCCCAUCGCCGAGGACAGAGCCGCGCAGGCGUGGGCGAGGCCACCCUGCACCGCUGCCACUUGUGCCACUCCGCAGCGUCAUCCAGGGUGAAGAGGUGCCUCGGCGGGUCCUCACGGGAUGCCCAACGCAGGACAGACCCUCUCCACGCCCUGGGAACGGUGGCAGCCGAGGCCGAGGCGGGAGCCGAUCCUGGCGCCGCUAUCGAAGCAGGCUCCACCACCCCGGAAGCCGCCGGGUUCACCGACGACCCCGGCGGCUGCGCACCCGUCGCCGCCAGGGCCGCCGCGGGGUCGUUCAAUGGCGGCGCCGCCUCCGACGCAAGCGGCGGAACAGGUAUCCCCGCGGCUACCUCGCCCUCCGCCGCAACCGCUGAGGGAGGCUCCUCCGCUCCUGCCGGAGUCCCUCGAGCAGCUCCUCCGCCUCCGCCGCCGAUGCCACCUCCGCUGGGAUCCCCGAGGCGGAGGUCCCCGCCUCCGUCGCCGCUGCCUCCUCCGCCGCGGCCGCGGGGGCAGACGCUCCCUCCUCUGUCGCCGCCACCGCCAACCCCGUUGCGGCUGCGGGGACAUCCAUCCUUCCUCCCGUCGCCGCCGUCCCCUCCGCCUCGUCGGUGUCAAGAUCGAUCACCUCCGUAGGGUCGACUGGGGGAGCAGAAGGCAGCACGGGGGCCACGCCCUCCACCGCGCUCGACGCCGCCGCCACUCUGAUGGUCGUCGUCACAGAGGCCGCUGCCGCGGCAGGAUCCGCGACCUCACCAGGGACCCCGCCACUCACCGCGGGCGGGACCACGGUCCGCCCCACAGAGGCGGACGACACCCGCAGCGCCUUCUUGGGCGCCAGCUGCAAGAUGAGACCACGGGGGGCGGCGCUGCGAAUCAACGAACAAACGUCAGCGGAAACGAACGCAAGAAGAGGAAAGGAACAAGACUCACGAGGAAGGCCAACUUACGUUCCUGCAGAGCAAGGACGGCGCGCGCGCUUCGCCUCGGAGCCGGACGCCGACCUCGGGGCAUCCAGCAGCGGCCGCUUGUCGCCGCUUCGCUACCCUUGAGUCUCGGGCGCGACGGCGGGGGCAGGCUCCGCGGACCUCCAGGGAGCGCCCCGCGCGGACUCCUGGAGGGCGCCCCGCGCCGGCUCCUGGGCAACGGCGGGGGUGGGCUCCGAAGACCCCCGGGGGGCGCUCCGCGCCGGCUCCAGGGAGGCACCCCGUGCCGACCCCUGGGGGGGUGUCCCGCACCGGCUCCUGGGAGGCGCCCCGCGCCAACCCCUGGGGGGCGUCCCGCGUCAACCCCUGGGGAGCGCCCCGCGCCGACCCCUGAGGCGCGGCCCCGGAGCCUUGCGGAACCAAGCCCCGGGCGGACGUCCCCUCCGCCUCAUCCCUCGCGGCUGUUUGCGGGCGCACCUCCCGGAUUACGAGCGCGCCCGACCGAAGGGAGAAAAUCAGCUCUUCCUCCUCUUCAUCAUCUUCCUCAUCUUCAUCCUCGUCAUCAUCAUCGUCGUCGUCGUCGUCGUCUAACAUGACCCGCCCUUUCCGCCGCCAUUAGAACUCCUUGGCGGCCUUCUUCUUCCUUUUCGCCGUCUCCUUGUCCUUACGGCGCUUCUGCGCUUCAGCAAGGAGACGAUUUUGCGUCCGCCGAUCGGCGUCCUCCGGCGCCGGCGGGUGUGAGUCCACGACCUGGGUCAGCGUGCCCUGCGAACGCGAAAUGGCCCCGCGUCAGAACGACGAUUACAAGACGCGAAGAAAGGAGGUCGGCGCCCCAAUCCCUUACCAGGUCGACGAAGCCCGCGUCCGGGCGCAUCGGCGGGUGCCUAGGCACCGGGUAGUCGGCAUCCUUGUCCUCCAACGCCUCCCGAAUCCGUUGCCGAAUCUCGGAGGCGGCGAGCGCGCCCGCCACCAAGGUGGUGCCCUCGGUCGGCGCGUCGGGAGUCAUGGCGGCAAGCGAACGGACCCGGAGCAUUAGCGGCGCUACUCGCCGGGCAUGGUACGCCCCAAUGACCCCGGCGCCGCUAAGCCCCCUCCUCUUCAGCUGCUCGAUAUCCUGCAGCAGGUCAAGGAUCCGCUUCUUCUCCUUCUCCACCGGCCCGUACGCCCACACCUCCGGCGCCACGUCGAUGGUACGGCCGGUGAAUUCCGGCAGGGGGGAGUUCGAGUAGUUCUUCACAUAGAACCACUGGUUAUGCCACCCCUUAUGGGACGCCGAGGUCUUCAUCGCCAUAUACUCCUUGGAGCGAGUAUGGUGGAGGUGGAUUCCGGCGCACCCGAUCGGCACCGGGGGCGACCGCUGCUGGUUCCCCCUCCUCUCUGUCUUCUGGUACAGGCUCACCGUGAAGAAAUACUUCAACAGCGAGAAGUUGGGCUUGAUGCCCAGGAACCCCUCGCACAGUGCGACGAACGUCGCGAUGUGCUGGAUCCCGUUGGGGUUGAGGUGCUGAAGCUCGAGCCCGUAGUAGUGGAGGAGCCCCCGGAAGAAGAGGCUCGGUGGAGUCGCGAACCCCCGCUCAUGGAAAUGAGCGAAGGAGACGACGUAGCCGGGGGGAGGCGACGGCACCUGCUCCGACCCCGGCAGCUCCCACUCGCCUGCCUCCGUCCUCUCGCAGAGGAGGCCUUUCUUCACCAGGCCUUCGGCGCGCGACGAGUUGAAGUGAGAGAUCUCCCAAGAUCCCAUCGCCAGAGGAGGAGGAAGCCUGACGGGGGUGGGAAGAAAGGGCGUAGCUUGGAGCGGAGGAAGGCGAAACGGGCGCAGGUGAGCUAAGGGCGAGUCCGGAGGGGGAAAAGGCUUGAAAGCAGAAGGCGGGCGGAACCAGCGAGGCGGAGCUUCCGUUUUUAUAGGAAAGGCGCGGGGGGAGCAGAACCGACGCCCCUGUCGCCAUAAAUGCGGCGCCAGGUACGCCCCCGUCACGCCCACUUUCUUUUCGGAAACCGCGCGCACGAUCGGCCGCGAAAACAUCCUAUCCUCCUCGAUUCGCGGGUCGGCACUCUCCAUAACUCCAUCUCCCGGAAAGCACGCCCACGACAUCCCCCCCGUUCGGCCCAAAACGCAACAUCCGCCCCGAUUCAUCCCAAGGCCCACCGAAAGGUAAGAAAGGGAUACGGGGCUGAAAACGCCCCUACGGCCCAUUACUAUCCAGAGGUUCGAAGGCUGGCCCGCUACGGGUUCGACAGCCGCCUCAGGACAUCCCCCGAGCGAGGGGUGAGAAGGGACGGGUCCGCUAGCGGCCAACACCCAGGCAAGCGAAAGCCAAGGGCGUCCCGGUCUCACGUUCGAGUCCAGACCGGAAUCAAAGUUCAUGGUUUUUCCACGAGGAAAGGCAACGAGCCCCCGAAUCCGACCGAACGGACCCGGGAACUAUAUGAACUGGCCGGCUGGAGACUGCAGUACGCCACCAGCUUGGCCCGAGCCGGACCCCCCCGAACGGGGACCGGGACUCCACUCGAACCUACCCGUUCGCAGCUCAACGAGCACCACGGUUCGUCCAACGAGGAUAGCGUGGCACGGCUCGACCCCUCCGUCCUAGCGAACGGAUGCUUGAGGGGUAACAAUCAAAAGUCGACCUAGCCUCCCAAUCGGUCUCCUGCAACGCGCGGGGGCUCGGGGGCUAGCGUCGCGACCAACGACCACGCGUGUGGUCGCGAUUUAGGGACUCCCCGGUCAAGCCGGACUAACAACGCUCCCUACCCCCAAUCAAACCGCAGCUUGCAGGACGAGCAGAAGAUCUCCAGCGAAACGGCGAAAAAAGCCUCUGGAGGAGCACUCCUGCUCCACCACAGGCUCGGGAGCUACUGUCGGGGGGAAAUAUUAACGGCCUCCUAAUGCCGCUUAAAGCAACGGUCCUGAAGGCCCAAGCCCAUCUAAGGUAGCGAAAUUGCCGUCGGCCCGACAUGGCAGGGAGAGGCCACGCUCCGCCUCGCCCGACCAGGAGGGACGCUCCCGACCCCUUGAAGGCCACGCUGCGCCUCGUCCGACCGAAGACCCGGGGUCGGACGCUCCCGACCCCUUGAAGGCCACGCUCCGCCUCGUCCGACCGAAGACCCGGGGUCGGACGCUCCCAACCCCCUGUGGACUGCACUCCGCCUCGCCCGACCCCGAGUUCCGGGGUCAGGCAUCCCCGACCCCCGGAAGAUCGAGCUCCGCCUCGCCCGACCGCAGAUCUGGGGUCGGGCUGACCCAGGCCCGCCCGACAAGUAUCCGCCUCGGGCGCCGAUCUCGUGGGCCCUCCUAUCAACCUCGCCAUAAAUGCGCCACAGGCAUGGCAUGUCAGAGAGAAGGAUGAUCGCGCUCCUCAUGCAAUCUACUGCAAGUACCCAUGCACGGCCGCACUGUACAAAGCUACAGUACCUGCGGCCUCCUUCCAUUCGCCGCAAGGCACUCAUGGCCUGCGCCGCCCGGAGCAGAAGGAAGACCCGCCCGUUCUCGGGUCCCGUGCGCCCGGCAGCAGGGGUGUGACGCUCGCUCUCCGCGAGCCAUCAGCAGGACGGCGGCAUCCGCCGUCCCUCCCAAUGGACACCAGAGUCACGACGAAACGCCCUCAUCAUGACCCGGCGGCUACAGCCACCGAGGAGGCCAUCUGCAGGGCGCGACGACAGUUGGCGCGCGGCCACCCUCCUCCUCCUCCAGCAUACGCGCCGGCAGACGCCGAAGGCUGGCGAGGACGCCGGGCACCUAGGAACUUGAUUCCUCCCUUCGCGUUGUAUUUUUACCAUACUACAUUUAAACUCUUUACUGCUCUCACCACCCGGUCUCACCUGUAACCCCGGCAGUCCCCUUACGAUAUAAAAGGAGCAUCGGGGGCCAGAGACGGGGGGUCGGAUUCUUUUCUCUCAAGCCAACAGCACACUCUCGCAUUCCCUUAGAGCACAAGCACCUUCAAGAGACCUGGGAUCAGAUCUCUCUCUCGUUCCUCUGUAACCCCUACUACAGAACCCCGCGUGGGCAACACGAGCAACCUCGAUACUGGACGUAGGGCCUCCUUUGUCCGAACCAGUCUAACCCCGUGACUCCCACGCCACCAUCCGAAGCCUUACGCGCAUAAAAGAAAUUUACUAGUCUAAGUCUUGACCCGCAAAUCUUGACAACGACAUAAUGAGAGCUCGUUUUGCCAAAAAAAAAAAUCUUUUUCAUUUCUCUUCGUUUCAAACGAGGCCUCAGGAUGGGAGAGAGUCGCCCAUUUAGCCUAGUUGUAGGCAAGUGCGCAUAACUAACGGUGAAUUAAUUGGUGAUUGAUAUCAGGUGUUCAAAUCUCUGCUUCCUUUUAAGUAAAAGUAGACAUAAGAGAAUGGCUUACGGUGAAUUGGUGAUUGAGGUCAUGAUCAAGUGUUGAAAUCUCUACUCUCCUUUAAGUAAAAAUAUGCAUAGGAGAAUCUCUUCAAAUCAAGAGAACAAAAAGAAAUUCAAUCUUGACUUUUGAGUCCUCCAUAAGACGGUAACGAUUAUACGCAAAUUAACCCCGAUGUUUAUCAAAUAUUUUAACCAACCAGAGGAAAAGGCAGCAGAGAUGAUUGCAUUGGAAAGUACUAGGUCGUACUUUAUAAAAAUCAUUGUAACACACACUCACACACAGCACUACUACUUAAGCAAUUGUCAUUGCAGAUUUGCAGGAAGCUGAAUCUAUUCAGAAGGAGGAUGCCCCUGCCACUGUCCUAGCUACUGUAGGGCGCAUCUCGCUCGGAUUCUGUAGUACGUGUACAGCAGCAGGAGACGUCCAUGUCAACCCCAACUACCUGCACGCUCUGAUCUCUAGACAUCAUAUGUUCGGAUGCUAAUUAGGAAGAUUAAACAUAGUUUAAUUACAAAACUAAUUGCACAGAUGGAGUCUAAUUCGUGAGACGAAUCUAUUAAGGCUAAUUAAUUCAUCAUUAGCAAAUGGUUACUGUAGCACAACAUUGUUAAAUCAUGGACUAAUUAGGCUUAAUAGAUUCGUCUCGCGAAUUAGACUCCAUUUGUGCAAUUAGUUUUGUAAUUAAACUAUAUUUAAUACUCCUAAUUAGUAUCUAAAUAUCCGAUGUGAUAAGUGCUAAAGUUUAGCACGGGGUAUCCAAACACCCCCUGCUGUAAAACGAGGGGCACUAUAAAACGGUGGCCCUGAGCCACUAUAAAACGAGGGCCAUGCCUACGCCGCUGCUGGUCACGUACUCACAUCUCUGCAUCCACAAGUACCUCGCCCGUGCGUCACCUUCUUGCACUAGGUAGGUUUUUUUCAACAUUCAAACAAAUCCCUCUUGUAAUCUUGCCAUCAAUUCGUGCUUAACCGCAUGCGCGCGUGCAAGAUUUUGACGUCCAUAAAUGAUUGGCCCGUACUUGCAUUUGGUAUAUGUUUCUUGCUUGUUCCUGAUCAAGAUGUGUUUUACGAUGCUUGCCAGCAGGACGAAUGGAGUUCCUGCCGGCGGGCUUCCGGUUCUUCCCCACGGACGAGGAGCUCAUCACCUACUACCUCGCUCCGAAGGCCAUGGACGACAGCUUCACCUCGCCGGCCAUCCGCGAUGUCGACCUCUACAAGUCCGAGCCAUGGGACCUGCCAUGUAGGAUUGUCGCAUGAGCUCACUACAUAUCCAUGCAUCCAAGCAAGUUAGCUAGCUGCUCAAUGCUCAUUGAUGUUAAUGUUCCCAGGCGAGCAGCAGGCGGCGGCGGCGGCAGCCGACCUGCAAGAGGGCUAUUUCUUCUGCAGGAGGGGCAGCAAGUACCCGUCCGGCGUGCGCGCCCGCCGCGCGACGCGGCUGGGGUACUGGAAGUCGACGGGGAAGGACAAGGCCGUGCACGGCAGGGACGAUGGCGGCCGCCUCGUCGGGACGAGGAAGACGCUGGUGUUCUACCGCGGCAGGGCGCCGAGAGGGGAGAAGACCGGCUGGGUCAUGCACGAGUACGCCAUGGGCGACAAGAGCAGCAGCGCCCUCCUCAGAGGAGCACAGGUGCACACAAUCUCACACGAAGAUGACCUGUACUUGUUCUUUUCUCUUUGGUACUUACAUGUGCUUCUAAUGGAAGAUUCCUUGCUUGUUUUAAUAAGUAAGGAGUACCAUGAAGCUGUACUCUGUAAUGUCCUACGAUUGUAAUCGAUGUGUUCUGGCCAUAUGCAGAGUGAGUGGGUCAUAUGCAAGGUGUUCAUGAGGAAGCAGCAUUCGUCGAGCGGCGAAAGGAAGGUGACAACUGAGGAGACGGUUCAUGACCAGGCCUCCAUCACUCCAGGCCAUGUCCUUCUUCCAAUGCUACCGGACGGUUGCGAUGGUGAGCAGGAGGCGGCGCCACCACCGGUAGUCACUGACUCACGGUCACGGCACACGGUCAGCGACUCGGGUGCACAGGCCAUGGACGGUAACGAGAAGGAUCCACAUCAUCAUCGACCGUCGUGGUUCAACCAUGAUGACCAGCUUGGAGCGCAUUGCUCCACGUUGUCAGUCAUGCAGAAGCAGUCCGAUGACGAUGCAGAUUAUUAUCUGCCGGAGCUGCUGGAGUACGACGACUAUGACGACUUAUCGAACCCUGGGUUGGGGUUGCUGGACUCCGGCGGUGAGGCGAGCCAAAGUUCUGAGAUCAUCUCCGCCGCCAUUGGCCCCCUUUACCUCGAUGGUCUCUACUGGAACUUUUGUUUCUGAAGGCAAAUAUAUUCAAUGUGUGUGCAUUAGACAUAAAUUCUGAGGUCUUCUGAACAAAUGCUGCAAAGCACUUGCAAUAUAAUGUGUGAGUUUGACAUUUAGAGUACAGGUUGAUGGGUGUAAAGAACACUAGGGUUGGCACAACAGUGGUAUAGUUUAUAGUUACACUAGAAAGCAGUGCAUGCUUGUAUAUAUCAUGGGCUUCUAUAUCGUUUCAUAUCAUGUACAUACUUCUCAGAAAUGUUCAAAUAUAAGGGAGUACCUCCACGUAUAUGGAGUAGUUAUUCUUAGUUGAGAAAAAAGCCUGGUCAGUACAAUCUUUUGCUCUCCUUCCGUUCAUCGGUCUAUUAAGAUAAUUAUCUAUGUGCAUGCAUAAGCAGGCCAGGUUUGGUUAAUGGUGAUAUGAUCAGCUAGUGAUAGGCAGGUUUGAUUAGUCCAUAUUUAUCAAUGAUUAGUUCUUGCACUUACUUGCGAGCUUGCAUCACUUCAGCAGGAGACAAAUCAAGUUACAAUAAUUGGAUUAGUUACUGGUAAUCUCGUCGACAAUCAGGAUCCAUGAACCGUGGGGUCAUGAAGAAGAGAUCUGAUUAGCGUCACAUGCUUAUUUGGCAUUCCAUGACUCGGUCCAAUCUCGUUAUCCUGCAAACAGCGUGUGGAUCUCAGCGACCAUGAGUAGUUUAGCAUCUCAUAUGAUUGACGCCUAGUUGUUCCUGAUAAAUGUAAGCUAAAGGACAGAUCUUAUGUUGUUAAAACAUAAUAAUGAUUGGAUGUCUCUUUUUUUUUUUUACUUAUGACCGGAGGCAACUGAUGUCAGGUUGAACAUGCCUCGUUACUAGGUAAUUUUAUAUGUGCUAUGCGUGAAAGUGGCUAGUUGCAACAGCAAAGAAACAAAAGGAUAUCCUGCUUUUUAAUCUUGACCUAGAUGAAUCAAGUGGCUUACUUUUUUAUAAACCAGAGAGCAAAUCAAGGUGCCAAGAUGACUAAGGAUUUGGUUUAGUUGAGCAUUCUAUUUGGAUAUCCAAGUUUUUUGUUUUUGGCAUCCUGGGCUGCAUUCAGUUUUACUAUAAAAACUGCCAUCUAGGAUUGAUGGUUCAGAAAGAGGGGGCAUGUCAUCCAAUGGCAAACCUAGUCAAAAGCAUAGUAGAACGAACCAAUAUUGCAUACCUCUAGUCUCAGCAAAUCACUGCUUCUUACAUGCUCAUGUGAAUCUGCAAAAAAAUGGUAAUAGCAUGAUUUUCACCCACACAGAAAACAAAAAUCUUGUUGUAUAAGACACGCGAAGUAAUCUGACAUACAUCUUGCUUUCCUGUUUUAUGCCUUUCAUCUUCCAUUGCCAAAAUGAUAGCAAACACUGAUGUCUUCUUGCUGUCGUGUUUCAGAAGAGUACGUGACAAAUUACGCAAAGAAACUAAGCCAAUGUCUGAAGCUUCCACGAAAGAACUACCUUUUGCUAACAUUGGUUUAUCAUGUGUGAAAUGGCGCAACAAUCAAUAGCUAUGGAGUACUUAAAUGUUCUUACACUAUACAAUGGUUCUUAAACCUCGUGUUGCUAACAGAGUUUAGGAAUAAUUUAGGCAAAUGAUGGGACUAAUCUUCAAGCCGACGUUGCUUAAUGAGUCAUGCCUAAUGUCAAGAUCCAAAAUUCCAGUUAGGUCAGAUUGAUUGUACCUGACAACAGUACGGUGGUUAAAUUGACAUCACUGCGUGCAGGUUUUAUUAAAUCUCUCUCUAUAUGAGCAUUUGACUCCAACCUUUGCUGCCUUGAAUUCCUACAGAAGACUCAAGAAAGGUUAUUGUAUGCCUAAUAUAGGGAGAAUAAGAAAAUGAAUUGUAUACUCACACGAGGGCUUAGAUCACUGAAAGGUGCAAGUGAGUACAAGAAAAGAAUUAGUUCUGCUCACCAAAGGACCAAAUCAAAGAUAUUGAAAGGUUUUACUAGCUAGCUAGUGAGCAAUCAGGAAAUGCAACUAGCAGGUGCAGGCAUUUUUGCAUGCAUGAUCACAAAAGAGUCAAGGAAAUGCAUACAUUUAAGUUGACCAAUCAAUCAUCAAGAAAGUACUUUUGACUAUGGAUAAAUAAAUCACACAUUUUGGUUGCCUACGGUUGUUCAUCCAACUAUGGCAGUAACACAUAUUCUCACCUACCAUCAUGCUCCUCCAAACCAUGGAGAGCUCAAACAUAUUUGUUGCACUGUUAAUGGAGUGAGCCUGAAGCUGUAGGUUAACUUUCAGUUCAUCAUUGGGGAUGCUGGACAGCUUGUGUAGUUUGGACCGCUUUCAAUACAGGCCUAGAGUUAUAUGAGUGCCUUAAAAGUGCUGUCUGAGUUGCACAAGACGUACCUCAAGAAAAGGUAAUUGGAGGAGACAAGCCAUUUGGUGCAAUUAAGAGGCCGUGCAUGUUCACAGUAAGCACUCAUGAACAUUAUCAGCCACUACUCUGAGUUUGACUUUUGAGAUAUCUGCCGGUUAGUUUAUUCCUGCUUCUUCCAUAGCCUCCCACGUUUUCCUACAGCAGUGCAGCGAUCUCAGAAAAUCUUGUGCUUUCUUAAGUAAGAUCUGGGGGAGGGGUAAAUAUGUUGUUAGGACCUUUGACUCUCCACUUGACUCUAUACCUUGGCAAACAAACAAUCUUUUGGAACCUUUUAAUGGAUGGUAACAGGUACAGUUUGGGCGUUCACUUCUCUUAGAUUGGAUCUUUGUUAUGUUCCUUCCAUCUACCAAUCAAAUCCGACUCCUCUGGAACUUUUGGAAGACAUAUUGGAGAAUUAGAAAAUUGAUAUGUUAGAUGUGGAGCACACAAGGAGGUCAAACAUUGACGACAAACCAAAACACCCACAUCAGCCUGAAAGCAUUAACCCAUCUCACUUACAGCCCUAAAAUAUCAACAUAAGGUAAUGAGAGCUAAGUUUAGUUAGUCGUACCACCAAAUACUCUUUGGUUUGACAUUGGAUAGGAACAACCAAAUAAGUAAUUCCAAAUUCUCUGCUGUUUUAAUUACUGUAGCAUAAUUAAUUUAUGGAUUUUGUUGGUGCUGGUGUUUAGAACUUUGGAAAAAAGCUCCUCCUUUUUUACUGAUCAGUUGAAAACUACCUGCAAAGAGUAUCAUUAGCACAGUUCAUUGGGAAAGGCUGCAACCACAUUCAUUCCUUUUUCCUUUUCUUCUGAAAAGUGGCACUUCAAUGACCGGCCUCAUGCAUCUCACAGAAACAAUGACUUUGGUACCCGCUAGGCAUCAACAGUUCUGAAGUUGUUCCCUACUCUAGGCUUGAUUAUUUUGUCCUUUUUUCGAGGGCAAAUUAUUUCGUCCUUUCACCUCAGUCUUAAACCAAGAUGGCAAUCAUAUAUCAUGUAGGCAAAAUGGGAUUACUGAAAACGUUUUCCACUCUAACUAAAGCUGCACCAGAACUAAUUGCAUAGCUAAAAAUACUUCGACUCCAAUUAUAGCUGCUCACCAGAACUGCAUAGUGACAGAGACUUGCCAUGAUGAAAUCCUCAUUCUGAAUCAUUCUUAGGCACUAAAAGGUAAUCAUCGUAUUGGUCACAUCAGACUCUAAACCGAAGCAUAUCAAGGGGUUGCCAUAUAUUACCUCUCCACUAGAUCAAAUAACUGACCUUUACCGUUAUAUUUACUGAAAAAUCCAAGCCUAAGUCCAAAUGACUUUAAGGCUCCUCUCAAUCAAGCAACAGACCAUAACCUUGACCCAUCUCACCCCAAUAAAAUGAAUCAUUUCUUAGCCUUACCCCAACACCAACCUGGACGCGGUGUCACCUGUGGGGCCUGAUCACCCAUGGAGUUAUUGCGAUUUUUAAUUCAUGGGCCAUAGCGAACUGGACCUGAGUGUUAAACUGACCCUCAAACGAAGGCAUUUGUUUGUUACUGUAUUUUUACGUUCAGUAGAUCAACAAGGAGCUGUACGUCUACCUGUACCUCGUAGCCAAACUGAAGCAAACCAACACAAGGGCAUUUAUGUCAUGAUAAGGCAUGGAAAAUUCAGUGCUCAUACCUCCUAUCAUGCUAAUGAUUUAUAGCAGUAGCAGUGUGCCUUGUCUUCUUCUCAUCCUGCUCUAUUUAUCCUCCAAUCCCUCUGCACUCAGAAGCUUGACUUCAGAAAGAUAACACUCCACACUGCUUCAAUGGGGCGAUCACCAUGCUGUGAGAAGAUUGGCCUGAAGAAAGGUCCAUGGACGCCGGAGGAGGAUCAGAAGCUGCUUGCCUACAUUGAGGAGCAUGGGCAUGGGAGCUGGCGAGCGUUGCCUGCAAAGGCAGGUGAGUGACGACCAAGCUGAAUUCCCACCAUCUUGCAAAUGAACAAAGUUAGCGAGAAUUCCACCAACAUCCUGCAGGCUUGCAGAGGUGCGGGAAGAGCUGCAGAUUGAGGUGGACAAACUACCUGAGGCCAGACAUCAAGAGGGGCAAGUUCAGCUUGCAGGAAGAGCAGACCAUCAUCCAGCUUCAUGCUCUUCUUGGUAACAGGUGAGUACCAAUGAAAUUAGUCAGCCCCAGAUUGUUACAGUAGACAUCCUCUGAAGUGUUCAGAGCACUAGUGAUCCUUUUGCUGCAACGCCAUAGGUAUCUUCUCUGACUUCUUUCUGCCAAGAUGAAGUGCACUGUCUGUUCUUGUCAGACUGCUGUCUGCCAUUUACUGACAUUAACGAAGCACAUGCAUCAACCCCGAAAGGAUUGUCAAUGUAUUUAUAUUGAAUUAGAAAGUGACGGUCAAUGAAUUAAAGUCUCUAUCCAGAUUUUGGCAUUUAAAACGAGAAAAAUUGGAAUUCUGAGUGCUAUGAUUUUAGCUUAAUCGAAAUCUUCCUUUCUAGUGCAUUUUCUGUGUCAACAUCUGAGUGCACCAAUUUAUUCUGCUGCAUGUACCAAGUUAUGGCAUGGCAUCUGUACUUUUUAGUUUGUCACCUCAUCUCCCCUCCCAUCAGUUUCUGGUAUCCGUAAACCUCUUAAUUUCUGUACUCCAGUAAAGAAUGUCAGCAUAUCCGAUGGAUGAAAACAAAAUAUCAGUUUUAACUCACGAGUUUAUUUUCCUGGCGCUGUUCAGAUGGUCAGCCAUCGCAACACAUCUACCAAAGCGCACGGACAAUGAGAUCAAGAACUACUGGAACACCCACCUCAAGAAGAGGCUGGCCAAGAUGGGGAUCGACCCUGUCACCCACAAAUCUAUCAGUGGCACUCUCACUGGCACCGCAGACGACAAAUCAGCCAAGGUUGCGGCAAGCCUCAGCCACAUGGCUCAGUGGGAGAGCGCCCGCCUCGAAGCUGAGGCACGGCUGGCUCGAGAGUCUAAGAUGCGAACAGCAGCGCCGACACCAACCACACUCCAUGGGCAGCAAACGAAUGUACCUGCCUCCACUGCUUCUCCAUGCCUUGACGUGUUGCAUGCAUGGCAGGGUGCAAAGAUAGACCUGGAGUCACCUACCUCCACACUGACGUUUACAGGGAGCAAUAGUGGCAUGCUGCCAACCCCCAGGACCAACAGACUAGAGGUAUCAGAAAGCAACUCUGUGAUGUGGGAGAGGAGUGAUGAACUGGAGGGUGAAGAAAGCGAUUGGCAGUUCUACAGCAGGCACCAAGUGCUGGGACUGGAAGGCAAGGAGAGGGAAGAGGACUUCAUUGGCUGUGAAGAGCCGUGGUUCUCAGGAAUGGCUGGGGUUGGAGCUGGCUUCACAGGCAUGCUGCUUGAUGGAUCCAAUGAGCAUGACGCAUCAGAAUGCUGGGGUGAGUCCAGCAAUGGCCAAACUGAGCACAGCAACCAAGCAUCAGAUGAGGAGGACAAGAAUUAUUGGAAUGGUGUCCUCGGCAUGGUGAACUCAGAGCUGCCACCCCAGUCACCCCCAUCCCCAUUGGUCUAGAAUAUACGGCUUCUGACCGAAAUCUAUUGGGUCAUCAGAAGUCAAAAGGGAAACAGAAAGAGCGCUACAAAUAAAUGCUACAACUGCUGCAACAGUAUGAAUUGUUUUUUCUCCAUGCAUGUGAAAGUGAAAUAAUUAGCUAUUGUGUGGAUCUAGUAAAUAAAUUGUAUUAAUUUAUGUCAGUUUCUUUUUUGUUGGCCUAGGGCUAGAAAUAACUGUAUGAUAGCCACCAGGACCCCAGCAGGGACACCACAUUAAUGACCCACGGACUUUACAGUUGUUAGUUCAACGCCCAAGUUGUCUUGUCUCCCCCUCUUUGGACUCCAACCCAGAAUGAUUAAUCAGUACUAUUACCAUAAAGUUAGAAUAUCACUUCAGUUCAAAAGUGAAGUUACAAGUUAUUUCAGCAAAUAAGUCCAAUUUGGCGUGUAUGUUCCUUCAUUCGAAUAAAGAAAUGUACAUAGUGACUCAACAGCAUAUAUGAAGUAUCCUCCUCUUAGAACGCCAACAGAAUGUAGAUAGUGUCCAUUAGACUGUCAAACAAAUUUUAAAGGAAUAUAUCUUUAGUUACUGCAAACCAUACCAAAAAGAUGAACAGUUACCAGAACAAUGUCAGGAAAAAAACAGAUGAAGGUAAACAUUGUUCUAGAGAACAGGUAUUUUUAACCAGAAAACUAGUACCCAGAAUAAUAAGGACAUAGAAGUGCCUCAGCUAAAGUACAGGGGCAAGAAAAGAAAGAUAUUGAAACUGUUUCAUGGGAGAUUGAGAAUAAACAUUGUGAUAUAUCGCCACUGUUGAUUUGUUAUGGGGUUGUGUAAAACUGAAAACAUGCAGACACACCAACUGAACAGGAAGGCAAAAGACAAAACACUGACCUCACAACGAAGGAAGAAAGGACAACCAUGGCCCCGUUGAAAUAACUAUGCAACAUUGCAUUAUUGAGACCACAGUAGAGGUCCUUCCCUCUGCACAUGGCCUCUCAAAACAGAUCAACCUCUUGUGCCAGAGGAAGACUGUACCACUUUGUUCAAAAGCUUGGUUGGAUCCCUGAAAAGAAAACUUUGGUAGAGUCAUCAUAAUUCUGCAAAACCACCCUUUUGUCUCAAGAACCAUUGCAUUUAGAACCAUUGUCCAUAUUGCAGAUUUCAAUCAAUACUUUUAAUUGCGACAAUUUAUGUCUUUUGUUUCAAAAUAAAUUACCAUCUGUGCUUCUAAGUUUACGAGCUGACCAUCUGUAAUUCGAAGCAAGAGAAAAAUACUAAUGUGAACACAAUGAAAUUACACGAGAUGUGAAAUUCAGUACAGUGCAGGUCUUAUACGAUCAAUCAGACAGCCUGCAUGUCUAUUGCUUUGUGCAUGUGAGCAAUUUUAUAGAGGCAUGCAGAUUAACUAGCAAUAGUAUCAAAAGAAUUAAGUAAAAAUUGGCAUGAAUUUGGAAGUACAUGUCCUACAGUAUUGAAGCUUGAAAACAGAAGGGCAAGAUUAUACCAACUUACCAACUUACAAGUAUGUUAAGACAAACUCAUACUAAGACACUUACAGUGGAACUAACUGCUACCCAUAGUUGUAGUCGCCAGAAACCCAUUAGUGCUUCAACCACACUGCUUGCAUAUGCUACACAAUCACAUGAUGUAAAAAAUUGAUUUUUCUUUUUCUUUUUCAGGCAUUCAAGGCGGAACGUCACCACUUGAAAAAACAUCAGGUACGAGCUAUUGAAUUUGGUGCAAAAGAACCAGCAAAAACUAAGGGUACAACCGUUUAUACAAGUCGACACUGUUACGGAAACCAUUCGUGCAUCACCAUGCCAGAUUUAGAUAAAUAAGAGUCCUAGCCGGUUGUAUUUGUUUAUAGAAGGUGCAAGUAUUAUUAGCAUGUUAUCUCUUUCUAUCUUUAGGAAGUCUAAGAGUCCUAGCCAGUCUGUUAGUCCAUGAUGUGUUAGUUAGCUGUUGCACAAAAGCUAUUAUGGCAUUCCAAGGGGUCCUCCACAUGAAUCGAUCUAGUAAGGGGCUUUGCCCACCAAAUUCAGCUAUGAUCAGAGCCUCUUCUCGACAAGAGAAGCCUGAAGGUUAGAGGGCGAUCAGCCCUUGUCUCACUGUGUAAUCUAGUACCACAAUAAAUGCAUCCCAUCAUUUAGGCACGACAUGACAUUACAAUACGCAUUUCAAAUGAUCAAGGACAGCUGAUAAAAUAAAUUGCACAAUCACUCACAAUAUUCUCCUUGCAAAGGUUUAUAAUCCAAGAUGCAAAGAAAGUUACCGUCAAGAAGUUAUCCUUGAUAUCUAAUAAUCUGUACCUUCAUUUUUAGAUGCUACCCACCUAAGACAUGACUAGACCUAUGACAAGACAAUAGCAUACAGCUGCCAAGUGUAAUUGGCAAAUUUACACUAUGCAGAAUGCUUUAUAGUAUUGUAAAUUUGUAAUUAUGCAGUACGAUGCAUAUUGCAUAAACUAAAAAGAUAGCCCACUGUAUUUUAUGGAGCAUAUGACACAAUUGAUCACUUCCUAUUUUGUACACAUAACAAACUUAAUUGAAUAUGAAAUUCGGAAGGUCAAAUCUGAUAAUGAAAUUAUACACCUGAAUUUGGUGUGAAAUAAGAGAUAAAAAUUAAAAUCUUUGGCGAGGAGAUAAGAGUUGAAAAGUAAUACAUGCACAUAUCAACUCAGUGGAGUUUUAGAUUACAAUGAACAAAGGCCAGUUAAUUCAAAAUUCAUGCUCGAAACAAAAAUGUCAACAAUAGAGGUAUACAUAAAAAGAAACUUGAACACAGGCAUAUAUAGAGGCUGAAACACAACAUAUGAUGGAGCUAAAGUUGUCAAACCAAAUUCAUAUGCAUAUAGCAUAGAGGGGUAAUAGAGUUCAGGAUUUCUGAUAGACAGCAGACCAAAUGCAAAUCUAAGUAAAAAUAAAUAAAAAUGCAGAUAAAUCAAAUCAUAUAGUUUGUGAAUAAGCAACUCGUGUUCACACAAAUGCAGCAACAUCUGUAUCUGUGAAUAAAAGAUCCAGAUCUUGCCAAUGCAGAUGACCUGACAAAUUCGAUCCAUUUCUAGCCGUGGACCUAUACUUGUAAUGAUAAAGACAGAUAUGCUCUUAAGGAAAACAAUAGCAUACAACUAGUCCAAUCUCUGCAUCUGAUUCAUGCUAAUUUCUGAUUACUUCAUGGAUUAUGUUGCGGCACUAAAAGAUAGAAACUGAGGCUGCUUUUUCAAGAUUUUCUCAUCCAGUAGAAAGUAAUUCAUUUAUUUGAUUUGGCAUGUGAUGUUCGAACAUACUGGAACUCUUGGUCAAUUAUGUUUGCUGCACAUGCCGCAUUAUGUGCCAUUUUGCAUGACUAUUCUAGAAAGACAAUCAUAAGUGGCAGAUCCACCCCCACAGACUAAUAAUUCUUGAUCGACCUGUGAUUAUUAUCAUAGUACCAAAUAUCAUAGUAAAAUUUUAUGAGUCAGAAUCUACAUCAAUUUACGUUAAAAAAAAAGAAUCUACAUCAAUAGUCAUACAGGAUUAAUUACUUCUCACUAACAGACAUACAGUUAAGGCCUAGUCAUGACAUUAGCCUUACCGAUCCAAAGAAUUAUUUUGGUCCAUCCACCCUUAUCACAUAAUGGACCUCAAUAGGACCAUUUUUUUAUUAAUGGUGCAGAUAUAGCGAAAAAGAAUAUUUUUAAAAAAAGCAAAGAACAACACAUUACUACUAUCUCCAUUUCUUUUUAUAAUAAGGUGUGCACACAUAAGAUUCUAACCCCGUAAUCUUCACCCAACGAUUAGUCUUAUAAGAUGCUAAUGUUGAUAUCAUUGUAUUUGUAUUUGAAAGUAGGAUAUUAUGGUCAUGAUUUUGCUGUUAAACAUUAUACUAUAAAAAAAUCAUGGGUCAAGACAUAGGUUUUUAGAGCGUGCGGAGUCAAACCAUGCCUUAUAUUUUGAAAUGGAGUGAAUAAUGCAAAGGAUAAGCCAAGGUGGGGGUCUUUUAUCUAACAAAAAUUUGUUGCAAGUGAAGUGAACACCCCCAGAAGGGCCAGAACAACUCCCGAUGUACAUCCCUCAACCUCACCUUACAUGAGGACAGCAUCACACUUCUCGAAUUUCUGAAGAGCCUGACCCUCUGAAUACGCCAUCCCGAUCGAAGCCUCGCCAUUCCUCCCAACACCCAUGUAAUACAGCCUCCAGUCAUAGGCCCCAUCCAUUUGCACCAAGUACGGUGAACCAACCCCAGCACCAUCCCACCCUUCGCCCUCCUCAGAUGGGCACAGCACUGGCAUCUCACUGGACCGCCUCCACCCUUUAAGCCCGUCCUCCGACACAGCCAUUCCAAUGCUCACUUUCCCAUCCGCAUCAACACCAUCAUACACCAUCACAUACCGCCCGGCAGCACGGUCACGGACGACAUGUCCAUGCCGCACCCCGCAUUCAUCAAAGGAUCCAGCACGGCCACCCUCAAGCACCUUCCCUAUCUUCGUCCACCGGAUGCCGUCCCUGGACCUCGCCAGACCUAUCGCGUGCCUCCGCGACAUUUCGUCGAACGAAUGGUAGUACAUCCGCAGGUCCCCGUCGGCGUGCAUGACCACCUUGGGCGCGGCAAUGCAGCGCGCCUCCCACCCACGGGGUUCCUCCCCCUCCUCCCCGACGCCGAGAAGCGCGCCGGUGUGGUGGUCCCCCUCGAUGCGCGCCCAGUUGCGGCCGUCCUGGCUGAUGGCGAGCCCCGGCAGCGCGGGGACGUCCGCUUCGGGGAACGCGGAGCCGAACCGCCCGUCGGUGGAGCCCGUGUAGUAGAGCCAGUACACGGCGGAGGACGGGAAGCGGCGCGAGGACGCGGCGGGGCCGGAGAUGAGGAGGACGUCGGAGGGGCGGGCGGCGGCGGUGUCGAACGCCCACCAGUCCUCGGAGGGUAGCAGCGGGUCGGGGGACACGGGGGCGCUCCAGCGGAGCCCGUCCGGGGAGGUGGCGAGCGCGACGCGCGCGCCGGACUGGUGCCAGAGGAGCCACCCGCCGCCGUCCGGGACGCGCUUGACGACAGGGGAGCCCGCGCCGCGGAGGAUGAGGCCGCGGGCCGCGGCGGUGGAGGAUUGCUGGGUGGGAGAGUGGCAGCGGAGAGGGGCGGGGGCGAGGAGGCGGCCCGCCGGCGAGGGGAGGAGAGCGGCGGGGAGCAUGGCAGGCGGGUUGAGAGUUGAGAUCGUGAGAGUAGUUGUGCCGUGUGCCGGAUUAGGAGGACGUGGGGCCCUUCGCAUGGCACAGCGCGGAAAUUUUUUUAUUUUAGUAUUUUGCAAAAAUAUAUGGCUAAACAAAAAUUGCAAAUCCAAGCUAUCGCUAGUUAAACCAGCGAUAACUUCCUCCUCCUACACUUUCAAAAAAAUCAUCGACAAGAUUUAUAACUUUGUAGUUCAAACUUUUUUCAUUUGGUGCUAUUUUGGUGCUCAAAUAUUUCACAAUUUUCAGAUCUAAAAUUUUUAUCGAUUAUUUGAGUAUAAAAAUGGCAUCAAAUGAAAACAGUUUGAACUACAAAGUUAUAAAUCUCAUCGAGAACUACAAUUUUUAUAUAAAACUUAUCUUGGUAUACGAGUUCAUAUGAAUUAGCUAUGAUUUUUUGAAUGUGUACUACCCAGUUUCAUUUUUAAAAUUUAAAUUUUAAAUCUAAAACUUGUGUCGAUUAUUUGACCACACCAAGAUGACACCAAAUGAAAAAGUUUGAACUACAACUUUGUAGAUCUCGUCAAGAUCUACAAUUUUCAUAUUUUAUUCCCAACCAAGUUCAUAUUGUACUGUCCACGGAGGAAGUUCAACUGGCGGUGCUACGGUACAGGUAUAGAUUUGACCAUAUAUUUUUGCAAAAUAUUAAAAUAAAAAAUAAAAAAAAUUCCCGCUGCGCGGCUGGGCUUGGGAUCGGAGUUGGGCCGUUGGGCGGGACGUUUGCCGCUUGGAACCUUGAACUCGUUUCGGUUAGGACUUAGGCGCCUUCGACCAAUGGUAGCGGACUCCACAUAAUACGCCAUCAAAGCAACAUGGUUCGUCAGGCUGCUGCUCUCGUUGAUUCGAGUUGCUGCAUUUUCAUUUACAAGAUACAGACAUACAGUAGGAUUCACUACUUUUAUAAGUAAGUAAGUUAUUCCAACUUUCUUAAAGAGUCAAAUCAUUUUACGUUUGAUCAAAAUUAUAGAGAGGAUCGCAAAGAUUUACGGUACCGAAUAGAUAUACUAUGAAAGAUUUAAUAAAAAAACUAAAUGUACUUAUUUGAUAUUAUGAAUAUUAGUACUUUAUUAUAUAAAUUUGGUCAAAGAAAGUUGGAACGACUUGUAAUUUUUGUAAUUUGGAACGGAGGGAGUAAAAAAGUAACGGACAAAAAAUAGUUUGGAAGCAUCUUCCUGCUCCAUCAUCUGCUAUCCCAUGGCCCUUGAUCCCAUCCAAAUAUCUUUCUUUGGGUCUGUGCGUACAGCACGUCGCCGGGACCUUUUCCAGUUGCACAGCACCUCCGAAGAUUCCUCUAGCUAGACCGUCGCUCACAUGGACACCGGCGAUUCCCUGAAGCAGACCGUCGUUCUGUGCCCCGGCAUCGGCGGCGCCGGCCACGUCGGCCCCAUGGCGCAGCUCGCCGAGCUCUUCCUCGAGCACGGCUACGACGCCACCGUGGUGCUCAUCGAGCCGCCCAUCAGUUCAUCCGACUCCGACUUCGCCGGCUCCCGCCCGUCUGUCUCAUUCCUCGAGCAUCAGCUUCUCGGCCGCAUCGCCGCCGCCCACCCGUCUGUCUCAUUCCACGUGCUCCCGCCGCUCCCGCCCCCCGACUUCGCCGGCUCCGACGAGCACCCGUUCCUCCUCGUGCUCCGGCUGCUGCGCCGGUACAACGAGCGGCUCGAGGCCUUCCUCCGCUCCGUGCCCCGGGCGCGCCUGCACUCGGUGGUCGUCGACCAGUUCUACGUCCAGGCCAUCGACGUCGCCGCGGCGCUGGGCGGCGUCCCCGUGUACACGUUCGUCUCCUCGGGCGCGUCGGCUCUGGCCGUCUUCAUCCAGAUCCCGGCGCUGCUGGCCGGCAGGCAAACGGGGUUGAAGGAGCUCGGGGACACGCCGCUCGAGCUCGCCGGCGUUCCACCCAUGCCGGCGUCGCAUCGCACCUCGUCAAGGACCUCCUCGAGCACCCGGAGGACGACAUGUGCAGAGCCAUGCCCGACAUUUUAAAGCGCGGCAUGGAAACCCAUGGCGUCCUUGUCAACACGUUCGAGUCGCUGGAGAGCCGGGCGGUGCAGGCGCUCAGGGAUCCCCUGUCCAUCUCCCUCCCCGGCGGCCGCGUCCUACCUCCGAUCUAUUGCGUCGGGCCGUUGGUCGGCAACGGCAAGAGCGCACGGGAUCGCGGCGAGGAGAGAGCAGAGUGCCUCGCGUGGCUCGACGCGCAGCCGGAGCGCAGUAUCGUGUUCCUCUGCUUCGGGAGCAUGGGAUCGCUGCCCGAGGAGCAGCUCAGGGAGAUCGUCGCCGGCCUGGAGGCGUCAGGACGGCGGUCCCUCUGGGUCGUGCGCACGCCGCCGGGGCGCGCCGACCUGAAGAAGAUCCUUGAGCAGCGCGGCGAGCCGGACCUCGACGCGCUCCUGCCGGAGGGGUUCCUGGAGCGGACCAGGGGCCGGGGCCUCGUCGUCAGGUCGUGGGCGCCGCAGGCUGCCGUGCUCCGCCACCCCGCGACGGCGGCGUUCGUGACCCACUGCGGGUGGAACUCGGCGCUGGAGGGCGUCGCGGCGGGGGUGCCCAUGCUGUGCUGGCCGCUGUACGCGGAGCAGCUGAUGAACAAGGUGUUCAUGGCGGGGGACAUGAGCGUCGGGGUGGGGAUGGAGGGGUACGCGGCGGGGCUCGUCGGGGCCGGGGAGGUGGAGGCGAAGGUGAGGCUGGUGAUGGACGCCGAGCAGGGUAGGGAGCUCAGGGCGCGGGUGGCGGCGCGCAGGGAAGAAGCGGAGGUGGGGCUGAUGCUCGGGGGCUCGUCGCAGCGGGCGUUUGCUCAGUUCUUGUCGGAUGCGGAGACUAUUCGCGAAUCGCGUGCACUUGGGCAAGUGAAGUGACGAGUUUGCAAGUGCUCUUCUUCUAUGAAUUGUUUUGUCUUAUAAAUCCCGAUUUCAUCAUUUUAUGUGAUAUGCCAACCACUUCUCCUCAAUCGAUUGAAAAUUGUCCUUGCGUCAAUCACCUUCUAUCACCGUCGGAUCUAGAUUCAACAGUCAAGAUCCACACCCUCUUCCUCCUUAUCCUUUCCCGUCGCAUGCGGUCUCAUUCGACCGCUUCUCUUUGUCUUCCUCUCGCCACUGCCCGCCUACCCUCCACCUCGCCAGCGCCGUCCCCGGAGCCGGCAAGGCCCACCGUCAAACCCCCCGCCCCCACCGCCCCCCCUCCUCCUCCAUCGAUGGCCGCUUGCCCCCGCCUCCGCCAUCGUCUCGACCGCUCCCGCGCUAAUCCAUCGCUGGCGCUCGCCACCGCCGCCUCCCUCUCCCGCCAUCUCGACCGCCACCACCGCCGAUCAGCAAGCCACCCCAAAGCCUCCUCUAGGCCCGUAGACCACAGGUAACCCCACCACCAAACCCCAAACCCGGAACCCGAACCAUAAGGCUCCCCAAACCUGGAACCCGAACCCUAAGGCUCGCCGACGCCAUUGCUGGAGCUAGGGGAGACAACUCACAUAAAAGUGAUUGAGACAAACUUAAAAAUCAAGCGAGUUCUAGCAAAUCUCUUCUUUUUAUUUAGGAAGAAAGUUUAAUGUUGUAUUACUGUACCAACACUAGGUACAACUCAACAAAGACAAUAGACCAUCGACUCGACCUAAACCAUAAUCACAGAUUCACAGCAGCCAAAUUAGGUCUGAUUGCCCCCAAUACGCUCCAUGAAAUGCCGGGUAAAGAAUCUGGUGUGAACACUCUUUUUUUUAAACAAACUGCGGAUUAUAUUAAAAAGUAGCAGUGUGAACUCAGAGUGUCUAAACCGGCUCUUUAUGUUCUUCCUCGCAAAUUGUAUAGGGACUUAAGAUGAACACAACGCAAAUGGUUGUUGUGUGUUGUUUGCCACUCUACAAUGGUAUGAUAAUCAACAACACAAAUGCUAAGGCAACAUACUACUACAUGUAUAGAUGAUAAAACAUGGGCGUACAAGUCCGGUCGAUCAAUACCAAAUUACCGAUCGAUCAGCUGGUCUUCCUCUGCUCGAGCUCUCUGCUCUCCCUGAGAUCAGCCUCCAUCUUCUUGUCCACAUUCUUGCAGAACCCAGGGUAGGGCUCAUAGCCAAACAGCUUGUUCAGUAUCUGUGCACACAAAGAACCAGCAGACACUGAAGAGUUAGCACUGCUCGAAGCCGUUUCAAUUCCAUGUGUGCAGAUGACUGAAGAAUUAGCACGUGCUUGUGAAAUUGUGACUGUGCUUACCUGCAGGAAGAUGAGGAAUGGCUCCAUCAGGAACACCUCAGGGAGUUCACUCACGGUCGGCCCCUUCUUCUGCACAAAUUGAACGACAGAAAUUAAACAAGCAGGAUACCAAAUCGGCAGUGGAGGCGUAGAUUACAUUCCCAAGAGCUUAAUGAUGGGAAAAUGGGAACGAGUGGGGAGGACGGCGACGAGAGGGAUCGAACGAAUCCGCUCCACUUGCCUCGAAGAGGCCGUGGCCGAGGAACUGCCAGGUCCAGCAGAAGAGCUGCGUGGCGAGGACGAGCCUCCAGGAGGCCGCGAAGCCGAGGUGGGCCGCGAGGGAGCGGCUGGCGGCCCAGGCGGCGAGGAAGAGCAGCCCCGCGAGCGCGCCGGCGCGGCGGUCGACGGCGAGGUAGGCGGCGGCGUAGCGAGGGCGAGCGCGAGCGCGGGGUCGACCGGCAGCGGCGGCAGGAAGUGGAGGAUGAGAAGGUUGGUGAAGAGGAUGGGCCAGUGAGCAGCGCGUGCGCCGCCGCGUUCACGGGGUGCCGGUGCUGCGACCGGAAGAAGGCGAACUGCGCCUCCAGGUCCAGCACCCCGCGCCGGUGCGCCGCCUUGGCCCCCAUGGACGCCGAGGCUCCGAGGAAUCUGGGAUCGAGGGGGCAGGCAGCGGUGGACGAAUGGUGAGUGCGGUGACCCUUGAGGCUGAUUGUUUCUUUAAUUGAGCGAGCCAAAUCCUCAAGUGAGUUAUUGGGUCUAUAUAUAAUGGCCCAUUUGGUCGGCAUAGUUUUCACGUGAGUACGUGACAUCAAAAUUACUUAUAUAGCCCUAUAUUAUCAAUGGAAUACGUUUAUUUUUAAAAUAAAAUAUAUGUAAAAAAAGUUAGCUACUCCCUCCGUUCCAAAUUGUAAGUCAUUCCAACAAUCUUGGAGAGUCGAAGCAUCUCAAGUUUGACCAAAUUUAUAUGAUAAUAUAAUAACAUUUAUGAUGUCAACUAAGUAUCAUUAGAUUCUUUAUCAAUUAUAUUUUCAUAGUAUAUCUAUUUGGUGUCAUAAAUCUUUAUAUUUUUCUCUAUAAUUUUGGUCAAACUUGAGAUGCUUUGACUCUCCAAGAUUCUUGGAAUGACUUGCAAUUUGGAAUGGAGAGAAUACUAGUUUAAUGUAGAAAAGUUAGUAUUAGAUUAUUUUAUCCAUCUCUUUAAAUAAUUUAUGGCUUCUCUCUACACGUUUCCAAGUAUCUCGUGAUCUUCAUCUAGAAAGGAGUAUCUCAUCUUUUGUGUGAACACAGGAACAUGUGCGCGGAUCUUCAUUUAAUUACGUUCGCUAUCAGUCCAGUCCCUCAGCAGUCAGCACUCGAGCGUAGGCGGUAGGCGUACGUGCAGAGAAGUAGACGACGCGUUGCAUCGCAUUAAUAACGCACCGCGAUCCUGCAUGUUAUCACAUCAAUGCCGUUAUGCUCGUAACUGUGAUUGCGCGCGCGUGUGUGAACAUUCGCGCGGACUGUUCCCCUGGAUUGGUUCAACGCGACGCAACGGGGCGUUCAGAUUAGCAGCUGACACUCCGAAUAAUCCUGAUCAGUCAGUCCAUCAUAUAGCUGGCCAUUUGGCACACUAUGGGCUGGCCUAAUCACGACACGAAAAAGCACGAUCCACGAACAGCCCGGCCCAUGACUCAUAGUGCCAGGGCCUAGCACGGCACGGCCUUAGUGCCGUACCUGGGCUGCCAUUUCGGCCCAUAGUGCCGGUACGGGCACAGCACGGCACGUUUAAUGGGCCGGCACGAUAGCGGUCCAAUUCCUCCCGACCGUUGGAUGCCAUCAGGAUGCACCAGCACCGUUAGAUGAGCGAAGAGUGACAUAUAUAAAGAAAUAUGUGCCUGGAACCCUAACUCCCUAGCUGUUGGCUCCCUGCUUCUCUCCCGUGGCCGCCCGCCCGCUCGUGUGGGGCCAUCGCCGCCGGAGCGCGGCCGCGGCUCCUCCCCUCCUCUCUCUGGCUCUCUCCUGUGGCCGCCUGCCGCCUGUGGGGGGCUGCCGCCGCCGUUGGGGCGCAACCCCACGGCGGGGAGGAGUGGAGGCGCCCCCGCCGCCGCCGUCACCGGACGCAGCCGCUGUGAGAAGUGGAGGGCCCCCGCCGCCGCCGCCGAGGUCCACCGCAGCCGGGAGAAGCGGAGCUGUGGAGAGGCGCGGGCACGAUGGGCUGCCGUGCCGGCAUGGUACGGCUAAUCAGCUUGAGGGCCAUACCCGUGCCGAGAUGUCGGCACUACGAGGUAUGGCACGGCUAAGCCACCGUACCGCAUAGUGCCGUGCCGCGUCGUGCGGCCCGGUUGGCCACCUAUAUCCAUCAGUAGCCUUCGUGCGUGCCGUACCCAGAUGUGGCGUUCGCUCGGCAACCGAGUACUGGUUGGUUGCUGCGUCAUGUCUCGGGUGUGAACUGUGAACGCGCACGGUGGACGCUUCCUCCGCCCGGUUCACACUUCAAAAGGUAGAGAAACGACGGGUGUACCAUGCGAAAGGGGGUCUUCUGUCUCGGUCUGUCCAUCUACGGAUUAAUUGCUCAGCUAACAGGGAGCCUUCACUGUAAUCGAGAAGCAUACAUACGAGUUGAAAUUGAAAAAAGAAGUAAUAAACGGUGUCAAUGUGUAAAAAACUAAUGGCCCAUGCAGGUCUCGAACCUGCGACCUUCGCGUUAUUAGCACGACGCUCUAACCAACUGAGCUAAUAGGACGAUGCGUUAGCCUGGUUCUCUUUUCCUGUACUGAAUCAAUUUCAAGUGGGAGUUCUCUUUCACUGACUUCCUAAUUUCUGAGACGAAGAAUGCUCCAUCUGACGACCGUCUCACCGGCACUCCACUAGUCCACUGUCCAGGGCUUCAACCAGCUGGCCCGAAAAAUCUGGUUGAUUUUGCCUGAUGGAUUUACCAAGGUCCAAAUGAAAUAUAUACCCUUUCCUGCCAUAAACUUAUUUUUUGAGAAUGUGCCUGAUACAUUUCGGACAGAGAUAAUUCAAAAUACAACCUAGAGAAAGGCAAUCCGUAUUUGGUUCACCAAUUCCCUAGCUGGACGCCUGCAGUAGCAACUGCUGCUCCCCGUUACCGCGAGCGCGCAGAACUCCAACGCUGCUGCUGUCGCUCAUGCCUAAACUCUAAAGAUGCUCGUGCUGCUACCUGUUGAUUGGAGUCGUAUUUACGGUCUAUUGGAGUGCUGCUAGCCUUUGAGGUGAGUAUGUGAUGCUAGUUUUUUUUAAAAAAAAUUAUGUGCUAAAUUUUGGAUGGAGGAUAUUGAUUAAGUAUUUGGUUACUACAUUGGGUCAUUGCUUGCUUCUGUGGGAAUAAAACAUUCAACUUAGUCCUAUUUAGAUAGCUAAACUUUAAUUAGGAUUGUUUCUUUGAUUUAUGUGUUAAACUUUUUCUGGCUAAUUAUGAUUGUUCGGAUACAUUGGUAUGGAUACUAAUCCUUGAAAAUGUCGCCUUUACCCUCCUAGGAUAGGACUGAAUAAGGUUAGGGAGGUAUUUCCGUCUUUUGUCAAUCUAUUUCAUCCAUUAGCCUGAAAGAAUUAUAGUAGAUUGGUAAACGUGGCUACCUUACCCGGCUCGCCAUCGGUUCCGUGUUUAUAUAGGGACAAUCCCCCUCAAGAGUACAUGUUGUUUACAAUCGUAAUUAGCAAGGGUACUCGGUCUCUAUUACAUAUAUCUCUAUCUCUAUGCCGAGUCCAAGCUGACUACGAAUACCAGUCCCAGGCGCAUAUGCAUGUUAUACACUCCAUGCAUAUUACGUUUUACAUAAGCCGAACCUAUCUGCUAUUCUAACAGCCUCCUGCAAUCUCAACUGAUCUUGCUUGUCAGGUUGAGAUUGUUUCGAAACUCUAUGAAUUUCUGAGUUGCCAACGGCUUUGUAAAUCCAUCUGCCACUUGAUCUCUAGAAGGAAUGAACCGAAUUUGCAACUGCUUCCUGGUAACCCUUUCUCUCACAAAAUGAAAAUCAAUCUCGAUGUGUUUUGCCCUUGCAUGAAACACUGGAUUAGCUGAGAGAUAAGUGGCUCCAAGAUUAUCACACCAUAAGCACGGAAUCUGAGCUAUCCGCACACCUAGUUCUUGCAACAGCGCUUCCACCCAUAUAAGUUCAGCAGUAGCAUUUGCUAAUGACUUAUAUUCAGCUUCCAUGCUUGAUCUUGACACAGUAGGUUGCUUUCUAGCGCUCCACGAUAUUAAGUUAGGUCCAAGGAAUAUUGCAAAACCACCGGUAGAUCUUCUGUCAUCAAUCGAGCCUGCCCAAUCUGCAUCCGAAAAUGCACUAAGCAGAGUUGAAUCGGAAGGUUGAAUAGUUAAGCCAACGUCCAUAGUUCCUUGAGUGUAUCGCAGGAUCCUCUUUACUGCACUCCAGUGAGCCGUAGUUGGAGCAUGUAGAUACUGACAGACUUUAUUUACUGAGUAUGCGAGGUCAGGCCGGGUGAGAGUCAGAUAUUGCAAUGCUCCUACUAUGCUCCUGUACCGCGUCCCAUCUUCUAGUGACAAUGGCAUGCCAUCUUCCCCUGACAAUUUUUCUGUUGCGGACAAUGGAGUAGGUGCACUUUUGCACUUCAGCAUGCCAACCCUUGUUAAAAUAUCAGACGCAUAUUUCCCUUGCGAAAGCUGCAAACCACCAUUCACCUUUUUUACUUCGAUGCCAAGGAAGUAAUUCAGAUCUCCUAGAUCCUUCAGGGCAAACUCUUCUCGAAGUUUGUUGAGUAAAUCAGUCACGGCUUGAGGAGAGGAACUUGUAACAAUUAUAUCAUCCACAUAAAUGAGCAUGUAUAUAGUGAUGUUUCCACUAGAGUAUAUAAAGAGGGACGUAUCUGAUUUUGAUGGUCGAAAUCCAAGCGCGCACAACUUUGUGCUCAACCUUGAGUACCAAGCUCUCGGAGCUUGUUUUAAUCCAUACAGUGCCUUGUCCAGCUUGCAAAUGUAGUUAGGCUUUGACUGAUCUUCGAAACCCGGUGGUUGCUUCAUGUAAACCUCUUCUUCCAGAACACCAUGAAGAAACGCGUUCUUCACAUCUAAUUGCCGUAAGCACCAGGCCCUUGAUACUGCAAUAGACAAUACCAAUCUUAUUGUAGCAAUUUUAACCACAGGACUAAAGGUGUCUUCAUAGUCGAUCCCAUAUCUUUGCUUAAACCCUUUUGCGACUAAUCGAGCUUUGUAGCGAUCAAUACUCCCAUCAGAUUUCCUCUUUAACUUAUACACCCAUUUGCAGUCUAUCAAAUUUAUGUCUUGCCUUGGAGGAACAAGAUGCCAGGUGUUGUUCUUGUGUAAUGUCAUUAUCUCUUCUUCCAUCGCAUGAGUCCACUUUGGAUUGCUCAGAGCUUCAGCAAGAUUAUCAGGUUCCCCUGUCGAACAGUAGCUGGAGUAUCGAAUUGUUCCAUCUGUGAAAACUUUUGGCUUAAAAACCCCACUUUGUGAUCUCGUGUUUGGGCGAGCAGCUGCUGAGGUCGCAAGUUCGGGCACAACGUUGCCAUCUGCACGCGAUCCAGGUUCUGCCGCGGAGGAUCGUACGGAGGUGGAGCCUCCCGCGCUCCCGUCAGCCAGCCCGGGCUCGACACGCCCAUGCCGUGACGCGGGAUGACUCCGCGCGCUGCCAACCGGCGCUAGCGCUGCACCGCUGCUGCUGUCGCCAGGUGCUGCCGCCGCCAAAUCCGCAUUGCCUUCCGUGCCAGAUGCUGUUGGAAAAUUCUCCUGGAUUUCAGCACCCGUGUCUCUAUCCAGAAACUCAGAAUUUUGCUGCUGUUGUCUGUUUUGAGUUGAGUUUUCACCAGCGAGUGCUCCUUCGUGAUCCUGCACACCAAUCACAUCACUAGAAGGCAUGUCAAGGUUAUGGUCAUCAGUAAUUAUUGGUUCAUUGCUAUUUGCUCCCCCCGGAUUGGUGGCGUAAAGAUCUUCAGAAAGGAGUAAAAUUUCUUGUCGAAGACGAGCUCCUGCAUUCUCAUGUAGCAUCUCAAAAGGAAACACGGCCUCGUCAAAGAUAACAUCGCGCGAGAUAUACACACGCCCUGAUGAGAUGUCUAAGCAUUUGAAGCCUUUAUGGAGGGGACUAUAGCCAAGGAAGGCACAUCGCGUAGAACGGAAGGAAAGCUUCUUAUUGUUGAAGGGUCGUAAAUUGGGCCAGCAGGCACACCCGAACACACGCAAGGACAUAUAGUCAGGUUCUUCUUGGAGGAGGAGCUCAGUUGGGGUGUGAAGAUUAAGGACCUUGCUAGGCAGAAGAUUGAUGAGGUGUGUGGCUGUGAGGAACGCUUCGUCCCAAAACUUUAAUGGCAUGGAGGCUUGUGCGAGGAGAGCGAGGCCAACGUCGACGAUGUGACGAUGCUUUCUCUCGGCCGUGCCAUUCUGUUGAUGAGCAUGAGGGCAAGAGACGCGAUGAGAGAUCCCUAUCUGUCUAAAGAAGGUAUUUAGCUUCUCAUACUCGCCACCCCAAUCAGUUUGCAUGGAUAAAAUCUUUCGGCUAAACUUUCUUUCUACGAGUUGCUGGAAGUCACGAAAGACAGCAAAGACAUCAGAUUUUUGUCGAAGAAGAUAUAUCCAGGUGUACUUGCUAUAGUCGUCAAUAAAGCUCACAUAGUAGUUGUACCGCCCUACAGAUGUAGGUGCAGGACCCCAGACAUCGGAGUGAAUUAGAGCAAGCGGAAUGGUAGAGAUGUUCUGAGACUUGGAGUAGGGAAGUUGAUGGCUCUUGGCACGCGGACAAGAAUCACAAACAGAUGUGGUACUAUCAUCAUUAAUAAAGGGAAGAUCAUUAUUUUUGAGGACAUGAGUAACAAUGGGAAGAGCAGGAUGUCCUAGGCGACUAUGCCAUUGCUUAAUGGAUGGCCUACUUAUUACAAAAGAUUGUUUUCUCCAACUAUUAUCUAGGGAGCUCGGCACCAAGGGGUAAAGACCACCCUUACAUCUUCCUUGAUGUAGAAUUCUCCUCGUUGCCCGGUCCUUAAUAAGGAAAAAAGUGGGAUGAAAUUCAAAAUAAGCAUCAUUAUCACGAGCUAAACGGUGAACGGAAGCAAGAUUUUUGUUAGCUGAUGGGACAUGGAGGACAUCUUUUAGAAGGAGGUUUCGAAUUGGGGAUUGCAAAAUAGAAUAACCAAUAUUACUAAUGCUCAUACCUGAACCACUAGCAGUGUGGACUUGAUCACGGCCGCCAUACUUCUCCCGAACAGUCAUCUUGUCGAGGUCCGAAGUAAUAUGAUCAGUUGAUCCACUGUCCACAUACCAAUUUGUAUCAACACCAUAGUAUGUAGCAUUGGCAGCUGUUUUGUUGCUCACGUUGGGCUGAAAAUCCUCCUCAAACCUGUGCCAGCACUCAAGAGCCGAAUGGUUUGGUUUAUCACAGAUUUGGCACCUUGGCUUUGAGGUCCCUUGCCCGUCGAACCUCAGGUUGGUGGACUGAUUUUGUCGUCCACCAGUACCUCGACCUCCUCGGCCUCCACGUCCACGAAAUCCUCCUGAUCGACCACGAUUAAAGUUGCUGCCUCCACCGCGACCACGGGACGAAGAGAAGUUUGCUGAAGAUUGGUACUGUCCACCUUGGUUUUGCAGCAUCUCAAGUCUUGUUUCAUACGACAUUACUUGAGCAUAUAAUUCAGACAAGGGAAUUGGAUCCAACCUGCCCAUAACCGAAGUCACAAUUGGAUUAUAGUCCGCAUCUAAUCCGGUGAGUAUGAAGGAGACCAUCUCAUCGUCUUCUAUUUUCUUGCCAGCGGCUGCCAAUUCAUCACCUAAAGCCUUCAUCUUGUUGAAGUAUUCAGAUGUACUCAUACUUCCUUUCUUCAAAGUAGAAAUCUGCAUGCGUAGGUUUGUCACUCUCGCACGCGAUUGCGCUGAGAACAUUGUCUCUAGCGCCACCCAAACAGCAGCUGCAGAAUCCAGCGUCGCAACUUGGCCCAACACAUCUUUCGAAACUGAAUUAAAAAGGAAAGCAAGCACCUGCUGGUCUUGAGCAAGCCAUGCUGAAUAUGCUGGAUUGACGUGGAUCUCUUUCGUCUUGUCGUCCCUCACAACUUCUAUGGUCAUUGACGGCGACUUGAAGGAUCCAUCAAUGAUCCCCAUGAGCUGAGCGCCUCUAAUGGGGGGAAGGACUUGCGCCUUCCAAAGGACAUAGUUGUCCCGGGUGAGCUUCUCGGUAACUUGUGGCCCUAGGGGCGCAACAGAGGGGGCGCUGGAUGAUGACGCCAUAAUCGAGGCUAGCAAUUAGAUGUAUUGGAAGAAGACAACUCUGAUUACCAUGAAAGAAUUAUAGUAGAUUGGUAAACGUGGCUACCUUACCCGGCUCGCCAUCGGUUCCGUGUUUAUAUAGGGACAAUCCCCCUCAAGAGUACAUGUUGUUUACAAUCGUAAUUAGCAAGGGUACUCGGUCUCUAUUACAUAUAUCUCUAUCUCUAUGCCGAGUCCAAGCUGACUACGAAUACCAGUCCCAGGCGCAUAUGCAUGUUAUACACUCCAUGCAUAUUACGUUUUACAUAAGCCGAACCUAUCUGCUAUUCUAACAUAGCCUACAUUAGAUCAAUCUUAAUGGGGUUUUCAUGUGCAUUAAAAUUAUGUGACACAUAGCAAUUUUACCGACUUGGCAAAUUAAUCACGAGGAUGAAAAGGGAAGUGUUUCAUUUCAUUGUAAAAGUGACAUGACAGUUUUCAUAACAUUGUAAUAAAAUUGUGCAUGAGACUACUCAUGCAAUGGGCUCAUGGCUAGAAGUGUCUCGAGCUAAAGUUUAGCUAGGCAUUAGGUUAUUAGCUAUUAACCCUCAUGUUUGGAUCUCUAUCUGCUAAAGUUUAGCCGCUAAAGAUUCACACGUAGGAUACAAACGAGGUAAUUGUUGGAAAAAAAUCUGUUAUAAUCUAGCCAUCACAAAUAAUUUGAAUCUGAACAAACUACAUGCCAAUAGAUACAGNNNNNNNNNNNNNNNNNNNNNNNNNNNNNNNNNNNNNNNNNNNNNNNNNNNNNNNNNNNNNNNNNNNNNNNNNNNNNNNNNNNNNNNNNNNNNNNNNNNNGGUUCUACAACUAGAUAAUUAUCUAAAUGGAUAGCGCUAGUUGCAAUCACAACCGUAGCCGAGGACCCCCUUUUCUGUAGUAGCAGAUUUUUUUUCCAUUAGCCAUUCGUAUUAUUUGGUCGAACUCAAGGGGUGAAUUGCUGUUUGCAGUUCAGUACAACUCUAUGGUAAAUGUUAGAAAUAUGUUUUUUUCACUAGAGAUUGUAAAAGGUUAAUGCAACCUUGUUGUCUUCUGAUUUUGAUGUGGUUUAGUAUAUAUGCUAAUGUCACAUGGAUUUUCAGUAAUCCUAGGCUGUGCCCUUCGAAUGUAAGCUAAGACUUUUGGUGAUGUAAGUGGCUGCAUGUGUCUCAUGGGACACAUGAUAUGCUGAUAUUAUGUAGGAGAAACUGAUUUGUUUGUUAACUGAAUUGAUUGCAUACACAUAGUGGUGAACCUUUGUACAGUUGUAUCAUAUUGCAGUAUGAGUGAUGUGAAGUGAAAGCAGAAUGGAUGGGAUGGGGCUUGGAGGAUUACAAUCACUUCUAAUACACCCUUUUAUAUUUAUCUAAAGUGCCUAUUUGUUCCACAACAUAAUUAUAUGGUCUGGAAUGGGUUGUAGAUUGAUAGGAGAUUUUUGUUCCUCAUUGAUAUGGGUAUGGCUGACUGGAAUCAUAUGUCUAGUUGAUAUAUAUUUUGCAGCAUCAACUGUUAUGGUAACUACUAGCAAUGGCAACUCUGUUUUGGGAAAGUUAGGUGUAAGAUGGUUUGCUGUAAUGUUUUUGAAUUUCACAAGGCGCCUCAGGCAGCUCAUAAUAAGAUAUUUGAUUCAUUGCACAAGAGGAUACCAUGGAAAUGCUUUUGUACUUGCAGAAAUUUGUUUUACCAGAAGAUUUUAAGUUGUAGACUGUAGAAUGGACUUGCAGAGCUUUAGUUGUGUAUGAUUGGAUUUAAUCAAUCGAUUCCUUACUGUUUACCCUUAAACAUGCUCAUUUUCAGGCGGAUCAAAACCAGGCAAUUUCAAUGGUUUCCUAUUAUGCUUCAUCUUCAGAACCUGCUCAAGUUCGUGGUAAAACUGUAUAUAUCCAAUAUUCAAACAGGCAAGAAAUUACCAACAAUAAAGGCACUGGUGAUUCUUCUGGCAAUGUCCUGCUUGUCACUUUUGAAGGUGUUCAGCCUAAUGACGUCACCAUAGAAGUCAUUCAUUUGGUAAGUCUAUAUUUACAUUUGAAUGUAUUCACUUACCUGCUAGAGCAGCCUUCUGCAUCCCUUGGGCUGUCCAAAUGUUCUUUCAGUUGCGAAACAUCUUUAUACAUAUUUUUUUUAAAAAAUCAUGUAUGUGCUUAAUAUGACUUAUCUUAAUGAUUGUACAUGGUCAUAUCUUCCUGUUAGUUGACAAGCUCAGAAAAUUCUUUCUGAAAAUGCACAACAUUAAUGUUGAUUAUCCUCUGUUAAAUUAUAAACUUUAGGAUGUAUAUCCUGGUUUCUGGCAAGAAAUAUAAGAUUAGGAAGCCCAAAAGUCAAGGCAUUGAUUCUGCCCAGAAUAAUAGUACAAUAUGCACCAGGCAAGUACUUUGACAACACCGAAUUGGAAAGAGGAUUCAAAAAAUUGCUUCUGUUAUGGAGUUUGUUAUUUGUUAAAUUCUGUUUCUGUAGUAUAGGCUCUGUUUAUUACAUAUUUACAGAUGUAUAGUAGCUACCUUGUGAAUUCAUGCCUCCCGCACGAUUUGCUGAUGUGCUCCAUCUAUUCUCUGCUUAACCUUAUGCUUGCUAUUCUACUGUUUUGUUGGAUGGUAAGCCACUAUCCUCAAAUCUGGCUAACAAUUGUUUGUGCCGAAUAUAAUUUAGGUAUUUUCGGCAUUUGGAUUCGUUCACAAGAUAGCUACUUUCGAGAAAGCAGCUGGUUUCCAGGUAAGUUAGUUGUUCUCAAGUUGCCUACACAUGACUCCAUUGUGCAUUGAGCUAAACUGUUGGAUAUUUCACAGGCGCUUAUCCAAUAUACUGAUGCCCCAACUGCUCUUGAAGCUAAAAACUCAUUGGAUGGAAGAAGCAUCCCAAAGUAAUGCAUUUUACAAUUUUGCUAAUUGCUAUUGCGGCCUACAGACCUCCAACACAAAGUUACCUAUGUGACAUUUCUCUUUCAGAUACUUACUUCCAGAACAUAUCAAUGCCUGCCACAUGCGCAUAACCUUUUCUGCGCAUAAGGAUUUGAAUAUCAAAUUUCAGUCACAUCGUAGCAGGUACAAUAAAGUGGCACAUACUUUACAUUUGAUCUAAAAUUCUCUUUUGCAUAUUAUGUACUCCCUUCAUAUCGAUUUUAAAGGCAUAAAGUUUUGCCAAUCUUGUUCCUAAAUAUAAUGCAUGCAUGCAAGUCAGCUUUCUCUUUUCUCUCUCCUUUUCUGUUCUUAUUCUCAUAUAAAAAUGGCCACAAAAAGUUGUCUGUGUCCUGUUGAUAAUGUUUUAAAAAUAUUAUUACCUGCUUUGGUGCUACGCAGUUUACCUCUGCUCACUUUUGACCAUUUUUUUGGUUGAACAGGGAUUACACUAAUCCUUAUCUUCCUGUGAACCAAACUGCAAUUGAGGGGAUUGUGCAGGUUUGCUUCAUAUACUAAUAUCUCAUGCUGUUUUGCUUCACUUGCAUUUUUGUACUGUUCCUCACACAAAGGUAAAUUUGCAGCCAACAGUAGGCCCUGAUGGAAAGAUAAAGGAGCCUGAGAGUAAUGUACUUUUAGCAUCAAUUGAGAACAUGCAGUAUGCUGUGACAGUGGAUGUUUUGCACACUGUAAGAAUAAUACAGUACCUUCUGUUUAUUUAAAAUAAAGUACUUAUUUGAAGGCAAGCUAUAUAAUUACAUUAAUGUGGUAAUUUCAGGUGUUUUCUGCUUUUGGUACUGUUCAAAAAAUUGCAAUGUUUGAGAAGAAUGGUGGAAUGCAGGCUCUAAUUCAAUAUCCAGGUAUGCUAACUCAAUUGCACCCAACAAGAUAUACCCUGGCCUUGGUGAACUCUGAAAUAGAUUCCUUGGCUGUAUUUAUUGCCUUGGCAUGUAGUUGUAAUUUGCUUACACACAGUUGAGCACAUUUCAUAUGUCAUGCUCCCUCUGUUUGAAAGUAUUGGGGCAUGGAGUUUUUCCAAACUAUUUUCAAAUAUACUGCGUGUAUGCAAAUUUAAUGACAUUUUUUCAGUCUUUUCCCUGAUUUAUACCCUCUCAUUCUCUCCCAAUCUCGUUAACAUGAGUAACCAGUCACGCUGUUAUUCUCUCCCUUUUUGCAUCGUAAGUUUCUAAGUUUGGGAACUUCAGCAGAGAGGUGUCGGAGUUCGGGAAGGCAUAAAAUGGACAUCUGCAACUUUCAACAGCUAUAAAGUUGCCUUUAGUAAUUUCUUGAUCAUUUUUUACCCUUUUAUGUAAUCAUACUCUCUUUCUUAAUAGGGGCUUGCUACAAACUUCCAUUCUGUCAAUCAUUGCACUUUCCUCAAGACAUUUACCCAGUCCCACUUUAUGCAUCUUUAUCUGUUUAGCGUGUUGGGGAUUAGAAUAGUCAGCACUUACUAUUGUCAACAUGUCUUAGCAGAGGUCCUGUUGUUGAAUAGUGUCUUUUCAUCUGAUUUGUGGUCCUUUCUCUAGCUUAUUGAGGCACAUCUUUGAAAAAUAUAACAAUCCAAAUGACAUUCAACUUAUUGAUGCUCAUUACUGUUUGCACUAUCUAGGGGUAUAGAUGAAAUUGAACUGAUUUGAUAAAAACAAAGGGAAGGUUAAAUAUUCUUUCGCCCAUACUUUUGACAUCAUGUCCCCGGAUCCUUAGCACCCUGUAAAUUCUUUUCUUGUUUUCGAGUGGAAUUGCUAAUCUUGUUUUCCCUUUGCUAUGGAGUUAUAGCAUUAAUAUUUAGUAGAGGAACACAUAUUCAUUUGACUGACAAAAAGCUAUAUUUGCAGAUGUAACAACUGCAGCAGUUGCUAAACAAGCCCUGGAGGGACACUGCAUAUAUGAUGGUGGUUACUGUAAGCUUCAUCUGUCAUACUCUCGUCAUACUGAUCUCAAUGUAAAGGUAUAAAUAGUAGUUUCAGGCUGUGUAAAUUAGCAAAUAAUUGAUUGAAGUAAAUAUCUUGUGGACUAAUAAUAAUGAAGUUGGCUCAAUUAGUAAAACGGAAUACCUAUUGCUGUUCAUUCAAUUUGACAAAAGUACGCUUUCUCAACAUUGUUUUCCUUGGAGCUUCCUGUUUUCGCCUUGGUCUAACUGGGGACCAUUUGUUUGCAUUCAGGCGCAUGAUGAGAGAAGCAGGGAUUACACACUUUCAGACCCUAAUGCGCAACUGCAAGCUGCUGCACAAGCACCAGCUCCAGGAGUGGCAUGGCAGAACACUGCAGCACCAGCUGCUCCGUUUUAUGCAAGCACAGCAGCAUCACCUCCUGCUGGAGUUGGACAAGUGCCUGCUUGGAAUCCUAACAUGCAGGCAGGGGCUUUCGCAUCUGCAUCCACCCCGUACCCUAGCCAACCGAUGAUGGCAAACGCCAUGCCUCACUAUCCUGCUGUUGGAACCAGUUCAGGCGCCCCACCUGUGCCAUUUCAGGCGUCACAGCAGAUGCCCCAGUACGGCAUCCCCCCUGGUGCACCGCCGCACGCACCACCAGCUGGCCAACCAAUGUACUUCCCGAAAUAAGGUGGUUCCAUUCGAUGAUAUUGUCAGAGAGCAACUGCAUGUUACCUGCAGCCAGUUGUGGUCUGCAUAUGCCCCUUUGAAAUUUUGGAAGUGCGUUGUAACUCUUCAAUGUAGCUCUUUGUAACUUGCGAGCUCGCAUCGCAAGUAUACCUCUGCGCCGGUUGUCUGUAAAACUGUCCGCCGAAAUUAGAAAUGUUAAUCUAUUAGCCUGAAUGAUGUAUUGUUGAGCUCAAUCUCUGAGUUAUUUUGAUGCCUCGCAAGUCAUGAUUUGUCGGAGGCAGAUGCUAAUGUCUCUCUUCAAGUGCGCAGCGCGCUCUUGCAAUACCUCCAGUGGCAAGUGCUGUUCGGUAGAGCGCUGAGAAUAAGAUGCAAGUGUUACCUGGUUGUUUCCGUCUAAACACAAACGUUUGGACGUGGGAAUUUUUGCUAGAACCUAGUCAACUGGAAUCUUUAAUUUGGAGCGGGUAACGUUUUGUAACCAUAUAAAUCUAAAUGUUAAAUGUGACGUGGAAUCUUUUCAGAGUUUGUACUGAAUGUAAACCAGUUAUUGUCGUGCCAACCACUGAUCCAAAACUUUUCAUCGUGCUCGUGCAAGAUACUUGUUGGUCACGACUGAUCCAAAACUUUGUAUCGUGCCACCGAGAUUUUUUUUUUCCCUACGGCACCAAAGGGCAGUCACGACUGACGAGUAAGAUCAUACUAAAAUCUAGGCACCGAACGAUCUGGACCAGCCAUUCGCCCAUUCCUCAGGCCUGCCCGUCCGACGUGGCAGCCAGCACUAGCCAUGGUUCGCACCGGCAUCCAAUGGCAACACCCCGUUUGAUUCCCCCGUAUCCCAGCAUCCGGAUAACGCAGGAUAAGAGCCGCCGCUCCCCAUUGGCCACACCCGGUCCCAGGCGGCGUCCCGUCCGUCCGAUCCCGCCGCGCCGCCGAUCCCCGCCGUCCGCGGCAGCCGGCGCCUCCUGGCCACACCCGCCGGGGUGCCCCGCCCCGGCAGUUUAAUACAAACCUUGGCUGCUCCUGCCGGCUAAAACGAACGUGCUCUUCCUCUCCAUUCCUCUGCCACUCCCAUCUCACCGCGAAGCAUGGCGUCCGUCACCGCCCGCACCCCGGUCGCGGCCCUGCGCCCGUCGGCGUCGCUCAGGUCGUCGGCCUUCGUCGGCCACUCUAGCCGCCUCGGCCGCGCCGCUGCGCCGACGAGGCGCAGCCUCAGGGCGGAGGCCAAGGGCGAGUGGCUCCCCGGCCUCCCUUCCCCCGCCUACCUCGACGGCAGGUCAGUGCUAGCUCUUCGGCCGGCGGCGACAGCAGCUGACUAACUGACCCGCACAUCAUGUUGACAUGUUGUUGUGUUUUGACUGCUGUCGCAGCCUGCCGGGCGACAAUGGUUUCGACCCGCUGGGCCUGGCGGAGGACCCGGAGAACCUGCGGUGGUUCGUGCAGGCGGAGCUGGUGAACGGGCGGUGGGCGAUGCUGGGGGUGGCCGGGAUGCUGAUCCCGGAGGUGCUGACCAAGGCCGGGCUCAUCAACGCGCCGCAGUGGUACGACGCCGGCAAGUCGGAGUACUUCGCGUCGUCGUCCACGCUGUUCGUCAUCGAGUUCAUCCUCUUCCACUACGUCGAGAUCCGGCGGUGGCAGGACAUCAAGAACCCCGGCAGCGUCAACCAGGACCCCAUCUUCAAGAGCUACAGCCUGCCGCCCCACGAGUGCGGAUACCCCGGCAGCGUCUUCAACCCGCUCAACUUCGCGCCCACGCUCGAGGCCAAGGAGAAGGAGCUCGCCAACGGUGAGUAGCGUCUGAUCCCGUGACUACACGGUCGCCGUCCGCCGGCAACUUUAAAUGUUUACUAACCAUAUCCGGAUGUGAUGUGCCUGUUCAUGCAGGGAGGCUGGCCAUGCUGGCGUUCCUGGGGUUCCUGAUCCAGCACAACGUCACCGGCAAGGGGCCCUUCGACAACCUGCUGCAGCACCUGUCCGACCCAUGGCACAACACCAUCAUCCAGACUUUCUCCGGUUGAGUCGACGGGGAGUGAUCACCAAUUUGGUGGGCUGAUGGGGACAGGAGGACAUACAUUGAUACGCGAUCGAUGUGAAUUCCUUUCUGUGUGGAUCAUCAGUUUGUGAUGUGUGUUUAAUCCGGAGAGGAGAUUAAGGACUGUGUUGUAAUAAUGCUGUAUGCAUGGUGAGGAGAGUGAGUACUGAGGGGUGAUUGGUAUGUACAUUAAUGACAAGGGUGGUUAAGGGUAGAGAUUGUUUGAUCAGUAUCUUAUCUCUCGAUGGGGUUCGUUCCGUGCCUUUUUACACCUGCUUGUCCGUAAAUGCUUAUGUGUGGAAUUAAACAGGUAACUUAUAAGUUAUAAGCGUGGGCUCUAAAGAAUUGACAUGGGGCUAGAUGGAUUGGAACUUGGAAGAUAGAAUACCCUCGACUACGCAACAGGAAAACACAGCUGUUAGUUCUGGUUCCAACAAAAUACGUAGCUGAAAGUGAAUCUGGAACAUGCUAUUUGGGGAGAGGCUGCCUGCAUAUACGUACCAUCGCAACUGCCAACAAUCACAAUGAAAACAGGCAAACGUUCCACAUUAAUUCGUGAGUGAUGAGAUACAAUCUAGUGACAAGAAUUUUGUAUUAAUUAUUGCAUCUGAAAAAAUGAUGAAAAACAACAGGAUACGAAAGUAAUGCAGGUGCAGUAACAGGUGAAAACAACAGAAAUUUCUUAAUGGAUGUUUGGACUUUGGAAGAUCAUGCCUCGUCCAACACAAGGGCUGGAAACUACGCUAUUUCCUCCAACCAGAAAUACAAGUUCACCUAGGUUUGUCCCAAAUCAAAUUCUUUUAGCUGUAAUGGUAAAUAACAAAAUAAUUUUAUAGAUUGAGAACACAAGAUUGCUAAUUCUUUAUAAUCAUUAUAUAUAAAAAUCAUUUUAAUUAAGAUAAUUUAUUUUUAUAGAUAUUGCUAGUCAUGUUGUCAUAUUGAAGACCAUGUCAAUAUACUAAAUGACUUAUAUUUCUGAUCGGAGGAGUGCAUCGCAAUGUCCAUUGGAUUCUAUGUUACUGCAGGGAUUGGAGAUCAAGUAAGAGACGAGCCUCCUCUGCAGUACUACAAUGCAAAGGGACUCGUGCUCAUUUGCACGUUGGCAAUUGGCAUGAUCACAAUCAGACCCAUGCGCUAGUGUCCGCGAGUCCCUAUGCGUAGUACAGAAGAAUCGGUUCGCAAGUGGGAGGAAGGAUGCUGGGAAGAAGUCAUGCUCAUGCUGGUGCUGCCAUCGUCCAUCUGAUGUAAAUGCACCGAGUGUUGGGACGGCUUGACACGCUCCGAGACUUCCCUAUACAUGCCCAACGAUAUUGUCAUCUUAGGUUUUUUGCCCCUCUUGAGGAAGAUCAAGAAGUUUAGCAGUUCAUUGUCCUCAAGAAAUGACAAUGGUUCAUCUGUGAGCUCUGCUAUAACAAGUUGAGAACUUAUGUAUUUCAAACUUGCAUUAUUUAACUGAUGUUAUUAGAUUUUUCUAAAGGGAACUCUGUUCAUCAUGUUGAGAGGAAAGAUCUGCUCUUGCUUUCACAGUAGAUUUAAUUGGGCUCGGCCUGCCAGUCGGCCAUAUUGUCUAGCCCAGCGUUUUCUUGCUGUUUUAGAUGAUUCGGCCUGCCUCCUUCAACAGUGGGCCAGCGGACAAUACCCCUGAUUGGUCCUGUGACCUGUGACUCGCACCCUUCCCAUCCCGUGUCGUGUUCGUGUAGAAUAGAAGUCCACCCAAGUCAAAGCUCUCGCCGUCGUCCUCCAAGGCGGCGCCGAAUCAAUCCGCCGCCGCCCCGCACCCGCCCCGCGCGGCCGUCUCCAUCGCGCCUCUGGCCGCCGGAUAACACACAUCUAGCGCCGUCCCCUCCUCCCCUGCCGUCGAAACCUGAAAGCUCGUUCGGGAGGAGCCGCACGGUACCUGUUCGACGGAAUGCGUCUCUAAGACGGAAUGGCCGUUACCGGGUCGGCCGUAGGGCGCGGCGCGGUUCGUCCCCUCAUGCGGCUGGUCACCAUGAGCGGCGCGCCGAUCAUGCAGCAGCUGCACCUGGAGGAGCGGCUCCUGCGCCGCACGGCGGACAACUGGUGCGUCAUCAACGACGGCACGGCGCCCCCCACCAUCGUCAUGGGCGUUUCCGGGUAAAAACUUAUCUUCCUCUCCGAUGGAUUCUGUCGGCAUUGGCGCUCUUGUGGCUCGCAUUCGAGUUCCUAAUUCUGUUGUCGUGAUGGCAGGAGAGUCUCGGAGCUUGUUGAGAUAGAACCGGUCCUCCGGGACAGGGUAUCGGUCGUGAGGAGGUUCAGUGGAGGUGGCACCGUCAUUGUUGAUCAGGGGACGGUGUUUGUGACCUUCAUAUGCAACAAGAGUGCCGUCGCCGGGUUGCAGCCCUUUCCGAGGGACAUCAUGUCAUGGAGUGGGCAGUUAUAUGGCAAAGUGUUUGACAAAUUUGGCGAAUUCCAUCUGCGUGAGAAUGGUAUGGAAGAUCAACACAGAUUUUCGUCAUUUUAGAGCUUAACAUUGAAUUACUUAUAGUGAGCAAAAACGCGAUGUUUUAAUGCAGUGUAUUCUGGUGUAUCUUUUGAGGAUAAAAAUUGUUGCCUUUGUUCAUUGCAUUAAAGCGGACAGAGUUUACUAUCCUUCACUUAACAUAAUAUAUUUCUAAAUUCGAAUUUACUUUGUUAAAAUAUUCCCUUGGCACCAGUAAGAUCCCAGGUAUGUUGGGAAACUGAUUUGCAAUGUUCAGGAUCUGCAAUACUGUCCAGGAUAUUAACUUGGUAUGCAUUUGUUUUUUCAGACUAUGCAUUUAGUCGUCGCAAGUUUGGUGGAAAUGCUCAGUCAAUAACGAAAAACCGUUGGGUUCAUCACACAUCAUUCUUGUGGGAUUAUGAUGUGAAAAAUAUGGAUUAUCUCAAAAUCCCGAAGCGUGCACCUGAGUAUCGACUGGUAUGAUUCUAACUGCUUCUCAAUCUUAUUUGCAGCAUCCUUUGCAAAAAGACAUUGAGAAUUUGUUUUUAAAAAAAAAGACAUCGAGAAUGAUGUUUACCUAUGAGCAUCUCCGAUCAUAUUAUCAAAUUUGAGCAUCUUUAGUUUUCAUUUAUGGUGCGCAGAGGUAGUAGGGUAGGAAUCUCGUACAUGAGUAGCAUGCGUGCUAUCAUGUUCAAUGGUUUCUAAACAAGUCUAUGUUAGUUUUCUCCAGGUAGUGUUAUAAUGUUUUCUAUAGCCACCUGAAGUGAACUUUCACCCCUAAUUGGUGUGAACCGCCAGUAGUUGUCGCAAUCCUUGACCUGGUAAGGUCCAAGAACCAGUGGUAGUUGAUUAACCAUUGCUUAUUUUACCAACAUUAGUGAUUACUCAACUAGAAAGAAUCAUGCAUGUGUACUGCGCAAGCUAAAGUUUCAAGAGUAACUGCUAAUACCGAAUCCUAGAAAGCUAUAUGAGUUUUACUGGAAGUGCUUUAUUGUUGUACUUGAACGAUAAUGUAGAUGUCAAGCAAAGCACUGGGUAGAAAUAAAGCAGACUGGCCUUUUUAUCAAUUGUUGGAUGUGACGAUCUAUCAUUGCCCAAAAUAAUGCAAUGAAGUCAAGCUGUGCCAAAUAGUGACUUAGUUUAACUAGUUGAUUUCUGGUGGAAGUAUUGCUUAGUAAUGGUAUGGAUUAUCAAACCUUGGUGCAGACCCACUUUACACAAGAACGGGCUUUACUGAUUAAUCAAUUUCAGUUUGUGAUGACUCCAUGUGAAGGUGGAGUGAGAAAUUUUAAAGGAAACUAUUUCACCUGGGUCUAAACCAGAGUUGAGUAGUAUUGUUGUUAUCAUAUAGCUUUCAUUAACAUGGAGUUAGAGCUCAUUUGCUAUAAGAAUUUUCUGGGCACAUAUGAACAAUAAUCAAGUUGUUGAGAACCAGAUGGUAAUACACUGCAAACUGAUAUUGGUUUCACCACUGGCUGUUGACUGUCUUGAUUCUUGAUCUGGCAUUUACAUGGAAAUAGUGUAAUGUCCAUGGAUUUUGGUUGGGAAUGAGCUGAUUUUGUUUUUUUUUGAAAAAUGUGGAACUCUGACUGUGUAGGUUUGGUCCCAAACUGUCCAACAAUCCCUCUUUGGAUUUUAAAAAUAUUGUAGAUGAAGUGGACCCCUUUCACAAACAGUAUUUCCUGCUCGUAUAUGUUUUACACAUUUUUUACAACAUAUGUUCACUUGAAUGAGCCUAUUUCAGAAAUAGUAUACCGCUCAUGUUUUACAGUUUAGGUUUACAAAUGGCAAUCUUCACCAUUAAUGUACAUAUCUCAUUUCUCUUUUCAGGCAAGAAACCACACGGAUUUCUUGUGCCGCAUGAAGGAGUACAUGCCUUCACGGUCCGCCUUCACUGAUGGGGUCAUCACGGCCCUGGGAGAACACUUCUCAGUCCAACCUGCAGACUUAGAAACAGUGCUUCCUGACGACGAAGAAUUCGUGCCUUCGACAAAGCUGUUAUCUGAACAAGACCUAGAGGAAAUCGUUUCCUCCAAAGGAUAUUCCCUUGGAGCACAGAAAGCCGAAGCAUGACCAUGAUUACAGUGAGGGAAUCCUCGUUUCUGUUGUGAAAUCUGAAAUCGAUUGUUGGCGAGCUGUGGUUUCAUUCAACUUCUGGGUCAGAUGGCAUUAUGCUCACUGAACCACUGGCAUUGUUAUUACUUAACCCGAGCAAUUGUGUGCACGCAUUUAUUUACUGUGGUAUUGCAAGCAAGGUUGGAACAAUAAACCAUGAAAAUAUGCCCCCCCCCCCCCCCCCAAUCCAUUGCUUGUAGAUAAUUUAUCUGUUGUGCAGUACAUCUGAGAGCAGAGAAUGAACCCGUGGAAACAUUUUAUUCAUUGACAAGGUAGGUGUCCGCACAAUCGAUUCUGAGAACCAAUCGAACUGGUGGCUAACGGCCGGAAAUACGUAACCAAAUCUGGUAAUGUCUUUUCAUUUCGAUCCGCAUGCAAAACCGAUGAGGAGUGCAACUCGUGACAGCCGUGCCGGCGACCUCAUGAAAUCAGCUCAACCAAAUUCCUUGACGAAUCCCCCCAGCGUCGUCCUCUCGAAAAGCCCGGCCGGCCGAGUCCCGGCCCGUUCCCAAGUGUGAAACAUGCAUGCAUCAAGCCUGUCCGGAUUUAACCGCGGCGCUCUGCUCCGGGCCCGGAUACGGAGAGCAACUUGUGAUGCGCGUGCGCCCCCCACGAUGAGGCACACCGUUCGUGUCGCGUACAAUGACGCCGGCACAGUAGCGCGCGGCGUGGUCCGUGGGUGACGGGCACCGGCCACGGCCAGGCGCCGCGUCAUGCACGAACGGGGCUACAGCGGCGGCGGGGCGGGCGCGUACGGCAUCGGCGAGCAGCCGAGCACGCACGCAGAUCAAGCCCAGGAGGCCAGGACAAAAGCACCCACCCAACCCACCCGGCGGUCCGGGUGGUGGGCGAGGGCGACACGGGUACGGCCAGGCGACGCAGGCACCCAACCCACCAGGCGGUGUGGGUGGUGGGCGAGGGCGACACGGGUGUCGGGGACGCACGGGCCGUCUCGAACGGCGAGCCGCGGGAGAUGCCUCUCUCGACGGCCCGGCCCGGCGGCCGCCGCAGAGGAUCCCGGGGGACUGGGGGAGGCCCAGCAGGCGCCCGACCGGCGCUGCGGCACAGCGGCGCCCCCAGCGCCUCGGCAGGCGCGAGUCGCCGGCCGGGCCAGGCGGCCAGCGGCACUGUGGCCUGCGCCUGCGUGCGUGCGGGUGGUCUGCACGAGGGCGGAGGGGAGAAUCCGCUCGCAGAUCGACUCUGCCUGCCGGUCGACACAAGCUCAAACGUGUCGCGCCGCCGCCGCCAGGCGCCACGCAAUUCGACACUCGUGCGUGCCGUCGUCUGCCCGUGCACACGGUAAACGGAGAUUGAAACCGGCCAAGCCCCCGUUGGGAGCGCGCCUGAGAAAACUGCCAACCGUGUAGCGUGAUCUCUCUAGCAGUAGCAGGUUGCUCUUCGCACGUACUACGGGUUACGGCUCAUAUCACGACGUGGUCCUCGCGCGAUCGGACGGGAAUACGAGAUCAUGAGCCGUCGCGGUCUUUGGACCAACACGCGGGAGCAGGGGGCGUUCACUCAGCUAGCUAGCUUUGCAGUGCCGGCGUCGGCGAGAGGCCACCACGCACGGAAUGCACGACCGGAACCACUGUACCAGGACCCCCAACCGUCCCGCGCGGCGACCCUCCCGGCGGUCGGCGGGAGAUGCGCAAGCCGCAAGCGCCGAGCAUGCAAGGCACGCGCGCGGCCGCGACGGCGACCCGAGCAGGUGUGCACCGCGAGCUCGACGGCCACGCAUAUAUCCUCGAUCGUGUCGCGCGUGGCGCGCGGAAGAUGCAUGGAGUAGGGAUCGACGACGACGAGGACGUACGUCUCGACCAUGGCCGCGCCGUGGACGCCGUGCGCGGGCAUGCAUGGCAUGCCAACUGCCGUCUCGUCCAUGGACCGUGUGGUCUGGAUGGGCACCCGCAGCCGAACGCGCGCGACACACCGGCAGGGCGGGGCGGGCCGCCUCGUGCGCGGCAUCGCCGGCCGCGGCAGGACCGGACCGGCUGAUGCGCCGCGGAGUCGCGGCCGGAAAUGAAUGGCCUAGCUGCCUAGCUUGGUCACGCGUCGCGACAAAAGCUGCGGCAAUAGGGUGAGCUAGGUCUAUGCCGAGGAAUAUGCACCGGUGAUGUGCACUUGACUUCAAGUGCCCAUCAGUACAGAAUUAUUAGCACGAGCGGCUCGUGCUUGUUUUUGUUGAGAAAUUUUGUGAACAACUUCAAACACAGGUAUGGAACAAUGUACUGCAGUGUACCGUGUUUUCAAAGUUGUUUCCAAAGUUUUAUCAUUAUUAAUCCCUCCAUCCAUUGACGUUCGCACAACCAAACAAUAUCUGAAUGCUGGCCAGUUAUAAGAUUUUUGAAACAAUUUCGAGCUGGACAUAUAUAAACAUUCAAAAAGUGCCUUUCCACCGAACACAUGGUUACUCCCUCCAAAAUCACAAAAGUGUUCACUUCUACCUAGACAUUGUACUGAUACAUUCACUUUCUUUAAUUUUUACCACAGUUACUGAUAUGAAAUAUCUGCGAAAUAUACAGUCAAAGUAGUUUUUCAUAGGCAAUUCUAAUUUAAAUGUGUUAACUGUAACAGAGUUAUACUAUAUGGCGGCCUAUUUACUGUUGCUACUCGUGAUUCUCGUUUCUCUUUCAAAUCAAGGAAAGGAAUUUGUCUUGUUCCGGAAAUAAAGUUGGCGUCCCACGAUGCUACGAAUUCAUGUGCCGUCAAAUUCCUGGACCAACCUAGGGGACCAGGGAGGGCUAGUACGUCGACGACCGCAAAACAACUGUAGGCGACGGCCUCGGCGACCCUUCCCGCUUCCCGGCUGGCAGGCGACGCGCGCGGCACGCAGCACCCGUCGUUCUCGCGUCCCCCGGCCCGCCUCUUGUUUGGAUCCCGUGGCCGCGUACGCCGGCGUGCAUGGACCGUCUCUCAUUAAACGGCCGGAUGGGGCAUCUCCAUCGGAUGGAUCGGCAGACGUGCAUGGGACACGUUCCCGUGCAUGUAAGGUCGUCGCGGCCUUGGGAAUCAAUGGGUUGAGGUGCGAGGUUUACCCACACUGCAGGAAAUCAGGGAUAAAUGUUUUUUACAGCAGUUUUAUUUUUUUAAGAGCAAAGACGGCUGUCAAGGUUGCAGCUAAUGUAUGUAUUUAACUUUGUGAGAUUAUUAUAUUGGAUAGUAGCAUUGGUGUUUUGUUAUUAUUAUUGAGAAAAAUAUACAUAUUAUCCUGGAGAAAAUGUUAGCCCAGUUUAGAAAAUACUAAUGUAUACAAAACCAGCGUCCACCCAAAGAUAAUAAUAUGCAAAAAUUCUAAUUUUUCUCCUUUUUGUUUGAUGACGAAUCACAUGUCUUCUGGUGUACAGGGCAUCGGGAGUGUUGAGAAUAAGGGGUCCCGAGAGCAACUCCAAAAGACUACUAAUCUUACCUCUAAUAUCUUCUUUAGGGGGAAAAUAAAAAAAGAACUCCAACCGUUCCCCCAACCCUCCCCCAAUCUUUUCGCGACGCCAAAAAACAGCCGGCCACCGCAUAUAUUUUUGCGUUCACAUACCUUCCCCAAUCGGCCGAUUCACGCGCGCGAGCAGACCACCCUUCCCACGCGCGCGAGCAGACCACCCUUCCCGCGCGCAAGCAGCACUUUCCCCCGCGCGCGCAGCGGCAGCGGCGGGGCGAACCGGCUCCAGUCCGAGGCGAGGGAGGAAGCUGGCGGCGGGGCAAGGGAGCAGGAAGCAGAUGCAGGCACCACUGUUGGCCGCUCCUAUCCGGCAGGGCCAAGUAAGGCACGGCGGUGGGAUGCUUCAAUGGCGCGUGGUGCUCGUCGGCGGCCAGCACCCUGAAUGGCUCAACGGCGACCACAUUCCUCAAUGGACCGCAGCGGUACAAAUUUGCAGAGGUCCAGCGUCGACAACCUUGACCUGCCCAGUGGUCCUCCGAUGGCAGCCCUUCCCGGCGACGAUUUGGAUUCCGUCGACCCCUCUGCUGCCUUUGAAGCGGCUAACGGCAACUCAUUUGGGAAUGGUAUGAAUCAUAAGCUUUUCAUUUCAAUUCUGUAUGAUAAUAGAUGGAUUCCGUCGGCUUAUCAUGGGAGAGAUAGUGUAGUUUGUAGAACAGACUCUUAAUCUGUAAGACUGUAGGUGAAUGCGUUGUUCCUAGAAGCAACCUUGGACCUGUCCCUGGAAACAAGAGCAACCUUGGACCUGUUUAUCAAAAUUAGUUUGGUUCUUAUUACCUGAAAACUUAUUCUUGAACUGAGAGAAGCGUUCAUUAAGCUUUGACAGAAAAUUUAUUAGUGAUUAAAUGCUUGCAGGAAAUAGAUAUUUUUCCAACAUCAACAAUUAACCAAUCUAUUAUAGCAACACAUAUGCUGACCAACAGUCAUAGGCAAUUGAAGUUGGUCCAGUAGCCCCUCCGUGAGGCCAAAUCACAAGAGAUCAAAAAAUUUCAGUGACCAUGAAGAUGAGAUUUUGGUUUCAGCGUGGCUGAAUGUAAGCUUGGAUCUGGUCGUAGGCAAAGAUCAAAAAGGUGGCAAAUAUUGAUCUCGUAUCUAUGAGUACUUCCAUGAACACAAGACGUGCCCCUCAAAGUGUACCAUUAAUUCUCUCAUGCACCUGUGGGAGACCAUACAAAAAUGUGUGAACAAGUUUUGUGGAUGUCUAACACGGAUUGAGUUAAGAUGUCAGAGUGGUACUACAAUGAAAGACAAGGUACUUACUCACUAUGCAAUACCAUGAUUUGUUUGGACUAUUUUAUUUUUAUAUAUCGUAUAUGAAUAUCCCUUGGAUAUUGGUGUGUGUAGGUUACAUAGGCAUGUGCUUUGUACAAGUCUGAAGACGAACAUCAGAAAACAUUCCAGUUCAUGCAUUGUUGGAAUAAGCUGAGAUCACAACCAAAAUAGCUUUCUAAAAUUGAUGAAUUAGCUUCUGCUAAAACAUCUAACAAGAAGCAGAAGACAAACUCAACUGCUGAUCCGAGUGCAAGUUUACCAAGUGAAAUAGGAUAAGGUGAGGUUCAAGGCCUAGAGGAUAAUACAUUGACAAGGCCAAUUGGUAGGAAGAAGGCAAAAACAGCACUGCUGCAAGAGAAGAAAAAAAGUGUGACAGCAAUCUUAGGAAAUAUGUGGGCACAGAAGAAAAAAAUUGAUGGGAGAAAGAGCUUAAAAAAAGAGGAGAGGUUCAACAAGGCAUUUGCUCUUGAACAGGAUCGAGUUGCAAAUGAAAAAUUACUUCUUGAGGUGAGAAGUCAGGACGUCCAGUUGCAGAAAAGGAGGGAUGAAGAGAGGAUUAUGACCAUGAAGCUUACUGAGCAAAAGAAAUACUACAUGUCCUUGCGAGCUGAGAUCAUGAGCCAACUAACUAUGCCUAGUACUUAAUUACUAUCAUGUUUGUGUUCUGUUGAUUUAGGAACUAUUUCAGAUUGUGUUCUGUUCUCUUCCUUUCCUUCAAUUACAUGACCUGUAACUAUUUUAGAUUGUGUUCUGUUCAUUCCUGAUGGAUGAAGGUUCUUUGGGUGUAAAUUUUCGCUUUGAUUCCUGGGGUUGGUUAUCUCUUGGUGUUGCCACUUAAUUCUGAAUGUGGUGUUCGACCUGCCAUUGCUCAAUGAGGCCACGCUUUGUUUAGAGCUUUCGAUCUAUGAAUUCUGAAGUUCAAACAGAUUGCACUGUCAAUCAUAAAGUCUGAAGAAAAUCAGAGCUUUGUGACCAUAAAUUUGUUGUGAAAACCACAGCUACUUUUAGCUCCAGCACAAUGAUUUCACAAUGUACUUUCUGAAGAAAAUAGCCAUAGCCAGCAUGAGAGUCAGCCGCAAGCUACAAAAAUUGAACGUCAGGCACCAAACAUUACAAAACGUCCAUGCUUUUUCAGUGAAGCACAAUGCAGAGAUCAAAGCCCUCAUGCUUUUAUUAAUUAGCUUUCAUAAAAUGAUGUAAACAGCUGCUGCCAAUUACAAAUAAAUCUAUAACGUACAAAAAUUAUUGAAAAUUAUUGAAAGUAAUAAUAAAUAUAAACUAUAGGUAAUCAUUUGUAGAUGUCAGGAUGAUGUUGCCACAUGUGCUCAAUGAGGUCAUCUUGAAGCUGAAUGUGAAUAUCUUUGUCCCUUAUAUUCUUGUAGGUGUUUCAUUGUGAGAAAUCUUCACCUUUUCUCUCACCCCAUCAUAAUUUAAAUCAUCUUCCUCAUCGCGGUCAUCCUCAACUACCAUGCUAUGCAUAAUGCAACAAACCCUCAUGAUUUGUCCGAGGGUGUCUUCAUCCCAAAAUCGAGCUGGCCCCCUAAUGAUAGCGAAAUGAGCCUGUAGAACCCCAAACGCUUGUUCUACAUCCUUCCUACAAGAUUCUUGGGCAGUUGCAAAAUAUUUCUUCUUGUUACCUUGUGGUUCAAGUAUGGUCUUCACAAAUGUAGCCCACGAGGGAUAUAUGCGAUCGGCAAGAUAGUAACCCAUUGUAUAUUCGUUGUUAUUAAUGGUAUAAUUCACUUCUGGAGCUUGACCUUCAGCUAGCCGUGCGAAUACAGAAGAUCGGUGCAAAACGUUGAUAUCGUUGUGGGAACCAAGCAUCUCAAAGAAAACAUGCCAAAUCUAAAGAUCUUUAUCUGCAAUAGCUUCAAGUAUAAUUGUAGGCUCAUGCACAUGCCCGUUGUACAUACCUUGCCAUGCCGAAGGAUAAUUUUUCCACCUCCAAUGCAUACAAUCAAUCGUCCCAAGUAUACCACGAAAACCUCUACUCUCUCCAAUGGCAAGUAAUCUAGCAGUAUCAUCUUCAUUAGAUGAUCUCAAGUACUCAUCUCCAAAAACCUCCACAACAGCACUGACAAACCUUCUCAGAUUCUCAAUAGCAGUACUCUCACCAAUACGGACAUAAUCAUCUGUAGCAUCAGCUGCUACUUUAUAAGUUAACAUCCGAAAUGCUGCAGUAAUCUUUUGCAGACUAGAAAGGCCAAGUACACCGGCAUCAUUUUUUUCUGCACGAAAUAUUCAUCGUGUUCUACGGCAUUCCAUAUGCGUACAAACAGUGUACGUCUCAUUCGAAACCAGCAUGUCAAGAGUAAUGAGUCACAUAUAUAAUAUGGAUUUUUUUUGCAAAAAAAUGGUCCAAAUAAAUCUAUUGUUUACAUACCGUCGUCUAUAAUAACUAUGUCCGUACGUAGGAUCAUCUGAAAAAUAAUCUUGAUACAAGCGUUGAUGCCCUACCUGUCUGUCUCGCCGAAGUACUCGAUGCCCUAGGAUAGAACCACGAUGUUUUGUUUCAUCAUUGGACUCAUCUGCAUUCAUGGCCACAUGAGUAACAGAGAGGAAGAAAUCAUCAUCGUCAUCAUCUGACGACAAAUUCAGCACCAGAUGCAUCGAAAAGCUUCAUCGACUUAUAGAGAAUCCUUUUUACCUAUCUCCAAUUGAAGUUGGAGAUUGCAUGAACUGCCUUUCCUAGACACGGGCGGCGACAAAAUCCUCAUUAUCAAGAAGAAUAAAUAGAUUGCAGCCAUGAAAUAGUGUUUUUUCUUUUUUAGAUCGCACGUCAAAGUGUACACUAUUACUUUGAUCAAAAAAAUAAAAAUAAAAAUGAAAACGAUGCGGCGACGUGAAUCCUUACUUUGAUCGCAGGACUACUCCUUUGUGCACGCAGGGGCUGGCGGCGUGACUUGGAGGGGUACCGGGCCUGCACGUCAGGAUGUGAACCUCCUGGUGACUAAUUUUGACGGACAUAGGAAAAUCGCGGCGCCGCUGGAGAUCGCAACACGAGGGGGCUCCUAGUCACAGUGGUGGGGAAAAAAGCAACGGAUCCUAAUGGGCCCAAUACGAUGACGUGGCCUAUUUUGAAUUAUUGGAGGGUAGUUUUUAGCGAUCUGCUGUGAGCUAAUAUGUUUUUAGGGGAAUUUUUUUUAGCAUAACCUCCAAUACCUUAUUUUGGGAAAGAAUUUUUUAAGAAACUCUUAAAGUUGCUCUAAGCUCCUUAAGGUUGGCCUUAUACACAGCAGGAGGGAGUCCUAAGUACAAAAAGUUAGGACCCGACCUCAAGCUUGAGGCCCGGUCUCAAGUAAUAAAGAAAUCGGCGGGUGGGGAGAUUCCCUUGCGGUGCAGGCGGAUGGUAGUAGGCUCGUUGCUCUUGCGCGCUGCGGACGACGGGAUUGAGAUAUUUUUUUAUUUAUUUGCAGGACCCACAUCUAAAGGCUGUUGCGACCUCAUACACAAGAGUCAAAGACCUUAUGAUCGGUGGGGUCAGCUUAGCUGGGUGGGGGUCAGAUACACUGCUGAUGCCCGAAGAGCUUGUUUGGAUCUAAGGGCUAAAUUUUAGUUCUGCACUUUUAUUCCAAAAUUUAGCUCUUGGGAUCCAAACAGGUGGGCAAAAAGGGGCAAAGAGCUAAAAUUUGGACUUUAGCUCCCAAAGAGACCCUAAAACGGGCUAAAAGUGCAGCCGGAUGCCCCGUACCCCUCCCAGACACGCUCAUUACCUUAGGCACGCGCCCGCACCCUGCCCCUCGUCCUCAUCCGCAUCGCCCUCAUCCGUAGUCCGCCGCCACCCCUCUCGCACGCUCCCGCAUCGCCGCCACCACCCCUCUCGCCCGAUUUCGUCCGCCGCCGCCCCUCUCGCCAGAUCUCCACCGCCUCCGCCCCUCUCGCCCGAUUCCCCCUGCCUCCUCCCCCUCUCGCAUGCUCCCGCAUCACCGCCGCCACCCCUCUCAUCCGAUUUCGUCCGUCGCCGCCCCUCUCGCCAGAUCUCCACCGCCUCUGCCCCUCUCGCCCGAUUCCCCCCACCUCCCCCCUCUCGCCACACCAGUAGCCCGUGCUCCUCCGGUGCCGCCCCUUUCGGCCGCAGCACUAUGGCCGGAGCACCUAAGCCGCCUCCAAGCUAGAAGAUCCACAUCCGCGGGCCGCCGAUGGACGGAUACGGCGAUGACGACACUAGGGACUUCUUCGAGCAGGUGGAUACGUACUCCCCCGCCGGCCGUGACGUCUUCUUCGGCGAGGCGAGCUAGUAUUCGGGGUCGGGAUCCGUCCAUGGUCCCCAUAUUGGCAUUGAGGCACUCGACCUCAACUCGCAGGUGAAUGACUGGUGAUCGCAACAUGACAGCAUGACAAAACUCUAAUCAUUCAGAAUCUGCGCAUGGGUGCAUGUGCAUUCCUGUGCAUAUGCAUGGAGUCAUUAAUGAGGGGCAAAUCAGUCAUUGUUUGAUGAGAGACUAAAAUUUAGCUCAUGGAUCUAAACAGCCUAGCAGGACUAAAGUUUAAGGGCUAAAAUUUAGCCCAUGAACUAAUGAUCCAAACACCACCUGAAGAAUGCCCAUUGCCUUCAUCGACAGUUGUAGCGUAAACAAUAGGCGACCAACCCCGUUGGCUUAAAAUCAACGUGGAAAAUAGGCGACCAACUGGUAGGAAGUCUCCUCUGAACACGUUGGCUUAAAGUCAACGUGGACGGCGCCUUCUCAGACAGAACGGGCGAGAAGGAGGGGUGGGGGUGGUGAUCAGGGACCACUUUGGAGCAGUCAAACUCACAGCAUGGGGGUCAUUUGUGGCGCCUCCAAUGACCAAUGCAGAAGAGGUGGAAGUCUUUGCCCUUUAGGAAGGCAUUGAAUUGGUGACAAAGUGGAUCUGAUCUCCGACUAUCCUUGAGUCCGAUUGUGCGAUGGUCAACUAGUACCUAAGGGCAUGUACAACGGUGAGACAGCCUCCUGUCUGUAUGUUAUUGGGAUCAACAAUACAGACGGGUAAACAGACACUACGUACAACCCACAGACAGAGGCUGCUGUUUAGUUGUCUGCAAGUGUUUUAAUGCUCGGCAAUCUUCACCUCUCUCUCGCGCACAGCUGGAUCCGCGAGGCAACAAAGCGAGGCGACGCCUCCGUACAACGCGCGGCGAGCCGGCGUCUUGGCCUGGGAGCACGAGCCCGGGCCGUCGCGUGGUGAGGCGACGCUCAUCUUCUCUUUCCUCCUUUACUGCUGAGCGGCGGGUUUUUUUUUGCAUUUUGGAGGCUACGGAGACGGGGCUUACAGCCCCGUUGUACACGUGCCCUAAAGGAGGUGAAAAUGUAACCGGCUUACCUUUCCACCAUCCUGUAGGCCAGGAGCUCGACAUGCAGACUUCCACGACUUGUGUUAAGUCAAGUAAAGAGAGAUAAGAAUGGAGUAGCGAAUGAGCUUGCACGGAUGAUGGCAAAGCAACUAAACCAUAGUGCAGUGUGGCGUGAUCGCUUUCCCGUGUGUAUCGAGCACUUAAUUGCUCAAGGUUGGCAGUUAAUAAAGAUUUCUCUUUACUCAAAAAAAAACCCCCUGCUAACCGCCUCCUCUGCCUUCUCUAAUUCGUUCCUCACACUCAAACAAUACAUCCCAUUGUUUUUCCGGCUUAUUCGUUCAGCUCAUAUACAUUUUCACUGCUGGAAACAGUCGCUUUGCCAUGUGCCCUGGGCACACGGCAAAGCUCAAAAAACACUCGGCAAAGGGUUUGUCGAGUGUAAUACUCGGCAAACGGCACUCGGCACAAAAAGACUCGGCAAACGUUUCUUUGCCAAAUGUUUUUUGUCGGGCACUCGCUAAACCGACUCUCGGCCAAAAAAAAUGGGCACUCGGCAAACAUAUUCUCUUUGCCAAGUGUCACAGCCCGGACACUCGGCAAAGAUGCCUCUUUGCCGAGUGUACUCGGCAAAGCUGCCACAUAGAUUAAAAAAACAAAAACAAAGGCAUUCAACGUAGCUAAAACAACAAAUUUGUGUGCUGAACUGCUAAUGCACAAUAAUCAUGUUGACUGAACAAUUCAAUAAGCAUACAUUGAAAAAACAAAAACAAAGUGUUCAGCAUAACUAAACAACGUUAUUUGUGUGCUAAUGCGCAAUAACCAUGCUACGUAUACAAAAACAAAGUGUCAUCAUCUUCGCUUUUACUUGAUAUUUGGAAGAGGGAGGAGUAUCAUAUGUAUAGGCUAAGCAGUGGUAACAAUUAGUUCCAGAGAAGAAUCUGCAUCUUUGUUUUAAGAGAUGCACAACUAAUUACAACGAUGUCAAACUUGUCAAGGAAUUCUCCAUCAAUCAGUGAUGGAUCACCUGAAGGGAAAAAACAAAUCAGAAAAAACUUGCUCGAAUAAAUUUGUUCCACCUAUUAAAGAUUUUUUUCUAGUUUAAUAAUUCUUCUCUAACAUGUCAAAUGUACAAAGCUUUGUUUUCUUAUUUUUCACUUGACUAACAUAGGGUGAAGGGGUGUUGCUGCAUGCUGCGUACUGCGUACAUAGUACCACCCCCGGCGCCACCCAAUCGCACAUUCGCACCUGACGCUUGAGCCCAAAAUCUUGGCGGCCCAGAAAACAUUGGUCCUUGAGAUUAGUGUCGGCUUACGAAUACUCAUAUUUUUGUCAACCCAAUCUCAUGCAUAUUGCUGAACAUCUCUUCGAUAAACAUUUCAUGAGGUUGAUACAUAACACACCGGUAGGAGCAGAGUCAGGACACUGCAAGAAAUUUGUUAGAAAUUUGUUAAUCUAUGAUGGGUUUUUCACGACGGAUUCACAGAAUGUCAUAAACGGUGCACGAUCUAUGAUGAUUUAUUUAUUUUCAUCACAAAUUUGCAAAUGCCCAUCCAGACUUAAAUUCGGGUUCGAUUUCUGUGAUGAACCUCGGUAACCGUUAUGGAUUGAAAAUUAAAAUCAUCACAAAUUUGAUACCGUACUCGACCACAAUUUUGACAAAAUUGCUUACUUUGAAGAAAAUAAGAUGCAUUAUUUUUUUUCAUGGUUAGAGGGGCCCAACAAUGAUAUUUUUUUUCAAAAUUUGGUCGCAUUCAAAUUUUCAGUGCAAAAAUAUAUAUAUAUAUAUAUAUAUAUAUAUAUAUAUAUAUAUAUAUAUAUAUAUAUAUAUAUAUAUAUAUAUAUAUAUAAAUUACUAAUAUACGUGUCUCCAGAAUGUGUGCGAACCUAUUGCUGAUAUGUUGCCGCAAUGAUGCUACCAGUUAUGCGUCGUGCCAGGUGUGCCAUACCUAGCCAAAGUCCAUGUGCCUUCGACCACGGCCACGGCGGCGCAGCGGCGUACGCGAGGAUUCUGAUUCGCCGGCCGGCCGGCCGGCACGCGUGGGCGCGGCCCGUCGCCGUCGUCGUCGGCGCCCCCACCGACGAGGCGGUCGAAGGAGCGAGGUCUCACACCGGUGCAAAGAGCUUCGUGUUUAUGUGCAUGCAUGCAGAACGAGGCCGUUGCAGUUGCGAGUGAGCGCGACGUGCCCCUGCUACGUACGCCUACGUCCUAACUACCGGUACGGUGACGUAGCUGUGGAUCAACGUCGUCGCCUUUGCUCCGAGGCGUACGUGUGCUCCAUCUUGGGGCUCCAGCGACCGAUCGAUUCGCCGCCGGCGUUUGCGUUCGCGUAUCUUGCGCGCGCGCGCGCGCGCAUGCAUGUGGCCGACAGGUCUAAUCGGCGGUGAUGGCCGGCCAUCAUGCCGGCAGCGAAGUUCGUGCGUUCCGGCGGAGGGGCUAGCAGCUGGGAAGUGGACGUUACAUGCCCCGACAAAACAAAACGAACUGAUGGUAUAAUCGAUCGAACUGGAAUGGGAUCGGACGUAACUGAAUAUUUAUUGGCCUGACAUACGUGUAUUGCGAUUGCGAUGGGUUGCAAACUUUUCCUGAUUUUGUUUUCUUUUGACACUUCCUUUUCUUUUCUGAAAGGUUUCCUCUGAUACUUCUGGCUUUAACGGAAGUGUUUUCUUCAAAUUUUGGCAUGCGUUUGAACUUUGGAUUCUAAUUUUUUCGGAAUAGGGCAGUUUUUAUCGUAAGUUAGUGAACAAUAGUGUCUUUAUGAUUUUCAGAAUAGUUGGAAAAAAUUGAGUACAGUGAAAAAAUAGGAAAGUUUCUAUAGUUACCUAGAGAAAAUCAAAGUAUCAAUAAAUACCAAAUAUAUGAGACUAAGUACAAAGCUCAUACCCAAUUUAAUUUAAUUUAAUUUUUAAUUAUCUUUCUUAUACCAAGAGUCGAAAGAAUUUUAUUAAUCAGAGAUAACGGGAAGUGCCAAUUGUUACCUACAACCAUUGGAGAACGAGCCCUAUCUCAGGUGGUCGGGUCACUCCAGCGCAAAUGGCUAGACGUGGGUUCGGUCCUAUUAAACCUUACGUUCUUACUGAGCUUGGCCUCAAAAGUUAAUUUACAAGUUUUUGCAAUGCUCGUGGACUGUAGUGGAGCUUCAAGUGCAUAGGUUGGGGGCAGUGAUAAAGUAAAGAGAUUUUGCAAUGUUUUAGCGUAAUUAGCACUGUUACUCUAUACAAAUUUCCCGACUUUGGUCUUCAGUAUCCUCCGCUAGCGCUCGUGGAUCCACAAUUAUACUGAGGCGUACGUGUCCAUUGGUAUGAAGCACCAAGUGACUUCGUUAGUUGGUCUUCUUCUAAAAAAUGUGUGGUUUGUAGUUCUAGCAUACGCAUUUGUGUGGAUGAAGGGCGCAAUCUGUAUGUAUGCAAGCGUUCGGAUACAAAGGUUAGAAUUCCAAGCUAAAAAAAGUACUCCUUCGGAGAAUAUAAGCGAUCCUGUCAUUCAAAUUUUAUUUAAAAUACUAGGAGUGCUGGGUAUAUUAGUACACUAAAUCUCAACUCAUGGUUUAAAAAACGCCUCUCUUGUCUUUUAAGGGCUUAGUUAUCUCUUGAUUUCAACCAAUUAGGUUUAGAUCUGAUUUAAUAAGGGAUUGGCAUGCGUCAUCUCCUAUCCUUCUUAAUUUCUUCUAAAAAUCCUAAGAUUAGCGGGGGAAUAAUAUUGUUCUGAUCCUCAACACGAUCUUAAAAAAUAACACUCCUACCAUUGUCAAAUAUUAAAACUGAAAACAAACUGAUUCGUAAUCUAAGAUUCAAAUAGUGGUCCAAAACAUCAAUUAUCUAUGGAGUAGAGGAAGGACAUGGUUUAAAAUUGGUGUUUGUCAAAGUUUGAGCGUUGGAUCAAAGCCCAAAUAGACGUGAAAAUUAAGUGAGAAAUUUUGUUUUACUACUUCUUCGGCAGUAAGUAUGAAUUGUUUUUAGAGCUCCUACCAAUCAAAGUUCUUUUUAACUUUAUAUAACCAUCUAUAUACAAGAUUACAUAAGACUUAAGCUAGUAGACCUAUCUUGAGAACUAGUUUUAAUGAACAAUAUUAUGUUUAUGUAGCAACUGUUAGUCAAAAUCUUACUUCCUGCAUCAUACUUAGUGUUCAAAACAACUUAUCAUGAGGAUACCUUUUUAAUAAUUUUUCUUGGGUGAUCAUUUCUUGUCUAUUACAAGAAAGACACAUACACGCCCCGUGGCGGAAGUAAGAUUCAAGGUUAGAGAGGCUUGCUUCUUCCUCCUUCUCUACCUUCACCCCUUCUUCCUCUUUUUUCCCUUCCUUUUUCCUCUCUUCUCCUCUUCUUCCUUUGGUUCUAAUGGAGGGGGGCUAGAACUCCCUGUACCCCCCAUCCGCCCCACACCUCACUCUCUUAUGAGGGCUGAGGGGCACUUGUUUGACACCAUGAGCAUGGAUUUAAACAUCACGUGUAUAAAAAUAUUUCCUUGUGACUGUUUUAUCAUAACUCAUUUUUUCUAACUUUAACCAAUUUUUUAGAAAAAUAAAUUAACAUCUAUAAUACCAAAAUAAGUACACCAUGGAGACAUAUUUUAUGGAUAAAUUAAUGGAACUAAUUUCAUGUUAUAGAUGUUGGAGUAUUUUUGUUCUCCAACAAAAUUGAUCAUAAUUAGAAAUGAUUUAUGGCAAACUAAAAACUUCCACCUUAUAUUUUGGAUCAGAUUGAGUACAUCAGAAACAAGGUUUGAAAUGUAGGCUACCACAGAUAACUAGCACAAACUCAGCACUCCAAAUUAACAGGUCAGCACUACAAAUUAAUACGAAAUAUGUUGGAACAGCACGCGGUCUCUGCCCGGAACAAAGGCCUAGCUAACCAUACUGCGUUGUGCAUAUCAUGUUACUCCCUGUUCAUCAACGGAGAGACAAGCAGCCAUUUACACCAUGGAGGACGAAGUGUUUUCUGAGACGUAGGACGUCUCAACUGAGUCGGCAAGUCCCUUUCCUCCCAGUUAUGCGCUCCUGCGUGCUGGCAAGCUAGCUUUCGCUCUCGCUGAUUGCCUACGGCGCUCAGAGCACGCGCUGUGUGUGGACGGACAAGCGGCUAAGCUAGCGGCGCAUACGGACAAAUUAAACCCGGCCGUAGUUAUGAUUACAAAACCAUGUAGUUGUAGUGAGCUAGUGGCACUGUGUGGCAGUACAAGAAGAAGCUGGCCAGCCCUAGCUUGUGUCACUCAUCAUGAGACAGUGAAGUGAACAAGGAGCAUAUUCAACCGGGUCCUCCAGCUACCUGAUGUAGCUAGGACUGCUCCUUAAUGGGUUUUGCCUUUAAUUUGUUCCUUGAUCUACAUUGCGUAGCUUCAAGAAGUUCAAUGCCCUACUCACCUUAGGGGUGGCCCCUUAUUUGAACUCAAUCGGUUUAGUUUAUCUGUUUGGAAUUGUAAGGCUAGUCCCGUUUUGUUAGUACUAGCAUUUGGUCAAAAGUAACUCUUUAUGAUACAAAGUUGAUGCCAGUAGAAAUACUUUUAAAAGUUAUAAAUAUAUUUAGAAAUAGUAAAAGUAAUUAUUGUCCUAUCCUUAUCCUAACUAAACUAGAUACGCGUUGUAAAGAUGUUUCUAUAUUGAAGAAAGAAAACGAUCUUCUAUAAUUAAUUCCAGGCCUUCAAGGGUUUAGCGUGAACUUUUAAAAGAUGUUGUUCAAAAUAUCUAUGGUAAACUUUGCAAACUUUGGCAACUUUAUGCGUCUAGGUUCUGUCAUGACAAAUGUUUUCAAAGUAUUAUAAUCAAAAUUAAUUUAAACAUCGAAUGCUUAUUUAAUUAAAUAAAUAACUGCUAAAGAUAUGCUUCAAGAAAAAAGGAAUAGGGAGUAGUAGCUUGCCAAUGUAGUGUAUAUAUACUCCCACGUGGAUUUCCACGGUUGGAUCUCUAUGCGUUCUUGAUUUGCACUAUUAAAAAGUUCAGGGAAGAUCAAACACUAUCUUCUCACCGAUUUAAUAUAGCUCACCUCAUAAGAUUUUUUUUAUGAGGAAAUCUGUGUAACCAGGUUUGAAUUUUCGACUCAGUACGAGUGUCGGCCAUACAUCUAUGGGUCCAUUGGGAGGCUUGGAUAGUCCUAGAUACGGAGCUGUACACCGAUACAUGUCAGACAUGGAGAGUACGGUGCAGGAUGACGUGAUCUACGUGUAAGAUAAGGACUAGUUGAGGAUUAGGAAACUACUCGUAGCAAUUAGAGUAGGACUCUCUAGUCGAAUCCGACUAGUAUUCUUGUAAACAACCGACCUGUAAACCCUACCCCCGGCAAUAUAAGGCGAGGCAGAGACCCCCUCCAAACAACAUCAAUCAAUACGAUCCAACCAACACACAGGACGUAGGGGAUUACAUGACAUAAGCGGCCCAAACCUAUCUAAAUUGUGUGUUCGAGUUCACCUUUGAGUUCCUGAUCAUGGUGAGCCCCACUCAUAAAACACUACCUCGGGUACCCCCUUGGUAGGUUGCCGGGUCUAAACACUGACAGCUGGCAUGCCAAGUAGGGGCUCUCGCCAAAGAUCCAACGACGAACUUGAUGGCCCAAGUCGUCAUCAAGCCAACCAUCACGUUCGAAGAAGGCGCGAUGUUCAUCUUCGACUCCUGGGUCUGCGUCGCGGACGAAGCUGGAAACUUCCACUGCCACAUCAUGCCCACCCUAGAGGAGAAGCACUACGACAUCAACCUCCAUCGCCAAGCUUUGGAGGAUUUUGUUGAAAAAUUCAAUGAAAUUUUUGACCUCUUCCGAGGCCCAAGGGAUGAGUCCGAGUACAACUCGACUUCUCCCACCAGUCCCACGAGCUGGCGCUUAAGCCAUCAUGUGAAUUGGUCUACGAUACAAGUCGAUUCCUAUUCGGACUUCAAAACUCGGGCAUUGUCUACCAAGACACCUUAUCCAUAUCACAAUUCAACUUGAAUUCAAUCGAGGACCCCGACUACUACUGGGAUUCGGAUGAGGAGACUCCAUUAUCAGGUCCACAAUAGGGCCUGGUAAUCAUAUCUACUCCACAAGGCACAUUCGUCUACUGGCCCAACAUGAAGCCAUCUGCUCUCGCCAAGAAUGACGAAUCACGCCUUGUUGUGUACCUCGAUACUCUCCCUUACCAGGAGGGUACCCCUCUGUCUCCUAUUUACGAAGAAGACGGCCCUGCAGAGAUUAUCAUGUCAAGCUCGGCUAGUUUUUCCCCAUAGCAGGAACUACUUGCCAUCGUCGCUCCACAAGAGGGCAACGGCGAAGAACCUCCAGAAAGACAUCCGCGACGCGAGUGUCAUCUAGAUGACGUGUCAGCGGAUGAGCUCACCGCCAAUGUAGAAGGAGAAGAGAUCGAAAGUCAAAGGACACGUCGACGAGCAAGAAACAUGGCACGAGCGGAUCAUCGCCGCUGCCUUGCAUCCGAUCUACCCAUCAUGAACUUGAACCACGCGUUUGAAGCAGUUCAAUCAUAUCAUCAUCAUACUCCUCUCGCCACCAUCGCAUCCAUCGACCUGAUUACUCGGACAAUGCCGCAAACCAAGUACACAGGCAACUAUCUCUAUUAGCGGAGCAUGCGUACGAGCAACUCGAUUGACAGAGCCCGAUCAGCUUGGUUUGACGCACCUCUUCCCACCGUGUCAAUAGUGCCAGACCCAGUCACAACGACGAUGCUAGACCAAGUCAAAACGAGGUUCUCAGAAUUAAGAACCCCAGACCAAGUUAGCACAGGGCAGAAGGUAGUCGGACGGGACCCUCGGGAGGCUG
rnacentral:lncRNA from 1 species